rnacentral:lncRNA from 1 species
UGCAGUAGCCUCAAACUAAACCAGUUAGCAUCACAGACAUACCUUCACUAUCAAAGGCACGAACACGGAGAGUAGCAAGCCCAUCUAAGUCAAGUUUAAUAGAGUUAUGAAAUAUCUGGAUCCUGGAUAUAUUAUCAAUAAAAACUUUGCAACGAACUACAAUCCCAGUGUGUAUGUCGGCAGCAUAAACAGCAGUCUCUUUUCGACCGUUAUAAGUAGCAAUGGAUUUCAGCCUGGCACUUGUUGAACAUUGACUGCUUACAUUAUAUUCAGGUAGAACAGAUAAAAUAUCAUGAUGAUCCCAUGACCUGAAAAAAUAGAUAAAACUCAAAUAUCACCAAUCAUAAGCAAUUAAUUAAAAAAAUUUACAGAUGUAAUGUGUAGGAGGACUACCUAUUCAACCCCCAACCCCCUAUAUUAAGACUUUUUUUUUUUGUUUUGUUUUGAUAGGCAAAUAAAGUUGCAUAUAUAUGGAGUUCCCUAUAUUAAGACUUAAACUUACAUAUAGCAUAGCCAUUGUUGCUUUUGAUUAUCUGCUACAUAUCAAGCAGCACUGACUAUUCUGAAUACUUAUACAGCCAUUAAACCCAUCAUGUUUUUCCAUCAUAUCUUAUGUGAUUAGCAUCAAAUUUGCAUUCCCAUACAAAGUUAAAAUUAUUUUUCUUUUAAAAAAAAUGAUCAAUCUUAUGCAGCCCAACUUCAAGUUUCAACCGAUACUAUAUGCAUUUAGAAUGAACUUAAGAGUAUCACAAUGCCAGAAUCCAAAAUCCCUAUUCGGCAACAAUACAGAAUCACCUGCUAAAAGCCUAAAAAGCAAGACAAUUGGCUAGUGACAAAAUGCAGGUGAAGAAAAGAACAAAAAAUUUUGAAUCCCUCUUAGCAGUUUCUUACUUCCUAUAAAAGAAAAGUCCAACUCAGAAAAUCCAAGUAAUCACUUUCCAGUUUCUCGGUUGUUAGUUGUGUCUUACACUCUAUAAAAUGCAAAAUGAAAACUCCAAAUUAUUUUCGGCAACCAAACAAAGAGAUAUAGGACGAGGAAAGUGAAGAUACCAUUUGAAGCAACCGCCACUUCCUUGAAGAAGAUACUCAACGGGAUAAGUCAUUUUGGGAGGCAACAGAAUAUUGACAUCAGCUAUGUGAGGACCAGACCCCAAAUGCGGCGUCGUACUGAUCACAGGCAUCUGAAUGACAAGAAAAACGAAGAGGAAAUCCCAGCGAAACAUAUUGAGGCCCAUGAGUGAAGUGAGAAAGCAAAACCCUAAAAACAGGGUUUUGGGGAGAACCGACCUGAGCUGAGCAUGGGCGCUUUUAAACCGAAAGGAAGACGCCGAGGCCACUGGACCCAGGAAAUGGGCCACGUGGCGAGGAGUGAUUGGGACUGAGGCGUUUCUGAGAAUCGCCAAUGCCAGAUAUGAUAUUACUGUUUCCAGGAUUUGCUUUGUGUGAUCGUCCAAUUGGGUGUAAGCGGAACGAGUUUAACAGUAGCGUUUUCCAAUUUUGGGCUAAUGUGCUUGGCGUUGCCUUCACCUGGACUUAGCGAGAGUGUCGCUGUUAUUUAUGAUCCGAUUUUCAAAUUUGCAGAGAAGCCCCUGCUAUAGCAUGUAUUUUAAAAACAUAAGGUCUUUAUUAAAUAAAUUUAAAUUUUUUUCUAAAGAUAAACGUCCUGGGAAUUUUUUUAUUUUCAAGGAUAAAAUAAUAUAAAAAACAAUUAUUAAUUAUUUCAAAACAGAUUUUUAAAAAUUAUUUUGAAAAUAAAAUAUUUUCUGAUAAUAUUUUCUCGGAAGUAGGUUAUAAUUGAAAAGUGCACAACUUCUUAUUUACUUUUAAAUGAAGGUAUAAAAAUUGAAUUUUUCAAAUUUAGAGAAUUAUUUUCCGAUUAAUUUCAAAUGUACUUAUAAAAACACAUUUUAAAAAGUUGAUUAGAUUUUCUCCAUUUUUUUCGUGGGAAGAUUAUAAAUGCAUUCACAAAAAUUUUCUUUACAAUCACGAUUUUAAUAAAAAAAUUUAAGACAUAAAUGUCCUUAAUUGAAAUUCCUAAAAUACCCUUGAGCACAAAAAAUGCAUCAAUUUCUCUCUUCUUCCUCCUUAAUUCCUUCUCUUACAGUUUCUCCAUAACUCUAAUAAGAAUUAAUAAGAGAGUUGCGAUUUUCACCCAUGCAUAAGUAAAUUACCAUAUUAAAUGAUGUUAUAAAUACAUAAGUAUGGUUUUUAUAUAUUUUUUUUUGUUAAAAGGAGGUCUCACGAUUCUUGUUCGGGAUUAUAAGGCUAAAUAUUUUAUAGUUGUUCGACCUUAUACCUUUUAACACUCUUAAGAGUGUCCAACCCUAAACCUUUAGAUAUUUCAACUAUGUCCAAUAUUUAAGAACUGGCAAUACAGGUUCCUAAAUUAUUUUCUUUCAUUUACGUUAAAGUUUUUCAUGACUUUUCACUUUUAAAUCACAUCUACAUCUUUCUAAUUAUUUUUUAAACAAAUUUUACAACAAGAUUUUUGUUAAAAAAUUGGAUAUGAAUAAGCUUAAAAAAAUUUUAAUGUUCCAUGUUAUUUGUAAUUAAGUUUUGCGGCUGGGAAAAAAUAAGUCGAGAGAAAAAGGAAAAAGAUUGGUUUAAGGAGAGAAUAAUGAGAAUGGUGUUUUAAGCUUUUUUCUAAAGAAAAAAAAAAUCGCACAUAUUUGUAUAAAUAAGUUUUAAAUUUUUAGAUGAAUGUGUAAAUAAAACAGAUAUAAGGAGACUUGGAUGUAUUUAUAAUUUUAUAUAUAUAUAAAUAAAAACAUUUUAAAAAACUAUUCUCUAAAAUUAUUUUUAAAAAACGUUUCCAAAUCAAUCCUAAAUCAUGUUAAUAAGCGAGAUUAGCAUGUUUACCUCAUUCCACUGUUUAUUUGAGAUUUUGGAAUCAAAAGAUAUAGUAAGAUUCUACAUGUGAUGUAAUGUGUUAGGAGACCAAUAUAAAAUCCUUUGAUUUUAGGAUUGUUUACGUAGUCACUCUCAUGUUAAUUAAUUAGCCAUGAAAUCACCACAUCCAUGCAAAAAGCCACGUGGCACCAAAUGUGGAUCCACGUCAACACUCCAUGUGUAGCACCACCAGGUUUACAUGCCUGGGUCAUCAGCAAGAGCCAGGCUGCCAUAUAGGAAAGAAAGAGAGGGAGAGGAAGAGAGGAAGUGCUUCUUGUUUUCAACCGGGACAUAGCCAUGGACUCCAAGAAUGAGAAGGUGGAAGCGGUUGCGUCCUAUGCAGAAAACAAGCUAGUUAAAGAAAUUCAAGGUGAUAUCGAUGAUUCACCACGUCUUAAUCAAAGGGGCAAGAAUCGGAAGCAAGGAGAUGAGCAAGGGAAGAUGAUUAAAGAGGAGGGUGAAGGACCAAAACCGCUUCCUCACCAGCAAGUUCCUCAGCCUGGAGAUUGCACCUCAGAAGGCCUUGAGAAGCUUUGAAGAGACUCAUAAACCCAUGAUCAUCACCCUUUCUUUUAUCUGUACAAAACAUGACAAACCCACGAGUCUUUCGCUUUAAUGUUUUUUUGUGUUUCAGCUUUUGUCACAGAAGGUGAAGAAGCCAUUAAGUAAUAUGGAGGAAACCAUGAGUCCAGCAACUUGGUUCUGGAUCAAGCCAAGGCAUCUGUUUGUGUUUUGAUCAACUUUGCAUACAACCCAUCUUUGAGAAGCAGUUGUUGGUGAUCACCCACCUGCACAUACAAAAAAUCAUUGAUGCAUUAUUUGCCAUACCCCAUAUGAACCUCUUGCUGAUAAAGGGGUUGCUUUUUUCUGGGUUGUGGAAGCAUGCUCAAAACCAAAUUUUUCUACAUGGCAUGGCACCAUUCCAUAUUUGUUCGUCUUUGAUAUGGAUAAACAGGCAGGGUAUAUUCCACAAAAGGGCCUCUCUUGCACAUGGCAAUUAUGUAUUGGUAACAAGUUCAGUUUUUUUAGCAUCAUUGAAUCUAUCUGUGCCACAGAGAAAAAAAAAUAUAUAUAUAUACAUGCUUGCCAACCCAAAUUCUAGAAAAUGAUGAUUAAAAUGAUGUCUUGAACACACAAAAAAAAGGGGAAAAACUGAACUUACCUCAAUGACGGAACCACCAUCCAUCACUACAAUUCUGUCAGCAGCUUUUACUGUGGAUAGCCUGCAAAAGGUGGGUCAAAAUCACACAACUCACAGGAGACAAACAGCUGGUCUAAGAAAGCUCACCUAUGCGCUAUGACAAUAACAGUUCUUUUUGCAUUAGCAUCAUUUCUGAAGGCAUGAAGAACCCCCUAAAGAUAAAGGGCAAUUGAUGCAUCAGUAACAGUGAGCUAGCUUUUCAAUUCAUACCAUUUCUCUGUUUUGUUUUUGUGUCUGCAUGAUCAUAGUUACUAGUGAUAUUGGAAAAUACUUGCCUCGACAUAGUGUUCGCUUUCUGCAUCAAGAGCACUAGUGGCUUCAUCAAGGAUCAGAAUAGCAGGACCCCUAAGAAUGGCCCUGGCAAUUGCAAUCCGCUGCUUUUGUCCCCCACUGAGUAGAUGAUCAUCUAUAAUAGUAUCAUAACCAUCAGGAAGAGAUGAGAUGAAUCCAUGAGCAUAGGCCAGCUUUGCAGCCCAUUCUAUAUCUUCCUGUCCUAUGUCUCUGGAGCAACCAUAUCUUAUGUUUGACUUGACAUCCAUAUGAAAAAGAUGGGGUUCCUGCCCAAAAGGAAAUAAUUACAAAAUAAUGUUAUGACUAGCUUCAUGUCAUGAAAGUUAUAUAAUCUAACCUGUCCAACAAAUCCAAUUUUUCCUCUCAGCCAACCAAUGUCCAACUCUCUCAGGGGGAAGCCAUCAAUUAAAAUCUGCAAGACAGGAGGCACUUGUCAACUACAUGGCAUCUAAAUCAGCAACAUUCCAUCCACAUAAAAGUGUGAAUCUUGAGGCAUAAUGUUUGAAAUGAAAAGCAAGUAGUCAAAACUUGGGUAUAAGGCAAUGCAUAUGCUAGCAGAAUGAAUUUGGCCUAAGUGGAAAAAUUAGGCACCAGGUGGGAAUGAAAGAAUUCUACUUGAUUUCAUUUCACAUAGCAUUGCAGUGUAAACGUUUUCUCCUACCAUUUCAGGAGUGUAUUCCACAUUAGUUAUGGAUCAUUUUAGGGAUUCAAGAAAUAAUAUUACUUAACAUUUCUGCUAUCUUUUUGGCAAUAACCACAAAUUUUUCCAAUCACUCCACUCGACCCAUGAAUCCAUCCUAAAGAACAACUAGUGCCUUCAUAUAUUAUGGAAAACAAAAUGGUGCAAUUUUGUUUCCACACAGAAGUCACAUCAGAGAAGUAUAAAGAACAAAGACAAAUAGACGAAAAAUUGGGAUCAACUGCUAAAUCCAUAUCCUGCUCUAGCCAAAAUGGAUAUACAGAGAACUUCUAAAGUAAUGGGUGAGAUAAUUAACUCACUAUUUCUUAGUAAUAGCAAUUAGCAAGUGUUAAUGUAGCUUACCUGACCAGUUGUUGGCUCGUAUAGACGAAGCAAAAGAUUGACUAAUGAGCUUUUUCCGCUACCACUAAUGCCAACCUUAGCAAAAGUAGGACAUACAGACAUUUUUCAAAAUAUUUAACUAGCAUCGAAGGCAAAAAUAGCAAUGAAUAAGAAAUGAAUUUCAUAUUUUCCUGUUAAAAAAAAAAAAAAAAUUCAUUUCUUACAAUUGCAACCACUUCAUUAGCUUGUACAGAAAUGUUUACAUGUUCCAGAACAGGUACCUAUUUAAUACCAGUUAAAAGUAGAAUUGUAUUAGUUCUUCCUUAGCAUCAAAGAGAUUUACAGAAUGUCAACUGAGAUAAUCAGUUUAAAAUCAAACCUCCUGUCUACAAAAUCAAACACUUACGAACUUCAGAUGGUCAUAAGAAAUACUGUAAAAUUUCAUUGGUGAAAUAUUCAGAUGGUGUAAACCUUUAAAUAGUAUACAAUGAGACAUGUAUAUAGGUGAUGCAUUCAUAUGGGAUGAUCCCCUUUAAAAUAAACAUGUGUUAGCUCAACUUCUCAAGAAACUGGAGAAUGAUUAACAAAGUGGAAACAAUUUGGCUAGGGUGCCUGUAUACUUGGGGGCGCUGUUUUUGGCAUCUCCUCUUCCUAUAUAUACUAUUUCUCUUUACUUAUCAAAAAUAAAAAUUGGCUAGGGUGCUAAAAUUGCCAAUAUGUACAUAUGAAAGAGACACAUCCUAAAUAAGGGCAAAAGUUUGUUGACAUUAAAGAUUAGAAGUGUCAAGGGGAGUUGGAUAUAAAUCAUGUAUUGUAGCAUAAAACAGCCCACACUGGCUCUAGGUGAUCAGGGUUAGAGAUGAUUAGAAUUUUUAGGGCUGAUCGUAAAGAAUUAUGCAACUCUAAUAUUAAAGAAUAUCAUCUGGAUUAGGAAAUAAAUGAGAGUGUGCUGUUUCUAUAUUCCUUCUUGUCUUUACAAACCUGCUAUUGAGUUCAUCUUAAUACAAUAGUCUUUUGCUUUUUGAAAACUUAACAAAAUUCAUGAAUUUCAGAAUACCUAAUAGAUGAUCUCAUGCACAAUAUAUAGCAGCUAUAAGUAUAAAAUUAUAAAUAAGAGGAAAAGGAGCAAUUAUCUUCAAUACCUUCAAUUUUUUUGUUUAGGUUUCUAAAUAAAGUUGCUUGAAUAAUGAUGGAGGCUGAUUGCUCAUAUCAAUAAAAACCACCAUUAAACUAAAGUAUGUCGUGUCUUUUUUAAUGAAUAGGAGUAUUCAGUCUAAUUAUCUGUGUUGACAGCUGGGAUGAUCAAACGUCUAUAUUGAAACAUAAAAGAGCAAUAUGGAUAUGAACUUAGCAUCCAUGGUAUAUUACUUCAAAGAAAAAGACAUAACAUGAUUACUUUAAACAAAAAGGCAUAGCAUGAUUUCUUUAAAGAAAAGGACAUACCAUGACCCUUGAUGGAUAGUAAAAAGACACAUUUGCAAACUCAAUAUGUCCCAUUAGCCUCUUCAAUUUUACUCCUGUAUGCAAAAGGAUGUUCCAUUAACAAUUAUUAAAUUUAAUUUGUUUUAAUAAACACAAGCAAUCAUUUCAGAGACAGAAAUUCAAAUGACUGAAACUUUAUCCAGUACAAACUCUGAUGGAAAUAAACAAUGCACGGCGAUGCCAAAUACCAUGUACUGCUUUCUAAAAAACAAUUCUCAUGUCAACCAUUAUUUUUUUUAACAAGAAAACUUGACACACACAAGGGAAUCCCACAUAUUAUGUUAUGACAAUGCACAUUUCUGGGAAGUAGUUCAAUUUCAGAAGCACUAACUUUACAAUUUUGGUGUUGUGUCUUUGAACUUCAUAGAUUUUCCUUCUGAUUUCUUUUGGAGAAGAAACAUUUAUCAAGUCUAAUUUUUUAUUUCAUGUUCAGUGUAUUUCAUUGUUUCUAUAAGAGAAUAUAGCUUUUAUGAUUCAUAUGCUAUUUGGAGCAGAUACAAUGAGCUGCCAGUAGGAAAGGCUUAAAAUAGUAAAUUUUCAGUAUUUAUGUUCCCUGCAUGUUCCUAUAAGUUAUACAAUUCACUUCUACCUACUGCAAACGGAAAGGCUUAAAGUAGUAAAUUUUCAGUAUUUAUGUUCCCUGCAUGUUCCUAUAAGUUAUACAGUUCACUUCUACCUACUGCAAACCUCAUCCUCCCUCAGGGAUUAAGAUAUGCCGAGUGAAAGACAAGACAUUAAACAUAACCAAGGUGAAGUGUUCAACUCAGAUAAUACAGGAACAACAACAUUGCUAUAGGUAUGGCACUUCAAAUUUUUCAAAAUUAUAAUCAUGAAAUAAGAUGAUUAGUGUGUGAUGGAAUCAAUAGUAACAAUGUUAUGAAGCACCUCGAUGGUGGUUAAAGACACUAAAAGCCCACAAGGCCAAAAAGAUCAUAAGUUUAGUCAAGGAAACCUUAAACUUGAAUGGCUAACAGAAUCAUGAAUGGUAUCACAUAUAGAGGAAAGAAUUUGUAGUAAAGGUUGAGAGUUCCUCCAAACUAAUAGAAGUACAAGAAGAAAAAUAAAGAAAAAAAGACAGCAUAGAUAUGAACAAAUCAAAAGUCAUUUGCCCCAUUCAGUACCUUUAUAUUAGUCAUUCAUGAACAAAAAGGAAGCAGGUUUGCACUUAGAACACAUUGUAGAGAUGAGAGACAAAUAUUCUUUAGAUAUUCAGGGAAUUUCAAACAGAAUCCUCAAAUCAGCUCAACAAGGCCUUUAAACCAGAAACUGAGGGUGACUAAGUUACAUGGAUCCUCUUCUUUAUACCAUUUUUAGUAUUCAUGUUCAAAAGAUAUGACUAUAUAGUUCAUAUUGGUUGUCUACCUACAACAGCCACCCUCCUUUAUCCAGGCUCAGUACCAAUUAUCCAAUGGUAAAGCAUUAAACAAAAUAUUGGCAGAGUUUCAAAUGAAAUUGAUAGGAAAAAAACAAGGCAUCAUGUGUUUAAAGGCUUCAGUUUCAACAGAAUAUUGCAAAACAAACAAACACCCCACCUCCACUAUCCCUUGCUGCCCCUCAACCCACUAUGCCAAAAUAAAAAUCUUCUUCAAGACAUUCACAGAGAAUACCUGCCUUCUGAUUUGAAUUGAUCACUAGGCAAGAGGUCCAUUAACUGGAACACCUUUCCACUUGCGCCAACAGACUGCAGUAAUGAUGCAAAAUUGUCUCCAAGCCUCAAAGUACCAUAAAUCAACCACUCACAGUAUAAUAUAUACUUCGUAAGUUGUUCGGGUGUCACGUGACCAGUAAGAAUAGACAUUCCUCCUAACAGCACAGCAAUGACCUAAAAAACAUCAUUUUGGAAUAUAAAGAAACAUUGAAUUAUUUGUGUUCAACAAGAUAUUCCAUCAAGUUUGAUUAAAUUAGAAAUCACAAAAAUUAUAAUGGUGUUGGGCCAAGAAAAUCUAAAUCAACACACCUGAAACCAUUCUUUCUAUGAAAAUUAUAAUGGUAAUGGACCAAGAAUAUCUAAAUCAGCACACCGGAAACCAUUCUUUCUAUGAAAAUUACAAUGGCCUUAGCCUAAGAACACCAAAUUCAGCACAUUUGAAACCAUACUUUCUAUGAAACACACAAAGAAAUGUCAGAAAACUCAGAACUAUCUUAGCAUAUAACACAAAAAUACAUCUUUUUGGAUGGUAAGUCUAAAACAAUAUAAAUUAUAGUUUGAAAAGGCUCCAUUCACUAAUCAGUAAUUUAUCUUUAAGUUUUGGCCAGCUCGAAAAGCUAUUCCCAACUACUAGAAGUUGGCUCCAUGAAUCCCAAUUUGCCAAUCAACUGUACUGAGGACCUUUAUUUUCCAAUAAACUCUCAGAAUUUUGUUGAUCAAAGGAUAAGUCCAUAAUGAAGCAAACAGAUGUUUCGGGGACCUAGAGUUCAUGGUUCUGGAAAAUCAUAAAAUGGUCAAACCUGUGUUGAACGGUAUAGAGUGUUGAAACUCAGACCCCAGAAUCCAUAAGCCACACUUUCUCGGAUGCUAACAAAAGCUAAUUUAUCCAGCCAUUGCUUGUACCUAACACCAUAAAAGAUGGAUCAUAGAAGACUGUCAAGGCCAUGCAUUAGAAUGUUACAUGUAUGCUUUGUUGCUAGUGUGUGUACCAAAGAUAAGAGGCAAUCAUGGAAAUAUUGAUAUUUAACAGAAGAUUACUAGUCAGAAUUAUUGCCUUCUAAGUUCGUUUUCCUCUGUUCCAUAAGUUCGGACGGUUCUCAUCAAAGAAAAUGUUUCUUGUGCUACCUACGUGUAAACAUGGGAAGUUACUCUACGUGCAGAAAUGAAUAAAAGCUAAAAGAAUUUUCAGAAGCGAUUCAGAUCAGGCUGUCUGCUUUUACUUCAUUGGCACAAGCAGUGAACUCUUGGGUAAACAUCGCUGCUUUCCUUCUGUACCUGUCCAUCCAAGAUUUUGGUAAUACUUCCAACAAUCAGUAAUAAGUAAACACACACUUAGUAAAAGGAAAGGGAAAAAAAAUAAAAAUAAAAGAGAAAAAAAAAAACAAAAAGACCUUGGGAUGGAUACCUAAUCUUUUCUUGAUAAGAAAGAAAAUGCAAUGGUCAUUAUGAAGAGAAGGACCAAAAUCUCAGGGCAUUUGGAAACACCAUGUUUUAAAGCAAACAAGCAAGUGAAAUUCCUCCAUGAUGGCACCAGAGAUGAUUGCAAAAGCAUUUUGGUUGCUUGAUCUACACACAGUUCUUUAGCCCCUUACUCUUUUGAUAAACACUAGAAGAACUAAGAUUUAAAAGGAACCAUGCAGAGGCAUACAAUGCUCAACAAUAUAGUUUACUCCAACUGCACCAAGAAGGAUCAAACUUUGAACCAGACAAACAUAGAAAUUCCUCUUAAUAAAAAGCAAGAAAAUCUAAAAAAGAAUGGAGGAAAUUUAUCCUCCAAUGAAAAGAAAUUUAAAAAAAAAAAAAUAUGAUGCAAGUUUUGAUUCAAGAUGAAUUUGCAAUCAAAAUAUUAGGAAAUAAGCUCCAUAAGACAACAACUAAGUAUUGGUGCCCUUAUAUAUGGUAAAUAAAUGACAAGAAGUCAUCCACAAGAUAAAUGACAAGAAUCCAAAACUGACAGUUCACAGGUAAUGAGCACUUCAAUGAAUAAUAUCAUAACUUCGUAAGGAUGGAAGGGCUAUACAAGAAUUUUUCUUUAAACAAAGGUUCAGGUAUUUAGGGAUGAAGCAGACCAUGAUGAUUUCUUAUAUCAAAUAAUAAUUGAGAAUAUAGUUAACACCUACUUUUAUUUAAAUAACCAACAGAUAGUUUCUUUUGUUAUUUAUAACAGUAUACUUCUCCAGAACGACAAAUUUGAGAUUAGGAAAACCAACAUAAUGAGUCUAACAAGAUGGGAAAGGUAAAAAUGCUUACUGGCCAUAAACCAGAAAGAUUGCAGAUAGAACAGAGCAUAUCACAAUUGUUGAUAAUGCAAGAGGCCAUGAUAAAGUUAGUAAAUGAAUCAAUGCACCUGCACCCUGAAAGGAACAAUAGAUUAGACUCCAAAUUGAAGGUGAACUUAGGAAAAGAAAUGAAUGGUUAAUAAGAAUGAAAACCUGGAGAAAAUUGCGUAAUAUCAUAUUAAUAUCAUUUCCAAUAAUGUUAGACAGUUGUUGACAAUCUGCCCCAAGCCUACUUGUUAAGUCACCAACUGCUUCUGUCUCGAAGAAAUCAAUAUCCUACAUCAAAUAUGAAGCAAAAUAGAACAUCCAAGCAAAUGAAGGAAUAGAUGUUAAAUGAAACUGACAGUAUAACUUACUUGAGGAGUAUGCAUGGUACUUAGCAUUACAAAUAUAGUUGCUAAAUAAACGCAAACCUGAAAAAGAAUAGCUGAACAUAAAGUUUCCCUUAGACGCUUAACCUGACAAAUGUAGUAGGAAGCACCAGCAGUUGUCAGAUUCACUUUACCUAAGAACUAAAUACACUCUGUCCAUGAAUGCCAUAAAGGAAAGCUCAACAAAUUAGAAUGAUGCAUUGUUAUGGAGAGAGGAUUGUUGAACAGAUACAAUUAAGUAUUUAGUAAAUGUUAAAAAAAAAAAAAAAAUACAGCAAUCAAUAAGAUCCAUGUCUACAAAAUAUCAAGACCAUUGGGAGAUUAACCAGGGAAGGCCAUAAAAUCCAAUGAUAAUAAAGUAAAGAUGUUACAAUUUCAAAGCAGCCAAAAAUAAGAUUCCUGUUGUGUCAAAAUGAUGCAACAAGAAUGAAGAGCAUAGAUAACCAGCAUCAACCUGUGGGAGCACUGGGAGGCCUCCAUGUGGAUUAGAUAUGUAAAAUACACGAGGUGCACAUCCCAAAUAAGAUGAGAAUUAGCAACUUAAAGUCCAUGUGGUUUCUCAUAACAACAGCACAGAGGACGUAUCCCAAAGUGCCAAAAGCAUUAAAGUGCAGCAACCAGACAUUUGGUUCAGAGUGGGCCCAAGAAGCCCUGUCCUUGGGGAUGUCCAGCUGUUGAUUCAUGUCAUGACAACUCGUCUCCUUGAGAGGUUGAACAUGUUUUUUUUUCCUUUUUGUCCGGUAUUCUUGCAUGCAUAAAGAAAGACAAAUGCUAAAGUCCUCAUUAAAUUGUGUAUAUACUAAAGGCAGGAAUACCAAAUGCCUCUCUCCUCACUAGAAGUCUAACUGUCAAAAAGAAACUAUCAAAAGCAAAUUAAGAUGCAGGAUAGGACCCGCUAAGCCUCUUUGAGAGGCUAGAGGUUGCACCAGUUUAGUACAUCAAGGAAGAAUUGAUGAACACGGGUUAAGCAAGUACAAUGGUGCCCUACAGAUGCACCAAUAAGGAUGAAUGACUAAUUCAAGUUGAAGGCACAAAAGGAUAAGAGAGAACAAAAUGGACUUGGACCAAAUCAUAAGAAAAGAUAUGGUGACCUUUAAUUUAACAAAUGGAUUGGUCUUAAAUGGAGAUAAAUGGUGGACAGCAAUUCAUAUAGUUGACUCGAUUAGUUGCAAUAUAAGGCUUUGCUCUUUUCGUUCUUAUUGUUCUUGUUAUCAGGAAGGAACUCACCAGGGUGAUAUUUGCAAUUGCAAAACAGCCACUUCGCAAACCACUAAAAUCACCAAAAAAAUAAAAUAAAAUAAAAUUAAAAAUUAAAACAGUAAACAAGGAGUCUUAUCAAUCACACACUCAUCUUAAUAAUUAAAACUACAAUAACUACUAGUUUCUUCAUAAAACCACCAUUAAUUAUAUGCAUGUAUGGUGUCGGACUUCAAAAUAAGGAAAGCACCUGUGUUGGACCUGAUAUGAGAUGGUUAUAUUUGACGCUAGCAAGACAUGCACCUAACAAUCCUGUCUAACAAAAGAUAAAGAUGUACACUUUCCUUGUUUGAUAGAACUUCCCUAGGAUACUUAGGCAAUCAUAUGCCUUGUGUUAAAUAGCUAUUUCAAAGUGAGUACUCAUAGGACAGAAUAUGUCACAGGAACAAAUCCAUGCUCUUGAAAACAUUUCUUUCUAUAUAAAUUCUAAAAAAAUCUAAAAGAAAAUGCAAAUAUAUUAACCUUAUCAUGAUAUAUGUUAAGCAUCAUUGAUUAGUCUAGCAGCAGAUAAUCAAACUUUUGGAACACAAAAUUUGUAGCACCGAUGUUCUAGAACUUAGUGUCAUGGACUUAGCUGUUUCUUAACUUAAUACUUAAGUUACUAAAUUAGUUUUUCUUGAACUUACUAAGCAACAUUGCAUGGCACAAAAGAUAGAGAAGAGCUAAGGGCAUAACACUUACAAAGUUAAAAAGGAUGGAAACUUGUAUCUUACACAAUAAUUCUCUACAAGGUUUGGAAGCUCUCAAGUGUUUGGUGACUUGACCAAAUAGGUGCAACUCUAUAACUCUUUGGAACCAGUUCCUUACAAUUCUAGAAUUCUCUAGAGACUAGCUAGAUACAAGCUAGAAUUUUAAUUCUCUAGAAUUCUAGAGAAGCACAACUCUAAGGAUACUCACACCCAAUUGAAACUUGUAUUACACAAUAACGCUAUACAAGGCUUGGAAGCUGUCAAGUUCUUGGUGACUUGACCAAAUAGGUACACCUGUAUAACUCUUUGGAACCAUUUCCAUAUAAUUCUAGAAUUCUCUAGAGACUACCUAGAUACAAGCUAGAAUUCUAGAGAAACACGACUCUAAGGAUACUCACACCCAACUCCAAAAAUGAGUAGUCCUUCCAAAAAUGUUCUAACACUUUGAAAGAAGCUCCUAUCUAAAAGGUCGUUUGUUACUUGAGUUUGAGGAAGAUAAACAACAAGUCUCUAUUUUGAGAAGCUUUGUGCCCCAAUAUGAGCUCAAGUGAGGGGCCAUAUGGAUAAGGCAUGACAUUAAGCUUAGAACUUUCUAAGCACAAAAAACAGUAUUUUACAACCAUGUGAAUAUUUCAAUGGUGAUGUGGUACAAGUUUUAAUGGAUGGAAUAGUCAAAUGGACACUCACAAAAACCAUGAAGGAUAAGACAAUAUUAUAACCAUAAAAAUGACUUCAUUUUUUUUUUUUAAUGAUUUCAUAGCAUUUACAUUCUCAAGUAUAAGACUUCUGCCUAAAGGCAUACUUGAUAUGUACAAUUUAAAGUAGAAAGGACUUAACUAUAAGAGUUUUCACCUGCAUAUACCCGAGAGGAUGCACAAUAGAAUGAGGAGUUGGGAAUUUCUAUAGAAGACCAUUGUCUCACCACUUUGUGCAGAAAAGACAGAUGCUGCAAUUAAAUUUGGCAUCGAGAUUUCUGAAAGCUGAAUGGGAGAGCACAUCUUAGAAAAAUGAUGGUUAUAAAAUUACUUAUGGAACAAAAACACCAAAAAAGAGUGCACACAAAUUGAACUUAUCUCGUGUUUGGUUCCAAUAAAAUAUAAGAAAAGAACAAAAGAAAUUAUUAAGAAAAACGAUUUUUCAUGUUUGGCUAUAUUUUGAAAAAAAAAAACCAAAUAUAAUUAAAAUUAAUUAAAAUUUUAUGCAUUCUUGAAUUAUUUAUUAUUUAUAUAAGAUAGUUCAAAUAAGUGAAUUGAGUUUGAAGUCAUAAAUAAUUUGGCUUUAAAUCUUUUUUUUUUUUUUCUAUUCAUCUUUUUCUUUUCAUCUAUUUUUCCUCCUAUUUCCUUUCCCUAACAUUUUCCCUCAAAUUUUCCGAAACCAAACAAAGCCUUAAAAGAUUCAUUUGAACCUCCCGAAGAACAGCAGAAAUUGAAGGAACAUGCUGAAACUAGCCCAAAAACGAACUCCAUGUUACAUAUUAAUCAGCAUUUUCCUUUCCUUUCCUUUCCUUUCGCUUGUUCUUUUCCAAAAUUCAAACCCAGUCCAAACAAAUUGAUGAUAAACCACCAUCUUCAACCUUGACUGUUAGGAACACAGGCGAAUAUCAAUCGAGGCAUGGAAUUAAGAAAUACUAAAACAAUCACGCCAGGUCAUAUCAAUGACUCUUUGUAUAGAUUUCAGGUCAAUUGCCUUUAAAAUUUUCAUAGAAACCAAAGGUUUAAAGCACAGGCAACGCACCGCAGCGAGUGUUAAAGACCCAACUGCAACAAAAAUGACCCAUCUCUCAUCUUCAACCAAUACCCAUAUUCUACGAAGAGUGGGCAUCACUUCUCUCGCCUUCGCUUCCUCCUCGUACUCACUUAACUUCCACCAACUCCCCCCAGGCAGAACCGACCGAAUAUUUCGUAAAACCACCGGAAUUUCAACAUUAAUUUGUCCAGUUUUUGGAAGGCAAGAACAGCGGAAUCUCGUGCUGGAGAAAGUGAUGGUGGAAGACAGCGUCCUUCUGAGUGGGAAAUGGGGUUUGCUGAGAGGUCGAAACGCCAACUGAGAAGCGGCCAUAAGGACUAAACGACGGAAAAUGCAUAAGGCUGCUGAGCAACUUGCUUGUCGCCUCAAAUAUUCCGCCACUUAUCCCAUUUUCUAUUGAAAUAGUUCCAAUCAGAUAUGGCUUAAAUGUAUAAUAAUAUUAAGCAUGUAUUUUUAUAUUUUUAAAAGUAAUUUGAUGAAAAUAAUUUUGAAGUUAAAAAGAGGAUAAGUCAACAUAUUUUGAAAGUAGGGCAUUGAUUAAUAGUUGGCUCGAUCAAUGAAUAGCUUAAUUUAGGUGAUAUUUAUCUAUUUUUUUUACUUAAUGAAUGUUUAAUAAAUUAAUUUAAUAAUUUAAAGUGAUUUAAUAACUUAAUUUAAGUUAUUAAAUAAAUUAAAUAUAUUUGAUAGAAUAAUUUAAUUGUAUGACUUAAAAUAGAAAACAACUUUAAAUAAGAAAUAAAAAUAAAUAUUAAUUGAAUGAAAAUGACGAAAACAUACCAAAUUUGUAGAACUAACUUCCCCGUUUUUUAACUUAAAGAGUAACCAAUUUUUUACAUAAAUACCCUUGAACAUGUUCAUUAUUUAUAUGUGUAUUUUAAAAUAAAUGUUAUUUUUGCAUACAAAAUAUAUAUAUAUGUGUGUGUGUGAUGAUAUUUUUGUCAAAAUUGGGUAUUUUUAGGUUGAAAAAACAUGAAAGAUUAGUUUUUCAAAGUGGGAAAUAUCCCUAAAAAUAUUUAACUUGUUAUUUAGUUAAUAUAUUCAUCUUACCUUUUUACUCUUAUUUACCUUUAUGGUUUUUUUGCUACUCUACAACCUCCACUGAUACUCGACCUCACUUGUCUUAUCUAUUAUUUAUGAUUAUAGAUAUGUCAAUUUUAUAAUUUAAAAUAAGUUUUAAGUUAAUUUUAUAAUAACCUUAAUACUUAAAGUCAACUUAAGUCAUUAAGUUUUAUCAAACAUCCUUUUAAUGUUGGAUGUAAUUUACUCUCAAAUUUCAACUUAUUAUUUUAAUUUAUUUAUUUUUAACUUGUAACUUAUUUGUCAAUAUUUUUAAAAGGUCGGUUGAUUUAACAUUAAGUUAAAAAAACAACAAACAUUGAUAGGCUGGUUCAUGGUUGAGAUCGAUUGUUGUUAUAAAAGGUUUUGAAGGUAACAAAAUUUUGAAUGGAUUUCCAAACAUGAUUAAGAAAAACAUCAAUUUGAUAGAUUUGUACUAAGAUUAAUCAUAUUCAUAUUGUAUUUGUGUCAACAUGCUUAAUCCAUUUAAUGAAACGGUCUUAUUCAUUCAAAUGUCACCUUUUUUGACACAUUUAAUUUAUGAUUUUGUGUCAACAGACUCAACACUUAUACGACUUCAUGCUGGGUUCUACUCCUACAAAAUGAAACGACGUAGCUUCAGUAUUGCCACAGCCAAACGACGUCGUUACAUCUUCACACAAAUGGGACUGCGUUCCUAUAUAUUCCCAAAACCCUAGCAUCCCUUUCCUCUUUCUCUUCUCUCCGCAGACAACCCCAGAGAUUCAAAGGCCUUAGGCGGUACAAGGUACAAGGAUGACAACCAGGUUCAAGAAGAACAGGAAGAAGAGAGGGCACGUCAGCGCCGGCCAUGGCCGGAUCGGCAAGCACCGGAAGCACCCCGGUGGUCGCGGAAAUGCUGGAGGUAUGCAUCACCACCGCAUCCUUUUCGACAAGUACCACCCUGGCUACUUCGGGAAGGUCGGAAUGAGGUACUUCCACAAGCUCCGCAACAAGUUCUACUGCCCCAUCGUCAACAUUGACAAGCUGUGGUCCAUGGUGCCUCAGGAUGUGAAGGACAAAGCCUCUCCUGAUAACGCCCCUCUCAUCGACGUCACUCAGUUCGGCUACUUCAAGGUUCUGGGCAAGGGCGCGUUGCCUUCCUCGCAGCCAAUCGUCGUGAAGGCCAAGCUCGUCUCUAAGAUAGCCGAGAAGAAGAUCAAGGAAGCCGGUGGUGCCGUUGUUCUCACCGCCUAGGUUUUGAAUCUUUCCUUGUUCCGUCCUUUCAUUUAUUUUGUUUACCAAUGGAAGUUGUUAGCGGUUUUUUGAUGAAUUGAAUUACAAUGAAUUUUGUUUGGGUUGAUGCGCAAUGUUAUCCUUUUUUAUACUCCAUAUCGGUUCAACUGUUUCGAUGGAUCUAUUUCGAUUUUCGGUAGCAUAUAUUUGUUUUUCUUCAAACCCUAGAUUUGAUUACAGCAAAAAAUUGUUGAAAGAGAGUGAGUCCGAUCGAUGAUAUCCGGAGGCAUACUCGAGGAGAGGGAAUGCACUCUUUUUCUAUCAGUUCUUCCUCUGGUGGAAAUGAAAUCAAUCAAUGAAGACCUCCCUUCUUGACUGGCUUUGCUUUGUAGAGCAGUACAGGUAAAUGAAGCUGGGUACUGAGAAUUAAUGGCGGACACGAAUCCCUUGUGAUUGGGAACUUCGAUUCAAUUAGUUUGUGGCUCUUGCGUUUUUCUGUUCAUUCGGAUUCUAAUCACUUGCCACAUCUUGAAUCUCAAAGCUUCAUUUGCACCUCUGAAUCAUAAUCUUGCCAUAUCUCUUUUUUGAAAAUUAUUCCUUUCUUUAGAAUGAAGAAGCAUUUUAUGACAAAUUAUUUUGUUUUUAUUUUUAGAAUAAAGGGAAAAAAAAAAAAGCACUUUUGGUUUUCAAAUGAUUUGUUUUUUUUUUUUUUUAAUGAAAUAGGAAAAACUAUUAUCGAAAACAGUUAUGUCAUAAUACAAUCAAAAUAUUUUAAUUAUAAUUUUUUUUAAUUAGUUAAUACCUAAUACACUCAAAUUUUAGUAAUUUGUUAUUUUUAGAAAAUAAAUAAAGACAAAUGACCACUUCCCAUUUUUUGCGAAGAGAAAAAAAAAAAGGAUGUAGUUUCAAAAAAUUAAAAUAAAUAAUUUUAGUUGUCAUUCCUAUACAAGUUUUAUUCUUCAAGACAAAAAAUUGGUAAUAAUUUAUAUACUUUUAUGUAAAAAAUAUUUAUUUUUUUUUUAAAUUCGUUUAAUAACAUUUUUAAAAUAAUUAUUUAUACUUUAUGAUGUGGUUAUUCAAGCUUUCAUGUUCAAAUAAUAUAUAUUUUUUAUUUGAAAACAUUAUAAGUUUUCUUCUAUUAUAAAAAAUAUUUGUGAUACUUAAACAAUUUAUAUAACGAGAUAUUUACGGGGUCACACAAUAUUAAAGCACGUCUAAUGAAAAAUAUAACAAUCACCUAAAUAUUACAUAUCACAUGGAAUGACUUGUUCACAACUAUGUAUAUAAAAUUCAUAUAGAUAUAUAGCAUCUGAAUUUUUUCUCCUCUACUUGAUAUGGGAUAUCAAUUCUCUACACAAAUACUAUAUUUUCGUUGUAUCACACAAAAUCAUGAGACCAAAUAAACAAAUAUCCAUUUAGGCUCAAAGUGGACUAUGUUUAUAUCGUUGGAAAUGAGUUAUUACAAAUAAUAUUAAUACCGAUUCUCCCAAGUAUGAGAGUUUAUUUAACCGUAUAACGAGUAUUUGUCUAUUUAACCUCACAAUCUCAUAAUGUACGAUAUUGUUUAUGCAUAAAAAGUGAUUGUAAUAUCUUAUAUCAGAUAAGGAAAAAAAUCAUUAUGUACUACAUAUUUAUUAGUUAUUUUUAAUCACGUAGAUAUGUUUUUAAACUAUAAGAGUUAAUUUUAAUUCAAAAUAGACAAUAUCAACAUGAUUAAAAAUAGACUAUUACAAAAUGGUAUUAUAAUUGACCCAUAAGAAUUUAUUUAAUUUUAUAAAAAGUAUUUAUCUAUUUGGUUCCACAACUUGUAAUGUAAAUGGAAAAAAUGUUAUUGACGAUAUAUAUAUUUUGAGUUAUUUUAAUUAUGUAGACAUGUUUUAAAUUCGUUAUAACUUAAUUCAUAAAGUGUUUAAAAUACAUGAUGUAGUUUACGAUAUGUUAUAAAAUGAAAAAUAUUUAUAAAUUAUAGUAUUAAGAAUUUUAUCAAAAAAUUAUAAUCAACCUGUUUAUAUGGUUAUAUACAAAAGAAAUCUUAUUUAUUUAUUUGUCAUAUAAAAUAUAUGUACGGUUAUAAAUAACUAAAAAUGGAGGGAAAAUUUCACAAAUUCCCCAAAUGAAAAACAACUAAACUUUAACAAAUGCUCGAGGAUUAUUUUUAAAAUAAUUCGUGAUAUUUGAGAAUGCUAUAACUUUCAUAUUAUAGUUAACAAAAUUUCAUUAUUGAAAACGAUUGAGUUUUUGAAAACUUCCUCCACCCUUAUUUUCUUUUGAUUUUGUUGGAGACCCUUUUCAAAAACGUUAUUCGGAAAAAACCCCCCUGGGACGACUUUCUGUGCAUCUACGCCCCUCUAUCCCUUUUUUGUGUUCAUCUCAGCUUCUCAGUGCUCUACUGUUCUCCCCGAGGUCUCAGAGUCUCUCAACCAUGGCCGAAAGCGAGACCCCUAAAACGAGGCCUCGACCGCUGGUGCGGUUGGGGAUCUUCCUCAUUUCCCACAGCCUCCUCGUAAGGUACUCUUGAUCUUUCAUGAUUGGCCUCUACGUAUCCAAAAGUCAGUUUAUAGUUUAUUGAUCUGAAUUUAAUGAUUCCGGUGGUGGGUUUGGUUUGUUGAUUUAAAUUCGCGAUUCUAAUGAUGGGCUUGGGUGUGUCAGCGUUGUUUGCUGUACAGCGGGGGUUCUGGCUCUCUUACUCUUGCCUGUUCUCGCCAAGAAUACCUAUAUUUCUGAAAAUGCCCUCAUGCCAGGUCAAUUCAUUCGAUCCUUUUUUUCUUCUUCUGUUUUAAUACUGGUUUUCGAAUUUUUUGGAAGAUGGGUUGUGAUAAUUCGAAUGUUUGUAGUCUUGCUAUUAGGAGUUUUCUUAACGCACGACUUGGUCGCUGAGAAUAUCGAGGAAAUGGAAAUAGAGUGAGACUUUAGAUCGAGGAAAAAAAUUGACUCAGCUAAAUCAACUAGUUGUGUUAGGUUUGGUUAAGUGAGACGGUUGGUUUCUGAGCCCUAAAUGGAGCAUUAAUGGGAUUUGUUUGGUUGCCGAGAAAACUGAGGAAAACAGACAAGUAUAAGACCGUGAACCUUAUGCUUUAUGUUGUUCUGGGUUAUGGAAAAUGAAAAUAACCUAGUUGUGUCGAGGUUAGUUAAGUGAGGCUUUGGGGUUUUGCAUAAUGUUAUCUUAAAUUCAUAAUUCAAUUUCUUUUAUUUUCCUACUUUUAUUGGCUCAUGGAUUUUAUUUUCUGCCUUAUUUUGUAAUAUCCGGAGGUUAUGUGUAGGUCCACUGUUAGAAUUGCAUAUCAAUUUUUCAUAUAGCAUGGAUUACCUUUGUGGUUUCUAUGGAAGAAUUUGAGUUACUGGUUUCAGUUGCGUCAUCCAUUAAUCUGGCUGAACUGUUAAUUCACAGGUUCUGCCAAUGCCAUGCUCUCUUCUGAAGACAUCUCAGAGGCACAUAGAUUCAUGAAUGAUUUAACUGGUUUGAAUUUGAAAACCGGUGAAACAGGCAUGUAUGUGUUCGCUCUACAGAGUGCUUUUGUGUUUUCUUUAAAUUUAAAUGGCUUGCUCCUGUACUCUACUGCAGGGUUUGACCAUUUUUGUCAUGAAACAUACACCAACAUGGUAUGUUUCAGGAUAUGCAUCUGGCACUGAAGACUGAUAUGAAGUAUUUUCUAUCUGCUUAACCUGAAUAAGCCCUGGGCUUAUGUAAAUAUGUUCCUCCUCUGAAAUUGUGUUUGUUAUUUUUGAUGCUUGUCUGCACUUGCUUGUGUUCAAUUUGUAAGUGUGCACAUGUUUGCGUAUGUUUUCUAUAAAAAGCAAAUAUAUAUGAUUCAGUAUGUCCUGCCCUCCUAGGUAUUAAGUGAAAGCGCUUAGAGUUAAACCAUUCAUUUUGGCUCAAAAUACAAAAUAUGUAAUGCUUUUGGAGAUUGUCAUAGUUCACUCUGGUACUCCUGGGGUUUCUGAUUGUAGCAUUUUUCCAUGAAGUAGGAAGCCUGCACAUUGCAUGUUUGCUGCUCUGUUCUCUAUUCUGUGUUAUUGGAUUAUUGGAUACCUGCAUAGGAGAGUUUUCUUGAUUGGAUAACCACAUUGUGGGUGUUUAUUCCUGGCAGCAUCAUUGCUGCACUAAAUGUAAUGUAGAAGUGCAUGAUGCUUGAUCUUGUUACCAAGAUACUUCACUCAUACUAGAAACCUGGUUUUCAAAUGACUUCCAAUAUCAUUUUGUAACACAGUUGUCUUGAUACUUUCAUGAAAAAUCAAGAGUUGUCCUAGAAACAUUCUAUUGAAUAUAUGGCCAUAAAUCUUCCAUUACAUAACAUGAUGAUAAAUUAAUAAUGUGGGCUGUCAAUCCAAGCCAUUAUGUUAAUUUUUAUAGUAUUGUGUUUUAGAUGCAUUUUAUGGUUUUAUUACAGGAUACCUUAUAGCCUUCUUUACCAAGCAGAGCUUAUUACAACAUUUGAUAAAUCAACAGAAAUAGUAUUAAUCCUAAAAAGAGACAGCAUACAAGAUAAAUAAAGAUGGCAUUCCCUGCCAAUGGAUUAAAUUUGGCUUUCGUUUGAAUUCUGAUCAAAUGUCACUAGAAGUUAUAAGAUGAUUUGCAUUCAUUCUAGAAUUUUCCGUUUUUUUGUUCCUUUAAAAGAACCGAGUGUUCCCUCAUGAACUGUGUGUUCCCUCAUUUUCUUAAAAGAGCUUGUCCUGUUGCCAACACUGCACAGUCAGGUUUUCUAUCCUGUAGUGAUUCUUAUCAACUUUUUGUUAUGCUUCUUUUCCCUCUUUGCUUGGUUCUAAUUGUAGGUUCAAAAAGUUGGUUGGACAAUAACGUAUGUUCAUGUUUUAUCGUUCUAUAAACCUUCCUGAAUAUUUACUUUUAUAUAGCUGCACUAUUCUAGUCUGCUAUUGCUCGCUAUAAUUGUUCUGUUUGCAAAUUAACUUUUUAUUGGUCAUUCUUCUUGACUGCUCCAUCCCCCUUCCACCCCCACCCCCGUUGCUAGUGCUCACUCUAAUUUUUCUGUUUGCAAAUUAACUUUUUCUUGGUCAUUCUUCUUCACAGUUCGAUCCCCCUUCCAACCCCACCCCCAUGCCACCCCAAAAAAAGAAUAAAAGAAGAGGAAUUUCAAGUUCAGAAUUUCAUAUACCUCAAUAAGGAGAAAAAACUGAUGCAGUUCUGUCCCAUUUUCUUGUGAGGUUUAACAUGUUAUCCUUGUUCGCAUUCUAAUGCAGAGAAAGUUCAAGACUUAUAGCACGGUACAUGUCAGACUUGGGUGCUGACGUUAAUUAUCACAAGUUCCACCCUCAACCGAAUCAGUUUCGUCCCCUGCACUUCUUUUCCAACUCUGAUUCUAGGAUAAUUCAAGAGAACAUCUGUUGUUCAUCACAUGGUGUUAAUACUGUCGGAAUAAUAAGAGCUCCCCGUGGUGAUGGGAAGGAAGCUAUUGUCUUGGUGACACCUUAUAAUUCUCAUAAGAUUGAUCUGGCUGAGGCUUUAUCAUUGGCUAUUGCGUACUCAGUAUUCUCCUUACUUACCCGAGUUACAUGGCUGGCCAAGGAUAUUAUAUGGCUCGCUGCAGAUUCAAAAUAUGGAGAAUAUGCUUCAGUAUCUGCAUGGCUAAGAGAUUAUCAAACACCUGUAUUUGGUGAUUUCGAGAAACCAUAUUCUGAGAUUUGUUGUGAAAGCAAUGCUCGUCAUGGAUUGAAAGAGAGUGAAAUUACAGAGAGAAAAAUAUCUGAUGUUUUUAGACGUGCUGGGACUAUGGCUGCUGCUCUUGUCAUUAAGGUUUCAGAUGGAAACAAACAGGCUGACGGCACACUCAGUAUAUAUGCUGAAGCUUCUAAUGGUCAGAUGCCAAACCUAGAUCUCAUUAAUAUUGUGAACAAUUUAGCAGUACAUAGGCAAGGUUUGCAAGUAAAAGUAGAGAAAUUGUUGUCUUUACUCGACUCCAAAUGGCUAAGGAUUUUGGGUGAGGUUUUUGAGUCAGUAGGAAAUAUAGCUAGGAGCUUAAAUCCCCAAUGGAAAUUUGGUAUUCCUGCUGCAGAUUAUAUGGAAGGAGCUGCCACACUUGCAAGUUCUUUGUAUUACCAGGUGCAUAGCACUUUUAGUUGUUUAUUUGUUAUCUUUGUGACAAAAGUGGUUUGAGGGGGAGGGUUUGGGUGGUUGAUACUUUCUAUUUCAUGUUCUGCAUUUGAAAGGAUAAACAUAUUUGGUUUUUCUCACUAAUAACUAAGAGUUGUGUUUAUAUUUCCUGCUGCCAGGCAUUGGGUGUUCCCACUGGCUCCCAUGGUGCUUUUCGUGAUUACCAAGUCGAUGCAAUUACUUUGGAGAUUUCACCUAAAGUUGCUUUGAAUAAUAAGAUCAGGCAAACAGAGUUUCUUCAGCGUGGUGGCCGGUAAGUUCUUAUUUCAUCUCUUCUGUUUCUAUAUAUGACCUGCCUUUUUAACCAUCAAAGGAUUCCUAGAAAUUUAGGAUAUCUGAGUAAAGGUUUCGGAAACCUUUGGUUAGAUGGAUUUUUUGACACAAAAACUUUCAAGGGCUAUGGCCCACAUAUGAUGCCUGUAAUGGUUCUCCAACUGUGGGACGGUCUCCAUAUUUUAUUUUCAUUAUCACUUUCCCAUAAUUUUAAUCUUACUUUUCUAAUUUCUAAAGCUGUGUUAGGAUCUCUCUUUGACUUCCUAUACUUGUACUCUAGUUUUGUUGUCAUGGUAGAAUUGCUUUGUGUUGCUACACCAACGCCUUUUUUCUUUCUUUUUACUGAAUGCCGGUGAAAGCCUUGGUCUCAUGUGAACUGUUAAACAAACUCUUGGUGCAAGUUAUGCCUAUUGUUUAUUGGGGUUUGAAGAGGCAAGUUUGAGAAUCUUGUUUGUGAAUUGGUAGAGAAAUUGAACAUUUUUCUCAUAAGCACUGAAAAUACUAACAUCUAUAUAUAUAAUGGGUGAUUUUUUAAGGGAAAAACUAUCCAUUUCUCAUAAAACAUUUCGAGUCUAUGUUAUUCUAUGAAUAUUCUGCAUCUCAAAAGCUACUUUCAACCAAGAACUAGUAUGAUUCAGUGCAAAGCCUCUUCCUUCAUAGUGUUCUUACAUUCAUAUGCCUCCCUGUUGAUCGAUAUUUAUUAUUUGUUAAUUUGCUUUACAGUGAUUAUUAUUGGGGUUCUGGAUAUCCUUUAUCUUGUAUCAUUGUUGUUUAAGGUUUCUGGGUUGCUUGCUGCAGGUUGAUUGAAGGAGUCAUACGAUCAGUAAACAACCUCCUUGAGAAGUUCCACCAGUCAUUUUUUCUUUACCUUUUAACAUCUCCCAGCAAGUUCGUUUCAGUAGGAGUCUAUAUGAUUGCUUUUGCGCUCCUUGUUGCACCUCUUCCAAUAGUUGCAGCUUCUCUCUAUUCUGAUGCUAAUAAAUGGGAUUCUAGUCUGAAGAAACAUGACCCUACGUCUUCCCCAAAGUCUGCUGAUGAUGAGCAUAGAAACAUCCUUCGAUCUUGGAAAUGGCUUUAUGCAGCAAAACAAGUAUUCAUUAUCCAUUCUUGGGGUGUUCUUGUGUCGUUACUUCCUUAUUUGAUAUGUCAAAUGCCCAACUGGAUGAGCAAAGUUCUAACCUGGCUUAUUUUGGGUUCGCCAAUUAUAGAUGCUGAUGCGUCUCAAUCUCAGAAAAGGGAAUGGGCUAUCUUGAAAUCAGUGACAAUCUCAGCUGCAUUUAUUGGUUUGUGCCUUAUGUCUGUUAUUAACUUCGCCACUGCAGAGAUUGGGGCUUUAUUGUUGGUACCAAUGUGUUUAUUAGCUCAUCCAUUGAGGCUGGAUGUUAGAGCUCAUAGUUUGAAAGCUUUCACCAGGGCAGGUUGUAAUCUGGUUCUGGGAUUCAUUGGAUUUCCACCUGCUGCAUUUUUUGUGUUGAAAGGUUCAUUUGAAGGUUUUGAAAGUGUCAACAUCAGCGACUUCUGGAAUUGGAUCGAGUCCCUUUGGGCAUGGAACAGUGCCACUUACCUUUAUAUAGGUAUGGUUCACCUGCCUUGCUGGGCAUUAUGCAUUUGGAUUUUGCUUCAUCCUUGUUAACACUUCCUCCCAGUUUUGUGCUGUGCAUUAUUAGUUAGAGCUGAAAAAGACGGAUUAAGGCCCUUUUUAUAUUAAUUUGUGUGGGGUGUGUACUCUCCAUCAUCUGAAUUUUACAUUGGAAAUCUAACUGUAUCAUAGGCUUGGAUGCUAGGGACUUUAUAGGGAUUUUGAAAAAAAUACAGCAAUUUUAAAAAUAUUGUUCAAGAUAUGACACUUUUGAAACUAUUUACAAAUAUAUGACACUUUAUCCAAUUGAAAGUUGUUUUUUGAAGAGAUAACUUCAGUUGACUUUUUGACUUUUUUAUUUGAAUUGAAGUUAUUUUUUCAAAGGCAUCUUCUAAUUGGAAUUAUAGAAAGUGUGGAAGUUUGAAAAUAUUUUAAUAAAUAUAUAUAUUUUUUUAAGAAAUGGUAUUUUUGUCAAAAAAAUCCAGCUUUAUGAAAUAGAGCAGAUGUGACGGGCAAGACUACAUGAGGUUGAUUGGUUAUCAAAUAAAUGGUAAUAUAGAAAGGAAGCUGAUUGAUCAGACAAUUAAAACUUGUAGAGUGAGGAAUAUCAUUGGUAGGAUUGCUUAGUUUACUCAAAUGAGUGCUGAACUCUUGGGCUUGCAAGCUGACCAUGAGUUUAAACCCAAUCCAACCUACAAUGGGGUCUGAUUGAUGAAGGCAUUAUAAGAUUGUAGUUUGUGACCAUCUACGAGGCUUUCUCUCAUGGUAAAUUUGAUAUUCACUGAAUUCUUACAGGUGCACCUGUACCAUAGGGCAUUAUUAAUCAGUUUAAGAAAUGAAUGAAGAAUUUAUGGGUUAAAACUUAAAAGCAGGUUCUUUGGGUCUGAAAACCUAGCUUAAUCUGGAUUUUGCAGCAUGGACCGGAUGGAUUGGGUUUAGUACAGGGUGGGGACCAAAACCCAUAACCUAAAAACCUGCAUUGGAUACCUUUUAAUCCAUGGCAGUGAUCCCUUUUGUAUGGAGUAUAGAUUGGUUUUCAACUUGGCUCUCCCUGUCUCAUCUGUCUAUUCCCUAGAAGAGAGGGAUUAUGAAAGGAAAAUCAGCUUGUUUAUUCCCAUAAAAUAUGGUGGUGUGGACAUCUUUCCUUUGAAUUGAAGGGAAUCAUCUAAAAAAAAGGCCAUUUGGCUUGUUAUCAGAGUAAAGAAAGGUGCUUGCUUAGUGCUGCUAAUGGAAGUAAAUUGAAGUGAAAGAAGAAGAAAGAUUGAUGAAGACCAGCCCUCUCGCUGACACGGAUUAUGCUCCCCAUGGAAUAUAUUUAUUGUUUUGGACAAUCAAAGAAGAUGCCCAGAGGUUAAAAGGCAAUAUUCCACACCCACCUCCACAGGUAAGGAACUUAUAAUAGCAUCAAAAUCCUUUAAUUACUUCAUCCUUUUUCUGCUUGAAUAGUGAAAACUCUCCAUAUAUUUUCCCAUAGGUUUAAGUCUUGUGUUUUAUUAUUUAUUAUCCAAAGUGUCUUCUAGGAAUCUUUGCCUGUGGUACUUUGAAGCCAUGCCUUUUUUAUGGCCAGCAUCAACCUAGUGUGGGGCUGCCCACUAGUGGUUGCGUUUGAUAGUUGAUCUCUGCAGGGUAAAGAUCAGUUGUGGGGCUGGUUCUUACGUCCCUAGUUUCAUUUUCAACCACAUGUGUUACAAAACAAAAGAUCAUGCAUGACACGAUUGCUUCUUGUUUGGCUCAAAAUGGUGGUCCGGAGGCCCACACAUUCAUAGUUAGAAUUUCUAGAAGAAUAAAUAUGAAUAGAUGGAUUCAACAAAUUAAUGCGUAUAUUUCAAUUUUUUAAAUUAAUUAUAAAAGCACAUAUUCUCAUUAGCAUGUGGCAAUAUUAAAAAUUCAAACCUUUUUUUUAACCUUCAAAUAAAAUCAUCUUUUACUUUUAAAAUAGAUUGUGGUGGAAAAGAGUUACUAAGAGUUUGUUUGAUAAUUGUUUUAGAAAAGAGAUUUUUGUUCUCUAUGAUAAAAAAACAGAAAAGUAUGUUUGAUAACUAAAAAAUAGAAAUGUGGAAUUGAGACGAGCUGGUUUGUCGAUUGACUCGGGAUGUGGACCGAUGUGGCUCGAGGUGGUGGCCCAAGCUCGGACUGUAGUCAUGCCCAUGGAAACGUCGUUGCCUCGAUUGUGGAACGCAAUGCGCACUGUCGUGGCAUGCCUCUAGGCACCUAUGUGCUUAGGGCAUCGAUCCAUGGAUCCCCCAUUCGACCUGUCUUGAAACACAAAUCAAGGAGUUUGACAUAUGUGCGAGUCAUCGGGUCAGUAAACCUGUAAAGUCCAAGGAAGCUGAUUGGCGGGAUCUCUCUUUGCAGGGUGCACCGUUGACUGUCCUCGUCUAAUAGUUUUCUAUUUCUAAAAACAUAAAAUAUGAUGUUUUUAAAGAAUAAUUUUUAGUUGUUUUUACUUAUUUUAUAAUAACCGUUUUAAAAAAUAAUUAUAUAAAUAUGCAUAAUAAUUAAAAAUCAAGUACCAUAUAAAAAAUUAGAUUGAAAACAACUUUGGUUCUUAAAUAGACAUUUGUUUUAGAAAGGGUCAGAACGUUUCUUGAAAAUUGUUAUGAAAUAAAGCCUAAAACUACGUUUUGUUAGUUGAAGUGAUUGAUUUUGAUCCAAAAUAAAAAAAUUGUUUUGGAGUGAUUUUAAAAGGAUUAGAAGGCCAUCUUAAAUGGUAGGGCAUUCGUCAAGGAAAUAAUACUUUUGGAUUGUUGCAAGUAUUUUUAGGAGUUGGAUCAAGUCUGCAUCUAAUAAAAGAAACAGUGAUUAAUUUCAUGCAUGGAUUUUGAGGUAGAGACUAGAGAGUGGGGUAGGGUGGCGUUGCACGUGACGAAAACAAAGCUUGAUGUGUUUUAUUGGGAGUGUGAGGGUUUAGCUGUGACAGCUGCCUUGGAACAACAAAAUAUAUAUUUAAUUUUCUAUAUAAUUGAGUUGUAAUUUAUAUUUGUUAAUUAUUUUUUUAUUUUACGUAAUAUUUAGUCCAUUUAAUCUAUCAUCUCACGCAUGACGCAACAUGAGGUGCGAGUGGAUUUUCUGGCGUUGUUGGUGUCCAUAUUUAAUUUCCUUUCACGAAAUUGCGACGGCACAUGAGGUGGCGUCUGAAAACAACGCCAACAUUGAGACCAAAACCAUUCGUCUUCCUCCCAUGUAAAGCGCGUUGUAAUUAAAAAGUAAAUAUGAAUGUUUUUUUAAGAAUAAUAAUGCAAAUGGGGAAGACAAACAUAAAAAGGAAUCCUUUCCUUUACAUACCUUUCUUAUAAUUUAUUACAAAUAAAUCAUAAGGAUUAAAAAAAUUGAUGGGAUGGGGUGCCACGUGGGUAUUUUUUUUAAUUUAUAAAUUUAUAAAAUGCAUAGAUUUUUUAAUAUGAAAAUUGGGUAGUUAAUGUUAUUUGAUGAGCAUGAUAAUUGGGAUGGGUCCAGCCGUCGAGGCCCUCGCCAUUUUUAUUCUCCUAACAGAAGGUGUGUGACACGUAUAUUGAAACCGCGAGUAGGCAAAUAUAGGCAUUUCACACCUCUUUCAUUUCUGUCUUCCUCCCUCACCUAAUCAGAACUCUUUCCUUCUCACAAAUUCUGAAAUUCCUACAAAGAACCAGAAAAAAGGCGAGAGAGAAAGAAGGAAAGUGAGAGAAAAGCAGAGAAAAUACCCUUCUAAACGCUGCGUUUUGGCAAGACCUAAGCGACAAUGUUCUUCUUUUAAUUCUUCUUGCUCAUCAUCGUCGGCGGUCAGUUGAACUUGGAGCUGUGGGUGGCACUUGGCUGAUGGAUACAAUCCUCUGUGACGAACUCCUCCAGGAAAUUUUCCACCGUCUUCCUUCCUCUUCAUUCCCCGCCGUCUCUCUCGUCUCCCGCCGCUGGCUCCGCCUCUACCGCACCUCCAGAACUUCCCUCUCUCUCUGUAUCCCCCCUCGUAAUUCUACUGUCGGUCCUCCCUGUGUGUUGUCUCUUCUUUCUCUUUAUCCUUUUCUCUCUUCCCUCUCUAUAUCCUCCACCGAUUCCACCACCGCCUUCUCCGACUACCUCCUCCGCUCUGUCUCGUCUUCUUGCUCCACUCUACGCCGCCUCAGCUUCUUGGUCGGCCCUGUCUCGCUAUCCGCCCUUGUUUCUCUGUCUGCUUCCUUUACCCAACUCACCUCUCUCACUAUUUCUCUCUCGACUCCUCUCUUUCUCAGGUGGGUAGGUUUUUUGCCUGCUCUGAAAGAGUUAUCGAUUAUUAUAUGUUCCAGAGAUGUUGUAGAAUUUGAUUCUAAAGAAGAAGAUGGGUUGUGGGUAAAUGAAGGUUCUGAUUCAGAAUUGCCUUUGGAAAGUCUUUGCUUGUCGGGCCUUGGGUCCGAUGUUUACGGUAUCGGUUGGCUAUGGAGGAGCUGUAAAAAGCUUCGAAAAUUGCGCCUCUGCAACUGUGAGAGUAUCGGUGAUGGAGGGUCGUUUUCGUCAUUUGAUACGUGUAUACAGGGUCUUCAAGAAGUGGAGCUCAGAACAUGUAGGAGUAUUGUUGAUGGGGUUUUACUGAAAUUAGCUCAGAAUUGUUUAUCUCUGGAUUCCUUAUUGGUUUAUGAUGGUGGCAGUGAAGAGGGUUUUCUAAGGUUCAUUAACCAAUGUCGGUGUAAUUUGAGGAAACUUGAUCUUAGGUUACCUCUCGACCUCCAUAAUAGUCACCUCUUGGCUAUUGCCCAGAAUUGCAGGGGCCUCUCCUGUAUUCGGCUCCAAAGUUGCUGUCUUGUUACUGGCGAUGGCCUCAAGAGUCUAGUAAUAGCCAUGGGUAAUGGGCUUGAAGAAUUGGCACUCAUAAAUUGUGAUGUGGUGGAAAGGGUACCUGGGAUGCUCACCACAUUAGGACAAAACUUAAAGGGGUUGAGGAAAUUGGAUUUAUCUUAUAAUGAAAUGUUGUUGGAUAAGGAGUUUAUUUCGAUGCUCGUUUCAUGUAAUUAUCUGAUUGAUUUGAGGUUAAGAGGGUGUAGACGGCUAACUGGUGCAGCCUUGGUUUCUACUAUUAAAAACUGCAAAUAUUUGGAGAACUUAGAUAUCAUGAAUUGUUCUGGGAUAAAGGCUGAUGCUGUUGAGGCAUUUGUUUUGAAUUCUCGUCGGUUGAGACACUUGUUGGUUGAGGAAAGCAAGCUAUCAGUGUUGCAUGAACAUGGGCAUCAAAUUAAUUUAUCAAGGUUAAUGUUUGAUUAGUCAAAUUGAUGGUAGAAGAACUGCAAUUUCUGUUAUUUGCAGUGUCAGAAGGAAAUGGUUCAUAUUUCCCAUUUCUUGGUCCAUCUCUGAUUAUGAAUGCUUAUGUUUUACAUUGUUUGUGUUGUGAAAUUGAGAGUAGUUCACUCUGCUCGGUCAAUAAUAAUGCUUGUACAGAUGCUUGAAUACUUCAAUGUUGUGUGAUUGAAUCAGUUGUAUGUGAGUAUUCCUUAUUUGUUAUAAUCUAAAAAAACCACAUUUUUUUAGUUCUUUAUUGUGCUGUUUGCUUCUACCGAACAUGCCGAACAUUGCAACUACUUUUGGUGUCUUCAAUUGCUUUUCAGUUUGUAAUUCAUACAUAGACUAUUUCCAAAUUCAGUCUUUUAUUGCAUAAGUUUUUGUUUGAAAAUCAAGUAGCCAAUAGCCUUGAUUUUUUUGCCUUGGUUAUUCAUAUUAGAUUAAAGGGAACGAUUAAGUCCACAAUUUCUAUAUAUUUGACUAUUGUUUUUCAUAUUUAUUUGCGGUUGACCCUGUGCAUGGUGGUUAUAUGUUUGAAAUAUAAAGUAUACAAGGACAAAGCAAUGGGGCAGGUGAAGUUUAUUUUCUCCAUUACCCUUCGGCUUUCUCCUUCAUCUCCUCCUAUCCUUCCCCCAUGCAAAGUCUAGAAGUCACUAUAAGCCCAACAUCACUCAAUUAAAGCCAAAAAUUCAAUGAUCCUAUAAUCCCUCCUCUAAAGAAGUGUGGCUUUGUAUCUACUCCGGCUUAGAGACUGGCUUUUCACAAUUGAAUUCAGGAUUAAGAAGCUUUUAGUUCUUCUUGCAAGCAAGUUGUUUGGAAUUUUGAAUAGCUUUGUUGAGUGUAGGUUGUGUAAGGCACUAAUGGAGACAUGAGUAGAAGGCAUUAGUCAGUCUAAACCAUCAAACAAUGAACAUAGCAUCCUUGGAUGAGGUUAUGAAGUUCUAACUUCUCAGUGGUUGUUCAAGAGUUCUCUACGUUUGUGUAGCUCAAAAGUGCCUACUACCCUGCAAGAGCAAAGGAUGAGCACAGAGGACAUGGUAAUGAAACAAUUGGUUUACUGAAAGUUUGAAAGCAGAAAUGAGCUGGCUACAAUGGUCCUCUUUUCAUCAUAGGCAACGGUUAUGUUGGUGAAUUGUUCAUCUGGAGUACUUAAAGAGUAUCUUCCUCUAUUUUCAGGGUUCUUUUUUUGAAAGGAAUGAUAAAUUUUCAUAGUUGGUGAAUUGUUCAUCUGGAGUGCUUAGAGUAUCUUUCUCGUUCAGGGCUCAAGUUUUUAUCAAUUUUCAAGAAAUGUUGGUGUAACACUUAAAAAUUCUACAUGUUUGUGUAGCUCAAAAGUGCCUACUACCCUGUAAGAGGGAAGGAUGAGCACAGAGGACAUGAUAAUGAAACAAUCUAUUUACUGAAAGUUUGAAAGCUGAAACAUACUGACUACUUGCCUUAUUAACAGCAAAAUAUGAGUUGCUGUUUAGGCCUGAGAAUUUCAAGAAGAGCAGGAGAAAUGAGCUGGCUACGAUGGUCCUUUUUUCAUCAUGGGCAGUACUUAUGUUGGAGAAUUGUUCAUCUGGAGUACUUGAGUUAAAAGAGUGUCUUCCUCUAUUUUCAGGGUUCUUCCUCUGAAAGGAAUGAUAAAUUUCCGUGGUUGGUGAAUUGUUCAUCUGGAGUACUUUAAGGGUAUCUUUCUCAUUCAGGGCUCCCCCUUUGGCAGGAAUUACCAAUUUUCAAGAAAUCUUCUUAAAAAUCCUUUUGUUUUCCAUUAGAUGCUGCAGCCAAUGUUUACUCUCUUGAGGAGAUUUUGGAGAGGCAAGGCUGAUCUCUCCUGUUCACAAACAUUACAUUCCUGGCAUUUCUCCUAGAUGGCCUUAUGAUAUGUGGGCAAUAUCAUUGCAGAAAUUCAUUAGGUUCUGUAUUGAUUUAAGAACUUGAAGCAUGAACUUGGAAAAAACGGGAAUCAUAGUUGGCAAUGAGCAGGACUUGCUAGUAGUCCUCAGGUGGCAUUGAAGAUGGUGUACCAUAGUUCAUAAAUGGCAAGCCAAAGUCAGCCAAAAAAAACAAAAGUCAUUCCAGUUGAAGGGUCGACCUUCAGAAAGGUAGAUGGAUUGAUCCUUCAGAGUUUAAUGCCUUUAAUCAGGUACUCUUGUAGGUGAGUUGACUUUUGCCGACUCUGAAUGAAAUGCAUUUGGGUGGAAGGUCCAGUUAGUCAUUCUUAAAUUUAUUCCCAAAAAUAUUAAAAAGUUUUAAAGUGAAUUUAAGAAGCUACGGCCACCCUUUUUAGAUGGGUCAUGUUCAGUAAGGAGCCCUUCCUGAGAUGUGGUCCUCCUCCAGAAUUGGUAUUUGUGCUUUUGGUUUUGUUGCUUGAAUUGUAACACAAAGCACCUGAAAUUUGAGGCUUGCUUAGACUGUGUUAUGAUGAGUCACGUUGGCUGCCUGCUUAAACUAAUCUUCAAGGCUUCUCCACACCCAUAUGGGAUAAAGAUUUGACCUCCACCUCUGGCACAGAAUGAGGUCAAACUAUUCAAAACCUUGAAAACUGUGUGGUGGAUUAGAUUAAAGCGUGAGAAAUUGGUCACGUUUAACAGACUAAUCCAGAUAAGAAUUAGGCCUAGUGUCGGUGCAUCAAUGUCAUGUAUUUCACAUGGAUCAUGCUUUGAUAUUUUGUCAUUAUCUCUUAUCCUUGUAGAUGCAUCCAUUUGAAUUUCAUUAUUUCUUCCUCCUGUGCUAUUAUUUCUCCUUGGUAUGCAUAAAUAAAUCAUUGCAGCCUACUUUCCUUCAUAUUAUCUUUGUCUUUUUCUAUUCUUCUCUAUCUCUCAACACAUUCAUCUAAGAAAAAUAUUCUGUGGUAGGGUUUCUUUCGGCUGUGGAUUAACAAUGCUCACUGUACAUAGAAAAAAGGGUCCUCCCCCCUUUUGAUUUUUUUUUCUUUUGUUUUGAACUUUGUUAGUUUGGAAUAUAUUGUGGAUAAGCAUAUUAGUUUCAGCUUUUAGAAAAAUUAGGAAAGGGAAAUGGAUCAAAACUCAUAGAAGAAUUGAGAAAAACUUCAAGAAAUGAUUAAACAUGCAAUAAUACAUAUUGAAGUUGUUUUAUCGAAGAAAAUAAUGUUUUACAAAAUUUGCGAUAUUUGACGAUGAUGUAAUGUGUACUGAUAAGAAAUAUGAAUUUUUAAAGUGUGCAUUUAAUAUUAAAGUUAAUAUUUAAUUUCUUUAAAUGUUAAUAGUUUAUAUAAAUUCCAUUCUAAUAGUUCUCUUUAAUACUAAAAUGAAAAUGAAUUGUGUCGGUGAUACUUGAGAAUGAAGUCUAUUUUGAUGGAGACAACAUUGGUGUCGUAAAGAGGAGUUUACAUAAUAUUGGUUGUGAUUAUGAAUACGUCACGCAUAAGUCUCUUGGUUCCUACCUAGUGCUUUUCUAUAGAUUGGAAACUUUUCAUCUCAUAAUCUGGAGUAGUCGGCUUUCACUUGUUACAUUAGAAUGAUAAAUGUUAAUCUCAUUUAAUGAGUCAUUGUGUCGACUCUAUACUUGUGGACUCAAAACUGAUUGAAAAAGACUCAGUGUCAAAUGCUAUCAUCCUUUCUUGUCUCCUUUUUCUAUAUGCCUUCCUAUAGCUAGGGAUAGCAAGAAAAGCCUAUUAAGGGGGGAUGCAUAGUAAUAAUCUAGGUUAGGGUUAGAGAUGAGGACCCUAUUUCAUGCCUCCUCCACACCUUGAUUGUAUAUAUAUAUAUGUAUACUUUUAUAUUUAAAAAUUAAAAAUAAAUAUAAAAAUUAUGAAAUUAAAAAGCUAAAAAGGAUUCCCCAUCCCCAUCCCCAUCCCUACCUCACCUAGUGUAAAAUGAGGAAUGAAGAAUAAAUUUACAAAGGGAGAUAGGGAUAAGGAAGCCCUCCUCAGCCUCGACCUGCUCUGUUUACAUCAUUACCGAUUACUUCUAUGCUUAGAUUAGCAUUUUUAGAUCCAUGGUUUUUGUCUUAGUCCAAUGUGUGAAAUCAAAUUCACUAAUGAGUUUAAUGGAUGUUGAUUUUGGUUAUGUUGUCCAACAUUCUCUCUACCAUGGCUGUCGUUAUCAUCAUCAUCUCUCUCCUUUUGAGAUAGUAUAGAUGAAACUAGAAGCAACAACACCAUUUCUUUGGUUAAGACUCAUGGAGUCAAUGGUAACACAAGGAGGUUGUAUUAGUGGUCGCAUUGCUUGCUCAAAUCAAUUUGCUUUGCCUUUACUAUGAACUUCUUCAAGCAACACUCUUCAAGUAUCAAUGCUAGCAUAAAAAACAUGUGUGACAAUUUGUGGAUUAGGAUUUCUGUGGUCAUUAUCUAACUUAGUCAACUUUAUCCAUCUACUGCAAAUGAUGAUACAUCCAUAAGGCUUCCAUUUUCCUUUUUGGGUAUUGGCACAAGCUUCCAUUUCAUUGUAUGCCUAAUCUUUAUCUCACAAGGAAAUGGAGUGGGUAGGCCUAUUGAUAUGUAAUAAAAAAAGUAAAAAUUAUUAUAAACAUAGUCACUAAGUAAUAUGCACAUUGUUAAUAUUUAAUAGUAAUUUCACUUAUAAUAAUUAUCUUGACAUGUUAUGCACUAACUAUCAUGUUUUUGAAGUGACGAGACAACACUUUUUAUGAAAAAAAAAUACUCUUCUAGAUGAAGAAUUUGCUAAUCAAUUACUUUAUGGUUUCUUUGAUUGAACUACUUUUGAACACAUCUUUAACACUAAUUGAACUAGAUGAUUUCAAGAGUGAUGGUGCAGGGUGUUGGAUUUGAGACUCGAAUACUUUGUAUUCAUUGAAUAAGUAUUAGUAUAUCGAAUACUUUGUAUUCGAUAAGCCUCUCUUUUGUUAGAGUGCCUUAUUAGUUGGGCACAUGUAUUCCUCAUCAUCAUCAUCAUUUGUUUGUUUUUGAUUUUCUAUCAUUGUGUCAUGUAAUUCAGCUUAAAUUUCCUUUGUAUGUAGAACAUUUUUUGUUUUUGCCUUACUCUUUUGUAUGGAAAACGCCUUUCUUCUUAGGUUUUAGGAGGCAUGUUGUGAUGGGUAUGUAGGUGAAAUAAUAAGCGAUCCAAUUUGAAUCUCCUUUUGUAUGUGGAGUCUUUUUUAUGUUUUUGUUUUACUCUUUUGUAUAAAAAAAACUUUUAUCUUUAUGUGGACUUUAUAAGACAUGUUAGAAUGAGUUUGACGGUUUGUAUGUGAUAAAUGAAAUUUAAAUUGUAUGAUACCAUCACUUUAAAUGCUAUAACGAUAAAAUAAGCAUUCUGUACUAUUUAUGUUCCCUUCCACUAUAAUACAACAAAAUUUCACCGACAAUCUCGUGUGCCACAUCCACAUCCACUAGCCAUUGGUUAUAAGCAUUGAAUUAAAAAAAUAAAUUGAAAUUUUGUAUGUCUAUAAGAGAAACCAUAUAUUAUUAAAUUAAAUUAAAUAUUAAAGUAAUAUUUUUUAGUUAUACAGAUAAAUUAAAUUAGAUUAAAUUAAAUUAAAUAUUCAAGUGAUAUUUAAAUUAAAGAAAUUAAAUAAAUACCUUAAAAAGUUAAAGAAAAAAUUAUACAAUUUUAAGGAUAAAUAAGAAUUCAUAUCUAAUUAAAUUAAAUGAGAAAUAAAAUUGAAAUUUAAUUCAUCAUAUUAAACAAUGACUUUACCAUCAUGUUUUGAAUGUUAAAAUAAAGAACGAGAAUUGAGAAUCAAUUUCAUUCAUAUUCAUUAAUGUAUAGAUUAUCUUUUUAGAAUGAGAAUAAAAAUAAAAAAUUUAUUAAUAUCAAAAUCAAAUCUUGUUCUAAGUAGGCUUUCAUUAAUAUGGAAAUCAAACUUCAUUUCAAUCCAAAAUAAAAUGAAUAUAGGUUUAAAUAUUGAACUAUAUAUACAAUUGAAAAUUAAUAUGAGAUUAAUUUUGAACAACUGCUUUUCCGACGCUUUUGGGUAGAUUGCCUGAAAAUCCCAUACCUUAAUCAUGUAUUCAUGUUGUUCAUCCUAGAUUAAUCAAUCUUUAAACUCUAAAAGUCAACGAAAUUGACGGCUUCAAUCCGCCCUUUUUCUUUACUCUUUAGCCAUCAGUCAUCACACGGUUGUCCAACCGGUGCCCGGAGAGAAAGACCAAAUGCAAAAAUGAUCGAAACCAAGAGACAAAAAUUAGAACCAAACAGGGUUCUAAUUGACGAAAUUGACGGCUUCAAUCCGCCCUUUUUCUUUACUCUUCACCCAUCACACGGUUGUCCAACCAGUGCCCGGAGAGAAAGACCAAACGCAAAAAUGAUCGAAACCAAGAGACAAAAAUUAGAACCAAACAGGGUAUUAGCCGCCACAGCCCGCUUUUCCCGGGCCUCCUCUUUUUGGCGGGAAACACGCUGCGGAAUGAAUCCAAAGUUUGAAACUUAGGUGUAGUUCUUCCCGCCAAAAAAGAAAAAAGAAAUUCAAACGGGCAGGUCGGGCAGCCCAAAACCGCGUAAAGCCGCCUCCGAGUCUCCGACCGAAGCCUCAAUAAGAAAAGGAGGAACGGAAGCCGAUGGAGAGUUUUUUUUUAAUGAGGUUUUACCGUCUUAGCAUUUGGAAAUAGGGGAAUCUUUUAUUAUGGUAACUUAGGAUUCCUUGUACCCCCAUGUGUACAUGUCUACCCCCUUCUCCUUCAUUGGAUUCCCCCCUCCCCUUUUUCCCAAUCCAAUUACCAACUACCCACAAUCAAACCCUUCUCUUUUUUCUCUCAUUCUCACUCCCCCUACAACCCACCGCCACUCUCUUCUUUUGACUUCUUUCUCAGCUACUUCAUUCUCAACUUUUUCCUUACUACUGACCUUACCCACUUAUUCCUCAUUUCAAAACCAAGGUUAAGUGCUUCCCCUUCAUGUUGUUGUGUCCAUGCAAUUUGUUUAACAAAUUUGUGAAGUAAAACCAUAGUCUCUCACCUUCUAAUCCUGCAUUUUUUGAGUACUUUUUUUUUAUAGUAAAACUGUGAAAUCUUCAUAAAUUUCUAUAGUGAUGAAGACCUAGUCCACUGCUAGCCACCAACCACAUGGCUCACUAGACAAUCAAUUCAUCUUCUGUUUGUUGUUAUUCAAAUAGUACACCCUAAUUUGUUUCCUUACGUUCUGGAAUCACUUUUUUAAUGUUUUAUUUCAACGCGGUUUUGACUCAAUAAUGAUAUCUUAGGACUAAUCUGAUACAGCAAUUAUUGGGCUAAGUUAGUGACAUUGGGUUUAGGCAGUGUAUUAGUGUAUUUCCCUUGACCUCCAUAACAGGGCUUCUUCAUUACAGCUCUAGGUGACAGGGUCCAGGGACUUGAGGAUUGGAUUUGAAAAUAUGCCUGUGGCUUCUAAUAAAGACCCUUUGGAUUGGCCUAACUGAUGAAUAUGCAGGCAAUCAUAUCAUUUGUUAUGUAGCUUUACUGUUGUCUCUAUCAAAUUAAAUGAUCUUUGUAAGGUCUCCAGAGACGAGCAAAUCCCAAGUUGGCCAUUAGGACUUGCUUAUGAGAGCUUCUUGGAGACGACAAGAAGAGGUCUUUCACCUUGUCCUCGCUUAUUCAAAAUCCAUUCAUUGAAUGUUACAGUGUUUGUCAUUUCCUCUGGAAAAAGUUUACUUUCUCGAGAGGGUUUACCUAGCAUGUGAAAAAGUACUUUCAUUACUGGGUGUAUUUUAUAUGCCUUUUGCCAUUUAACUGAUAAUUUAGUGGAUAGUCCUUAUGAUAAUCGUACAUGAAUGCAGCUUUGAGUGCACCUUUUAGUAGGUUUUUUUUUUUUCCCUUUUGUUCCUUUUGUUCUUUUGCAUACCCCAGAUUCAUGCUGAGAAAAAUAAUGUUCAUAACCUGUGAUUGAAAUAGCUUUGUGAAAUCGUAUGGCUUAUUUAGACUUAGGCCUGUAACAGUAGAUAAUAUGUUCAAAAACAGUGUAGUGAAAUUUGAGCUUAGCUUCCUCAAGAUUCAACCGGACGUUUUGCUUCAAAAUGAAACUUUCUUGGCAAGACUGUUGAUUUGGCAGGGUGCAGAGAAAAUAAAAGAGUACCAGGAAAAUAUUUCUAUCAGGAAAAAAAGGAAGGGAAAAAACCAACGGUCCAAAAUCAAUGCCAACUAACCAUAUUGGAGUUGACACUUAGGUCAUUCAAUUCAAAAUGACUACUAGCUAGCUGACAAAGGUGGAGCUUAAUUUUAACUUAAAAGUGUUGCAAGAUGCUUUGUUAAGUGGUUGUGAUCCCUAGAAAUCAUUAUUUAUAAUGCGAAAGGAAUCCUAGAUUAGUUGAACUUCCCCUUAUCACCUUUUACACAAAUCUCUUCUUGCUUGAUCAGGGGCAACAUACAUAUCCUGUCUGACUCCACCAUAAACAAAUGUGGGUUUGGUACAUGAUAAACAUGCCUCAAAUCUUAUCCUGAACCACAUCCAUUUACCAUGUUGAAGCCAAACCAGCAAACUGUCUUUGUCAAGAAGUGUUUGAACCAAACGAUGCUUAAACCCCACAUAGGAUUCUAAUCUAAAAUCUCCAUAUGCGUUUGUCCUUUUAUCACCAGUGAAGCAUGAGGAAGUUGGUUUGGCAUAGAGCUCUAAGUGAAGUGGGUCAUGGGAGUGGGGCACAGGAAGACUAAAGAGAGGGUGGCAGAGCAUAAAAAAAGGUACUUGCGCUGAGGAAGGUUGUGAAGGAUUUGUCACAGUCAACCAGUUGUAUGAAGCAUCCGUGCAGCAUCACCAGCCAUGAAAAAGAUAUCCUUUUACAUGUGUUGAGCAACUUUUGGAUUCUUAGCUAGAUAUUGACUGGCGUUUGGUGUCGUAUGCAAAUAACACAAAUGGAUGUGUCUCCGGAGAGGGAGAGAUGGGGACUUGGGAGAGAGUUCAAAACAAAAAUGUAAAGGGGAGGUGGUGGUGAAGGGACGAGGAAGUGGGAGUUGAUGAGUGGAGCAGAGCAGAGCAGAGACUUGAUGAAUGAUGAGUGGGGCAGAGUUCAUAAACAGUGAAACAUAAGAGUAAAAGGGCAGAGAGAUUCACUUAAGAAUCAUGAGCGGAGCAGGGUUGAUAAGCAUAGCAAAUAGCAAAUAUGAACUCUGCUCAUGCCAUUUUCAGCUUUACAAACAUGUGAGAUUGAGAGAGAGAGAUGAAAAAAAGAAGUCAGUUCAUCCAAGCUCAAAAUCCUCAAAACCUCACUUAACAUUAAGCACUGAAAGCAGUGCAUCUCAUUCCAACAAACAUGGAAAUAAGAAAGAAAAAGGAAAGAAAAGAGUAGGACUAGUAAUGCUAAACCAAAACAAAAACACUCGAAAAACAUACCAACGAGAAAAAUGAAAAACACUUGUCAUUAAGCAAAAAUGAAGAACUACACUAGACUACCGAUUUCAUAAACAUACUAUCUUUGUACAUCAUCAACUCUCCUCCACUACUGAGAACCGGAAAAAGAGGAACAAAGCAGAAACCAGAUUCAUGACUAUAUGGGUUCCAAAACCCCUCCUAAUCUCAACACCUUAAUUCGCCCUCUCAACAUGGCGUAUAAACACUGAUUCCAAAUCAGGAGGCGUGAAGAACUCCCUCACACCAUUCAAAUGACAUCUCGACGGCCGUCGCUUCCUAGGCGCCGGCGGGCACGGCAAUCUCUCCGGUAUUCUCGCUUCUUUCGUUGUCGGGGUCGUUGAACAUGCCUCGUCAUCGCUCUCCUUCUCUCUGGGCUUAGUACUCACGGGCCUCAACGGAGCCCGUAUCGAUAUUCCGGCGAUUACCCAUUUCUUACCCUCAGAUUCUAUACUUCCAUCCACUUGCGGCUUCUCCGAAAACCCCAUCUCCAAUUAGAACACCCAGAGCAACCCAGAUGCAGAACAACACCAAAGUGAAGAAAAAGAUGGGAUUUGAUCAAAGAAUCAGAACAAAUCAAGAAAAAUGGGAGAGAAAAUUGGUGUGGGAAAGGAAGAACAAAGAAUAAGCGAAAAGGGUCUUUGUUUCUAUGCGAAUAGUGUCGGAGAAGAAAAGAAGAGAGAAGUAGGUUCGAAUGAAGAACGAAUAUUGUGAAAGAGGAAAAGAGAUUAUAUUUGGGGGGAAAGCUUCGUGAGAUACAAAAAUGUUGGUGGUGAGCUGCCCGUUAAAUUACGGGCAGCCGAAACCGAGUGAAACUCUGAUUUUGGCGCCAAAAUUUGGGGUUUAGUUGAUAACGGCUCUAUUUCCCGCGUUUAUUUCCUUUCUUUUUUUGGUUGAUUUCCGGUUUUGCCCUCGCUUCGCAUUAUUGUUGUCUGGGAAGUGAUGCGGCCGCACGAUCACCGGUGAUCUUGAAGGCAAUGGAACGGUGUCGUUUUAAUCAAGAAAAACCAAAAACCUUUCAUUGGGCCUGGGCCAUUCAAAAUGACUGCUCCUAGGACAUCGGAGAACAGAACUGGAUUCAACUAGAAAAUUGGCUUCUUGAAAAAUGAUGAGAUAAAGCAUGAUUUUAAUUGGGUUGAAGUGAGAUUGAUCACCUCAAACACUGGGUCAAAGUUUUGAUUUCUGAAUUUGAAGCUAAACAUUUUUCCUUUCAAGAGUGGUAAUAGCAAGGUGUAAAAGUUCAGUCCAAAUCAGAAAAACACGAGAAGUAUUUAGAGUUCGUUUGAUAGUGAUUUUAAGAAGUGUUUUUAGUGUUUUCAAGUUGAAAAAAAAAAUAAAAACGUUUCCUAAAAUCAACACUUUUAGUUUUGAAUUCCCAUUCUCCCCAUACAUUAUUGCAACAGAUUCAGAAGCCUGUUAUUUGAAGAAUGAGUACUGUAGAUUAUUUAGGGUUUUUGACUAAUGGUGAAAAACCCACUCGUGAUUGGUUGGGUUGGCACCCUGCAGGAGAUGACACUGGACCUAAUAAGGAAAAGUGCAUUUCAAUUGUGAAACCCUUUGGAUUCCUUCAAAAAGCUUAACAACUUUCAUGUUCAAUUGUUCUUGCCAUCAUUCUGAUACUUUCAAUAGACCACCAAGAAAACAAAAAAAAAUGAUCUUAUUUCAAAAACUUCCUUCUAUCUCUAAAAAAUUCAAAGAGAUGUUUCAAAAUAUCCAUUCCCACCUUUAUAUUUCACCCUCAAGGGUGAAUAUUUUUUUCUUUCUGCCCUUUUCCUCAGAAAAGAAAAAGUCCACAAUCAGCUACUGGGCAUUAUUUUUCUAGGAAUGGAUUCCAUUUCCAUCAUCCCUUAGAAAACAAGCAUAUUGCUUUCGUGCUGAAAUCAGCCACCAUUUUCUCCACGCCACAGGCCUCCUAAUACAAACCCUCAUAUCAUAGGUUUCUGAUAUGCUCUGCUUCAGUGUCAAUGAGUGAUGGUACCAAAAGAAGAAAUUAAAAAAAGGGGGAAGGGGGUGGAGCAUGUUUAUCAGAUCUCAGCUGAUGCAGCAGUGGGGCCCCAUGGACGGCCUGCCAUCUUUGACAACCCAAUAAGAGGCCAGAACCAGAGAACCUCUGACAUGGCGCCACGUAUGCCACUAGGCUGUCCUCUACUUUUAAUUUCUGAUCAUAUGGUUGUCUUUCUCUGAGGUCCCAUCAAUGUUGGGCCCACCUGCACUCACUUCAAAUUGCAAUUUGCAACCCCAACUUCUGUUUCCCCAUCUUUUAUAAAUUAUUACUUAUCAGCUUUCCUUGUCACUGGGCGUUGCUGAUUCAAACCAUCCAACAACACGCACACAAGCCAGGCCUCCCCUGUUCAUCUACCAUUCAACCCAUGAAGCAGUAUCAUACUUUGAGACGUCUACAAUAAGUGUAACAUGCUUUUAAGUCAUAUUGAGAAUGACCCAAAUGGUAACAGCACCUACCCAAUUCCCUUUCUUGGGGUUUGUAGCAAUGACCUCAAACAACAGGGUCUCUGUUUCUAUUCCUUUUGGUUGGAAAGUAGUGAUUCUAUAGCCAACUCCUGACGGGUUGCCCAUAAACAUUAGAGACUUUUUUCACUUGGGAAGGGCAAAAGCCACAAAACAGAGCAAUAGACUUUCAAUUUUGCCACAUUUCAAUAUUUCCAGCUGGCUUAAAGAUUGGUGAAUGUUGAUUUCAUAUGAGGCAAUAUUUGAGUGCUGGUGACCUUCUCUGUUUUUGAACGGUCGUUGUUGCUUCAGAGGGUGGCUAAGCAACUGUCACUAACACUUGUCUUUUUGGUAAAAUGCUACAAAAUUUUGGGUUGGGUGAUUGAAUAAGGCAGAAGCCAAUUAUAGGCAUUUUUUUUCCCGAAAGAGUGGCCGAGGGGUCGGCAAUUGCUUUCAGAAACAAUUCUAAAAAAUAGUUUUUAAGAACUGAUUUUCGAUUUUUGUAGGACAAAGGUUUACUUGGAAACCUAAAAUAUUUUUAACCUAUUUUUAAUGUUUUAAAAAUAAUUUUUAUAUCUAACAUUUUAUUUUUAAUUAUUUUAGUACAAUUAUUUCCUAAAAUAAUUCUUCGAAAUAAGUGAAAAAAGCUAAAAUAUGUUAUCUAAAAAUACCGUAUUUUUUGUCCAUAAGAAUAGAAAACAGAAACCAAUUUUUAAUUAUUAAAUAUGUUUUCGAUAUUUUUUGUUCUAGAGAACAAAAAAUAGUUCCCCAAAGAGGUCCCAAGUUUUCAGAAGAUUUGGCUAAGCAUCAGAAGCAGAGUAUUAAGUAAAUAGCAAACUAGAAAUACUGCACAACAUAAAAGUAACAUUCCUCAUCUGGUUGAACACUCACGUAUGUGCUUGCUUGUAACCAGGGGCUUUCUAUGAUUUUCAUCCUAUAACAGUAAGCUGCAAAAGGACAAAAAUAAAAUGAAAAAAAAACAUAUAAAUUCAGUAUACCAUAGGGGCAUGGAAGCAUUUAGAAAAAUACUUGAUAACAUGGGAGACCUGAUGCAUGCAUGUUAUGACCACAAAUGAAAAAAAAAAUAGGAAAAGCUCUUUUCAAUUGAAAAAAUGGAAAAGCAAAAGCCAAGUUGAAAUCACCUCCAUCCAUCCACGUAGGGGCGGCUAAGAAUGACAAUAAAUAUUUGUUGGGUCGGUUUGAUUUGGAUUGUUUUUUUGUAAUGUUAUGCAACCCCUUUUAUUUAUACCUAUGCAUUAUUGUUUUCACUUUUCCCCUUGGGGCCUCUGUGACAUAUCGGUGACGCUCAUAAAAGAUACUUGUACUGCAACACAAAGAAUAAGCUGCUUUCUUUGGACAUUAUCAACAUGUUCUGUCACAUUAUUGGCUGGCAAAGCCAUCAGGAAUGUCCAUCACUAUCUAUAGAGUAGUCCAACCUAGAUGGUUCAAUUAACUGACCAGGUCUGGGGUGGUAAACACAUGACCAUUAUGGACAUUAACAAUAAAGAUUUGUGGGCAAAUAUUCUAAGCAGCAUUAUUUAACAUUAACAACAUUUUUUCAUGAAUAAUAUUCAUGUUGGAACUUUAUAUUUUAGUCCAAUGGAUUCCUAGGACACCAAAUUCUGGGACCCUCCAUGGUGGCUAACUCAGUCCAUGCAUAUAUAUUGUAUAUAUAAGACAGAAGAUUCCCUUCCUAUCUGUUUAGAUGUGCAUUAGGCUUUAUCUUUAAGUCUAAAUCAUUAUCAUUACCAUGGUAGAAUGUUAUGUUUGGACUUAUUACAGAAGUAAACCAAAUACAACCACUCAGUGGCACUUACUUUCCUUCUACUUAAUCACCUUUUGGACAAUUGAAACUAACCGUGACUUGAUCGUUCACUAAUUGAAAUGGGCACUUGAGAUGACAGAAUACCCAAGUAUUACUAAAACAAUAGGAAUAAAGUUUAAUCCAAACAUCCUACAUUGCUAAUUAAUAAAAAACAAACCGAGGCAGAUUUGAACUCACUUCCAUGCUAUUUGAACCUUGCUCUGAUGAAAUUGAGUGAAAAAUUUCAUUUUCCUGAAGCUAAGUUUCAAUGUGGAUUCUUUUUAAUUGCUUGAAUGUUUAGUCACUUCACUAAGAAUGUAUCCAUGAAUAUGCCCAUGAAUAUUUACUUACCUCUCUCUGGCAUCAGCAUUACUUUUGAAAGGGAAUAAUUCUUGGACUAGGCAAAAACAAUGCUGGGCAACAACAUCUACAGUUGACUAACAACCAUGAAAAGAACUGGUAUGCCCACAACAUACUUGUAUAGCCUUGUGAUAGAAGGAAAGACUAUUGGGAAUAUUGGUAGUUUCUCCCGUAAGUGGAAACAUCAGAAUGAUUUUAGCCUCAAGAGCAAUAGAUCUAACUGAAGGUAUGAUUUUCACUAAAGCUACAUUGGUCUACUAGGACAUGUGACGAAUCAAUCAAUGGGACCAUUGUAUAUCUGGCCAACACUCUAAUAUAAUAUCCCCCAUACCAAGUGGCAUUUUGUCAGUUCUUACCUACUUUUAGCAACAUACGCAUCAAGAGAUUAUUACUGAUAUCUAAUGUUCUGCAGAUUCAAAGUUUUAAACUCCCUUGAUCUAGAGCUGCCACAAUUUCAGAAGACAAAGACAUAUUAAGCUUACUUGGAGAGUUUGCCAGUUUGGAUCAAGAGAAUUCUGAGCCAUUUCACCUUCAUUUCAACCAGUCCUGUAUGAAGAAUGGCAACUGAGGCUUAUAUUCCAGAAUUCAUAUCUAUAACAGUAAGCAAGAUUGCCUCUUUAGUCAUAUGGUUUCCGCUUUGUGUUUUGCUGUUAUUUACAAUCGUUACCGGAUUGGAAUAUUGAAAUCUUGCAUCACCAUGGAUGAUUUGAACCACACUGUGUUUCUCUUGAUUUAUCAAUAUUCUUUAACAUUUAUUUCUGGAUUAUUGAAUUCCAGAAAUAACAGGCUUGCAGGAUCAUGAUACCUGAGACAAAUAUUAUGAAGUUCCUGCAAUUUAGAUUUACACCAGAACCAUGAACUAACAAACUAUUUAGUUCUGAAACUCUAUGGUUCACUAAUAAGCCCUAUUCAUACUUUUUGUAUCAGAAUAUACAGUUCUCCCUUUUUGAUCAGAACAUAGUCCAAAAGACAAAAGGUUGCUACUUUUUCAAGCUUUAUUUCUCAGUAGUAUGCUUUUCUCUAUCAUAAGUUUGGAAAAGUUGGUUCCCAUUAUAAGAACAGAGUUUUUACAUAUAAUAAUUUUCUAGUUCCUAUUUUUAAGCAUCGAAUAUCCUAGUAAAAUUUUAUUCAUCUUCAUUUUAACAGUCUUGAUUUAUCAAAACCAUAGGAAAAAGUAAUCUUUCCAACCAGUUCUCUCUUUCUGAGAAGAGCCUGGGUUCUGAAAUUCAACAUACUAAUAGUAAAUCACUAAAACAUUCAGGGGAAACCAAUUGGCAUGAAAUAGUUGAUCCCUGGGACAAGUUCUCAAACAUUUCUUCUAUCAACUGCAUCAAGAGACAUGUUAGAAUUAGAAGGGUUCAGCAAAAGCGCACAACUUUUUUGUCCCUCCCUCCCCGUUGAGUACAAACUUUCUUAAUUUCUGUGGAAGAUAUUAACUAAAUAUUCUGCUGAUUUUCUCUUGAUCAUUUACCAUGCAUACUAUUGAAAGGUAUCUAUUGAUCUGAUGAUUAUGACAAUCCAUUGGGUCAAUUCUCUGACAGAGAUUCAAGGUAGAAUGUUUUAUUUACCAAACUUAUCCCGGUUAUUUUAUUUAAAUUAAGCUUCUCACUCAAGUCAGUUGCUAACAGAAGCCUAUAAUAUUAUCCUCAUUUUUCUUCCUGUCCAAUUAUAUACAAUUACAGACACAUGAAUUCUAAACUAAUAUAAUUUGUCUUUAAUGUUGGAGUCAUGUAAUUGUAAAUAAGUUAAAACCAGAACCCACAUUGUACCAAGGAUGACAGGUUUUGAUAAAUGCCUAUGACAAAUACUUAACAUUCUGAACUUUCAUGAUUGACAAAACCGUUAACAAAACUUAAUGGUAACUGAUCAAUUAUUUAACAGUAUUACUAGUUACAGAUAGAAUAAAACGUACAAAAAAUGAGAAUUUUAAAUAGAUGAAUCAAACAGCUAGUGAUAAACAAUAGCAAGUUAAAAUAAUUUGAAGUAAUACAAACUUGAAACUUUUAUAAGUUAAUUCCAUGACAUAUAAUUUAAUAGAUUACUAAUAAAAUUUAGUCAAAGUAAAUUAAUUAUUUGACCAUUCUACUUGUUACAUAAGUUAACUAUAUGAAAGAAAAUUUCCGUCUAGUGAUUGACCAACACAUUUAGCUUUAUUUUUAAUAUGGGUGGCAAGAGUCCGGCUUCAACCAUUAAAAUCGGUCUAGGUUGGAUGAUAAGCAAGCACCUGGCAUUCUAUCCAAUCGAGGCUACAAUUUUAGCCAAGAAAAUAUGUCCAAAACUAAUCUGUUUUCUGUGAAUUGUUGAAUCAACUCAAGCAUCACCUCACACAUGGUUACACUCAAAUAUAUGCAUAUAGAUAGUUUCAGACAAUGCAAUAAUGGAAACAACAAAAUUAAUAAUGUAACAAAUGUUAGUUGAUUCAUUUAUCUAUCAUUGUCUUGAAAAAAAAGUCUCACAGAUGAAUAGUGUAGCAGAAAUGACACCUUAAAUUCAUAGCUACAACAUCUGUAGACAAUGUAAUGUCUGUAGACUAAUGUAUUAGGAAACUCUUCAUAGUAACAGUAAAAGUAACUAUGACAUUUAUAUGGAAUCGAUUUAAAAAAAUGGGCUAAAAAUCAUAUUUAUGUGCAUCUAUUUGUGUCUUUAGCUUCUGCAAUGGCAAUGUGUAUAUAUAUUAUAUAAAAAAGUAAAUGGAUGAUGUUGAUAUUUUGAAGUUCAAUUCACCACUUUAAAUUCUUGACAUCCUGUGGAACAUUCAUCAUGGUUUCCAGCAUUAAAAUAUGCAUCAUAUCUUGGUUUCUUAAACCUUUUUCAAAACUAUAAGUUUCCAAACUGGAACAAAAGAAAAUAAGUUUACCCCCUGCCAUUUGCUCUUGUACUUUCUUUUCCAACAAUGCAUUCGUUGGAGAAUCUUCUUUGCUUCAAUGGUGAAGCUCAGAUAUCUGGAAUCUUUUCUAUAACAUUAAACAAAUUCUUCUUUAUGCAGAAAGGAGAAGCAGAAGAAAAAAAUUUGACAAGGGUGCAGCUUGAUGCAACUGCUGAUGAAAAUUACCCUGGAGAAUUGAAGAAUGUAGAAGGUGCACUGAAUGAUCCUCCUGAAAUUUUUGAAUACUCAGAAAAAACCAAAAACAUGCAAGUUGCAAAUGACAUUGCCAUUGAAACAGAGAGUACAGUCAAUAAAGGCAAUGUAGGAACCUCUGAGGGUGAGAGUUUUUUGGAAUCACCCUCGGUUUCCAAGGUUGCUCGUGAAGAAACUGACAGAGUAUCAGAAGAUUAUCAGGCUCGUGAAAUUCCAAACCAGGCAGAAAAGGAGAUAUUCAGGGAGGAAACCAAGCUGCAGAAAUAUAAAAACCUUGAGGGUGCAGACGAGACAGGAAAGGUGGAAAAUGAAGGCAUGGAAGAGAUAAAAGAAGGAGAAGAGAAGGUAGCCGAGGAAUUGGGAGAAACAACCUUCCAGACCAACCCUACACCUAUUCAAAAGGAAUUGGGAGAAACACGCUUUGGAGAAGGCAAAGACAAGGAAUCAGAGAAGUCCUCCAUUUUGAUGGGUAAGGAGAAUGAUCCUGAAGCAGAAGAGAUAGAGCAUGAGAGUGAUGAGGGAAAGAAAAUCCCAUAUGAUGGCACUGGAGAUGUGACCAUGACAACAGCUGCAGCUAGUACAGACGAAACAACCUUGAAGGAAGCUGGAAUUACAUUCAAAGAGAAAAGCCAAGAUACAAUUGUAUUAAGUGAGAAGCUGAAAGAUGCAACUCCAGUUGAAGGUGAAAUUCAAGAUCAAAGCAAACUGGAUACUCCUUUUGUUACACAAACAGAAGACUUAGGCUUACAGAAAGCAGAUAAACCUGAGAUACUCAAAGAAGUAUCUGAAACUGGGACAGAGGAUAUCAACAUGAAAGAAAUUCCAGAUGACAAGGUUUAAACAAAUCUAAACUUCAAACCUAUUGCAAUUCCACACUUUCAGAUUUUUUUUAAUUUUUAUUUAUUUUUAAUUUUAAAAUUUAUUUCCCAUCACUAAAGUACAUAUUUACCAAAGAUAUCACUGACGUUGCAUCCUGUCACAGAAUCUCCCACAAGUUGAUUUAAAUGAGAAGAUUGAAAGUGAAGAAGCUGAGAUUCUAAACAAGAAUUCCAAUGAGUUACUUGUUAGCUAUCCCUCAGUUGAAGAAACAGUACAAGUGGAAGGUGAUAAGCUGGAUGAAAUUUCCAAAUUUGAACCUCAUGAACAAGUUCAUGAAACAAAUGGAGUCUCUAUAGAAGAGAAAAGGCAUUUUGAAGAGGCAACUGAAGUACACAAAAGCACAGAGAGCUUAAUCUUAGAGCCUAUAUCUAUAGAAGGGGAAAAGGCAAGCAAAACAUAUGCUGAGGCAAUAGAUUAUGGUUUAGACACUGAAGAGGAAUCAAAGGAGAAGCAAGAUGGACAGAACAAAGAAGAGGAGAUACAAAAGAAGGAAGAAGCCUGUGAUCCAGAGAUACAUAAAAAUGCCACAAAAAGUAAGUAGCUUUGAAACAUCAAUAUUCUUUUCUAUGCAAUUGAUGCUUAUCAUAACAUUUAUAUAUAUAUACGAAGUCAAGUCCAAAACAAUGAAAAGGGAUCAGAUACUAUUAAAUAACACCUUAACUUAAAAAGAUAAAUGGUUUCUCACUUCAAAGUGACACUAUAUCCCAGGAAGAGGACUUACACUAGAGAGCAUUUGGUACCUACAAUCAAUAAGAGGAAUUCUUAGGACUUGGGGAUUGGGCAGUGGGAAGGGGCCAUCCUUCAGAAGUAAACAGUAAAUAUCCUCUUCCCUAUCAGCUGGAUGAGAUCUCCAUUAUAGCUAAUAAUUCUCAUACUUUUGAGCAAUCCAAAGUCUGCCUCUGAUUGCUAAUAAUCAUAAAGCUAGAGUUCAUACGAAUAUAAGAAAAGAAUAUCAGCAAAAAAUCACGCUAUUUUUAUGCUAUUGUUUCUUAUCAUCUCCUUUGCAAAAAGGUUACAGCCUCCUCAGCACUGCAGAAAUCUAUUGUAACUGCUGAUAAUGUCAUAUAUGUGUAUGUGUGUGUGGCUGAGGAUAGUGGAAGCAAUUCAGUCGGAAUUAAAUAACACCUGGUGUAGAAUUGCAUUUUGUCAUGCCCCUUGCUAAAUUUGUGGAUUUUGUUCUUUGGCCAAGUCUACAGUUAGAUUCAAAACCCCUGUCAUGCCCAUAAAGCAUUUAAAUAUCAAGUUGAUAGGAGAUAAGAACUGUCCUCAUCCAUAUGCUGCUCUAAAUUAAUGUUUAUUUUAAUCUUUUAUAAAUGAAAUAUGAGCAUGGAUUGGGCAACUAAGAAUACACUAUCAACUUGAUAUUUGACAUACAUGGAGAACAUGACAGGAGUAACCCUAAGUUCUACACCAAGUGUAGUUUGAGCCUGAUUCAUGCACACACAAUGUAAAGCUUUUGUUGUGACAGAGACACAGAGUAGCUUGCUAUGGGAAGUGAUGGUGUUGAUUCAUCUGGUGCAGGUAAUGACACUGAAAAAGGAAUAAUAGAUGAAGAUGUCUCAGCUAAAGUAAGUGAUUCUUCAUGCAUUGGAAAUGAGACAAUUCAGAAAAGCUUUCAAGUGGAUUAUCUCAAUGAAGAACCAUCAGCAUUGACUAGUGAAGGCAAGAGUAAGAAAGCAGAAGAUGAUGUUAAGGACAACAUUAUACCUGAAGAGGUCUGAUUGCAAUAUCAAGAUUUAUGUAGAUACUCAUUUUCUAUGUUCCUUCAACUUUUUUUCAUUACAUUGAAGCUCCGUCUUUUAUGCAGGUGCAUGAUGAGAUCAAAAUCACAGGUGCAACAGAGGGCACUAGAGAACUGAUCGUAGAAGAAGACGAUGUUACAGAAGGAUUGCCAGAAUCUAUUGAAGAAGAAACAGUAAAGAGCUUUCAAGACGAUGAAAAGGUCUUAUUGGCAGAUGAGAAGUCAAGAGGAGAAGAAGACAGCAAAGAACAGACCAUAGCAGACAGUGUUGAAGGCACACCAGGAUCCACCAAAGAAGAGAACUUUACAGAUAAUGAAAAGCAAGAUGAGAAGUGCAAAGAAGAGGUUAGCUUAACCAAGAAACUUAAGGUUAAUUUGAUCUUUUUGUCAAAAUAUAGCUUGCAUCUUAUAUGAUACUUGAAAAAAAUAGUCUCUUAUGCAGAUUUUUGAGUCAUCUGAGAUGGCUAGAGCAGUUGAAUGUGUUGAAAGUGAGAAAAUCCUUGACACUUCAAUGGUGAAACCAAAAGAGAGUUUGCAGGGUGAAGGUGAGAACCAGGUUCCAAUUGAAAUUUCCAGAGAGGAGAGAAGAGAUGAGCAUAGGUAUUCUGUCGUGGAUGAAGAUAAUGAUGACAAUACUGGGCUAGUUGAAGUUAAAUAUAGUGGUAAAGAGGAAACAUCAAAGGGUGAGGAAAACACAGAGUGGAUCUCACAGAAAGAUGAAACAGGAGAGAAGCUUGAACAGUCGAUAAAUGUGAUGUCUAAAGUAACAGAGGCAAUUAAUUCAAGUGAAUAUACUGAAAAAAUUACCUACAUUGAAGAGGAGCAAGCCAUCCAGGAUGUUGAAGAAACCUUUGAGAAGGAAGAAACAAAUGAUACCAAAGACAGCGAAGAGAGGGGAACUGCAAGCGAGGAGGUCAGAAAAUAAUAAAAUCCUUUUCUUUUUGAGAACUUCAUGAUCACAAAACCGAAUAGUUACAUCCUAAAAGGCUAACUAAAUAAUGUUGUACUUGUGCUGCAGGAUCUCAAACCAGCUGCAGUGGCAUCCGAGAUGAGCAAAACCACAGAGAGCACAGUUUUGGAAUUGAAAUCAGAAAAAGGUGAAAUGGAAGUAGGAAAGCUCGAAAAAGGAAAUGAGUUGGGCUCCGAAGAGAGAUUCAAGGGAAACGAUGCCACGGAAGAUACAGAAGAGGAGAUAAAGAAAGAAGAAACUUAUGAUGCAGAUUUGCAUAAAGUCGAAACCACAUGUGAGUAAUUUGUAUAUGUCCAUAACAUUCCUUCCUGUACAUGUGAUGUUAGCAUUGGAGGAUAUAAAAGUAAACUAUAGGUUCAAAACAAUCAGUAGGAGAAUGGAUGGGAUCAUAUGCUGUUAAGAAUGGAGACAUAAUGAAUUCCAAUUAAUAGUUAGAAGGAAAUGAAGCCUAUCUCCCAAGAGAGGACUCACCACUGGAAAAAAAAAAGAAGUUAUAAAAAAACAUUAUAUAAGGUAAUUAGUUUCAAUAAAUUCAAGACAUAGGUGUUUGAGUUAGACAGGAGAGGAACACCGUUAAGUAAGCACAUUGUAAAUGCUUCCCACCACUGACUAAUGAUAUCUAUUGCAGCUGAAAUGUGCUUUUGGGCAGUUAAAAAAUUUCAUGUUUUCUACUUUGCUUAAUGUACACGAACAGAAAGAGCCCACUAUAAAUAAUAGAGAACAAUUAGAGAACUAUGUGUGAGAUGGUAUACAGGCAUGUGCACAGACACACAUGAGAGUGAUGCAGCCCUAGUCCACAUUCAAUUUGGAUGGUUUUAUAUUGUUGGAAAAUUUCCUAUUGUUUUAAAUUUUCUAUUUUUUAUACUUAUCUUUUAGAUUUGUUAGUUUAUUUGCCUUUUUAUUUUGGUACUAGCCCAACUAUGUGCUAGAACUGUCUUCCAAUUAUUUCAAGGGCCAGGAAGAAUAUAAAUACUUUAAUAUAGCAAGGAUUUAGAGAUUAGUUCUUUUUUUUUUUUUUUUCCUUUUUCAAUGUUAUCUUGUAGCGACUUGAUUUUUUUCCUUAUAUUCUUGUUGGUCUUAGUUGAUUUCUUACUUUCAAUCGGGUUAUUGUUGCAAAUGAUAAUUAGAUUCUCCUCUCUUGGUGGGGUGCCAUGAGAGAGUGAGAGAGAGAUUCUCCAUUCAGAAACUCAUGGACUUAUACUUGUAGGUGAUGACACUGAGAAAAGUAAGAUAGAGGAAGAUGCUCUUAUCAAGGAUGGCAGCACGGUAUGGAUUGGGGAAGAAACAGUUGAGCUCAGCUGUCAAGAGGAUGAAGAUGGACAAAAUGGUAAAGAGAAAGCAGCACUUAAAUUGAAUGGUGGAGAUCAUAGUGUCAGAACAGAUAAUGAGACAGAGAAUUCAACAGAUCAAAUUAUCAGAAAAGAGGUCUGGUUGAAUUACAAAUAUCCUAAUGUGAUCUAAUUCUUUUUAUAUCUCAUUCUCCACAAUUAUUUUUAUUCUUAUUCAUCUGUGAUGGCUCCUAAGAUUGCUGUCAUCAGUGAGGGCACUGAAAAGCACACCAUAAAGGAAGAACACACUGCUAUUGACAUAUCACCACAAUCCAGUGGAGAAGAAACACAUAAGAGUUCUCAAGAAGAUGAAACUAAGGAAGAGGGGGAGAAGCCCAUAGUCAAGGUUAGCUUGAGAAUGAAACUUCAAAUUUUACUUGGCCUCUCUCGUAGGGUUGAGUUGAAAUCUCUUUUAUUCUUAUUCAUAAGUAGAAAUUUUCUAUUAUGCAGAUGUGUGAGGAACUGGAGACAACCACUGUGGGUGAAGGCAUUGAAGGACAGAUUUUAGAGGGAAACACUAUUCAGGACCACUCUACAGUUCCCACUGAAGUAGAAGAAACAGAAGAUAUCUCUAAAGACAAUGAAAUGAUGGCAAAGAUACCCAAACCAGAGGUGACUAUGCAACUCCGAUAUUGAUCUCUGACCUUUUCUAGUUACUUUAUAUUUAUUAACUCGGACUCUUCUCAUGUACCAGGGCUUGCUCCUUUUUGGCACUUUAAUUAUACAUCUGUUAUUAUCUAUAAAUAACUUGGACUCUCAUUUUUCUAGUAUAUUUUAUUUUUAUUCCAUUCUAUCAUGUUUCCUCAAAACCUUGAUUUUAAAAUGGGUGUCUGAAAUAUCUCAAAGAUACGAUGGAGUUGAGGACAUUCAAAAAGACGUCUUUAACAUAGCUGUUGGAGCAGAAACAAAUAAGGAGGGCUCUCCAGUAGAGGAAAAGGAGGAAGAACUGGAUAGAGAUGCCAGUUUGAUUAAAAUUUGAAGCUUUGAUGUUUGACAUUUUCAUUUCUAAUCUUUCUCCAAAUUUUUGCUUAAAACUAUAGCUUCUUUUGUUUCCCUUGUUCAAUUUUGAAAGUUCUUCCAGCUGCUUUAGUACUCCAUAAUUGGGAAAUGAUUAAUAGAAAACUCCCACUAACCCCUUUUUCUGGGCACAGGAAAACUAGUAUGUAAGACAAAAUCUGUAAUCCUCCAAAGUAGAGGAAAUGCUCACUUUAAUUUUUAUAUUUAACUGUCAGAAAUAUAGACUGGAAUUGGAGACACACACAGACACACAGAUAUAUAUAUAUAGUUAUGUAUGUACGUAUGCCUAUGCCAUCACAGAUCAUGCAUUACUUUCAAACUAAAAUGGCAUGUUGACAUUACUGUUAACUGUUGCAUCCAACAUCAUUUGCAUGCUUGCUCAAUAAUAUUUCCCAUCCAAUCAAAUGGAGACUAAGUGGAUGUUGUUUAUUACUUAGGUAUGUAAGACAAUUGGUGCAUUCCAGGACCAUUCUACAGAGGUCAUUGAAAAAGAAAAGGAUACAGAGAGCCCCCAAGAAGAUAAGGUCUUGAAAAUUAACUUUAAAGUUUCUUUUGUCUCAUUGUAGCCUAAUCUUUUUUCUUUUUCUCAUUCAUUUUCAUAAAGUCAAACAUUCAUGUCUUACACAGGUAUGCCAAGCAUCUGAGAUAGCAGUCACAAGCAUGGAGACAGAAAAACAGGAAAUAGAUAUUCAUGCUAUCCCAGAUAUUCAUGAGAUAGCGGUUAAGGAAAGCUCUGCCCAAGACUCUGAAGACAGCAUAAAGGAAUGUGUUGAAGUUGAGAAAGUAGCAGUUGAAUUAGACACAGAAGCUCAGCACCAUGGUAGUGAGGCAUCUGACACCAAAACAAACAGUGAUCCUACAGAAGAGGUGAGAGCACCAUAACUACUCUGACACUCUAAUAAUCAAUCAUUAACUUAAGAAACUACUUGAAGGGACAUUCAGUAGUGAUCCUACAUGGAUCAAAUUGGUUACUGUGGGUUGGUGAAUUGAGCAAUGAUUUGAAUGAUCAGUGACUUGAAUAAUUACCUUAUUUUUAAAUCGCACUUCAAUUGAGUUUACCAUGCGGUUUCAUAGCAUUUGAAUAAGCAGGCUUGUUUUUCUUAAUAUUUGUUUCAAAUGAGUUCUGGUUAAGAUUUUAAAACAGACAACUACUAUUUUUAUUAUUUAUUAUUUCAUAAUUAUGAUGAUCACAAUUUAUAUGAUCAACUUGUGAGUUCAGAUUUAAUAUAAACAAUGUGAAUACACAAUGAUUUUACUUCCAUGUAAGAUAUAACUUUACCUGAAUUUAUCUUUUCUAUAUUAAGCCCCAUUGAGUCAUUUCAUCAAUCCAUCACUGUGGAGCAGAAUAAAAAUUCAGUUGAUCCUGGUGAGAAGCUUGAAGGUGCACCUGAAUCAGUGGCUGAAGAUCAAAGCAAUGAAACUCUCCUUGAACUGAACCAGACUCAAAUUAAGGAAAACAACAACAAUGUUCAGGAUCAGAAAAGUGAGUCUGUUGAAGAACAGAAUAUUGAACAAGGGCUUCAAGAAGAUGAAAAGGAUACAUAUGAGGAAACAGAGUCCAGGUCAGAUGCUAGAGAUCAUAUUAAUGAGAUACAAAAUGCAAAUGAAACCACAAGUGAGAAGACAGUGGAUAUCUCCCACACUAGAUCUGAAGAAUCAGAAGAAAUUAAUAAGGAGAUCAUACAAGAAGCAGAAACUUGUUAUAACAAGCUCAAUCCUGCAUCUGAAAAGGUGGAAACAGAAGAGACAGGCUCAUGGGAAGCUCAACUAGAUGAAAAGCCUCUAAAGGGCAGUGAGACUAGUUCUGAAGAGAAGACCCUACAAACCACAGCUGAAACUAGUCCACAGGGUGAAGAAGGUGAAAGCAUGAAGCUUGAAGAAACCACUGAAUUGAUGUCUCAAUUUCCAGCUGUUGCAGGUGAGAAUGCAGACAAGGAGAGUGGCAUUGUGGAAAAGUCACAUGUAGAUGAAGUUGAAGAAACUAAAGGAGAUUCUGAAACAGUAUCUGAGUCUAGAGAACAAUGUGUUGAAGACACUGAUGAAACACAGAAAAGCCUAACUGUGGAAGAAUCAGAAGGUAUAAUUAAAGAAGAAAUCAAAGGACCAUCUGAAUCAGUGUCUGGGUGCAACCAUCAAGGUGUUGAAGCAGUUAUUGAAGAUGAAAUUAAUGUUAUGCAGACUGCCGCAGCAGGAAAAUCAGAAGAGCAACAUCAGGAAACAUCCAAAACAUUGCUUUCUGAAGAACAGGACCAUGGAAUUACAGCCAUAAUUGGGUACUCAGAAGAUGAAAAGGCAAAGGAAGGUGAAAUUUCUGGAUUGGUACUUGAACUCAAUGAGAACAUACAGCAAAUUAAUCCGAUUGAACCACCAAAAGAAGAAUGCAUUACUCUAGAUGAAGUAUCACAGUUAGAGCAUCAAGAAAAUGCGUCUGCAAUAAAAUGCUCAGAUUCUCCAACAGAAAGUGACAAAGUCAUGGAGCUGUCAGAAGAGGUGAGGCCACCAUAACUACCCUCAUCCUCUAUUAAUAGUCAUUAUUAAACUAAGUAAUUAACUUCAAUGGAUUUCUCUUUUGCAUUUCCAUAUGGUUUGAGUAGGUUUAUUUGAUAUAUUGAAGUUAUGUGCAUUGAAUAGGUGCCUGAGGAAGCUGAGAAAGCUGCAGAAGAACGUGAAAACAUCAAAGAACGGAUCAUAGAGAGAGAGAGAGAGAUCAACGAAUUUCCUGCAGUAUACAUUGAAGAUGAAUCAGUUGACAAGGUCAGCUUAACAUUAGUAUAUGAAAUAUUAAUUCAACCAUUUCUCAUAUGCUGCUGUCUUUUCUUUUUUCUAUCCACUAAUUUCAGCAUUAUCUGUUAAGCAGGAGCAACAUUCUGAGACGGUAUCCAAUGAGAAUCCUAGCGCAACAGAUUCCGAAGUGCAAACAGAAAAAAUGAACCUAGAGGUUGAGGAAGAUUUCAGCAAAGACCCUGAAGGAUCUCCCGUUACAAAAGCAAUGGAAGAAGAGAUGCUACAGAAACAGGGUAGUGAGGAGAAAGUGGACGUCUCCAGCUCUGUAUCUGAAAUAUCAGAAGAAAUUAAGGAGGAGAUCAUAGAAGACGCGGACACUUGCUCUAACAAUAUUGAUACUGCAUCUGAAAAAGUGGAAACAGAACAGACAAGCUUGCAGGAAGCUCAGCUGGAUGACAAGCAUAUAAAGAUCAUUGAGACUAGUUCAGAAGAUAAGACAUUGCAAACAAACACCGCAACUGAAACUAUUCCACAGGGUGUAGAAGUUGACAGAGUUAAGCUUGAAGAAACCUCUGAAGGGGUGUCUCAACUUCCAGCUAUUGCAUGUGAGAACAGAAACAAGGAGAGUGAAAUUGUGGAAAAGCCACAUGUAGAUGAAGUUGAAGAAAUUGAAGGAGCUUCUGAAACAGUAUCUGAGUCCAGAGAACAAUGUGUUGAAGAAAAUGAUGGAACACAGAAAAGCCUAACUGUGGAAGAAUCAGAAGAACGUAUAAUUAAAGAAGAAAUCAAAGGACCAUCUGAAACAGUGUCUGGAUGCAACUAUGAAGGUGUUGAAGCAGUUAUUGAAGAUGAAAUCGAUGUUGUUCAGACUGCCACAGAAGGAAAAUCAGAAGAGCAACAUCAGGAAACAUCCAAAGCAUUGCUUUCUGAAGAACAGGACCAUGGAAUUAUAGCCACAAUUGGGUACUCAGAAGAUGGAAAGACAAAGGAAGAAGAAACCCCAAAAAAUGAGAACCUAGAAGAUUCUUUUGCCACAAAGACAGCAGAUUACAUGCACUUGCAAAAGGAAGAGCCCAGGGAGCUCGAACUUUCUGGAUUGGGGCUGGAAGUCAAUGAGAACAUGCAGAAAAUUAAUCCAAAUGAACAACCAAAGGAAGAAUGCAUUACUGUAGAUGAAGUAUCACAGCUAGAGCCUCAAGAAAACGUGUCUGCAAUAAAAUGCUCAGAUUCUCCAACAGAAAGUGACAAAGCCAUGGAGCUGUCAGAAGAGGUCAGACCACCAUAACUGCCCUCAUCCUCUCUUAUUACUUGUUAUUAAACUAAGUAAUUAACUUCAACGGAUUUCUCUUUUUGAAUUUCCAUACGGUUUGAGUAGGUUUUAUUUGAUAUAUUGAAGUUAUGUGCAUUGAAUAGGUGCCUGAGGGAGCUGAGAAAGCUGCAGAAGAACGUGAAAACAUCAAAGAACUGAUCAUAGAGAAAGAGAGAGAUAUCAAGGAAUUUCCAGCAGUAUCCAUUGAAGAUGAAUCAGUUAACAAGGUCAGCUUAACAUUAGUAUAUGAAAUCUUAUUUCAACCAUUUCUCAUAUGCAGCUGUCUUUUUUUCUUUCUAUCCACUAAUUUCAGCAUUAUGUAUUAAACAGGAACAACAUUCUGAGACAGUAUCCGAUGAGAAUCCUAGAGCAACAGAUUCUGAAGUGCAAACUGAAAAUGUUAACCUAGAGGUUGUGGAAGAUUUCAGCAAAGACCCUGAAGGAUCUCCCAUUACAAAAGCAAUGGAAGAAGAGAUGCUACAGAAACAGGGUGGUGAGAAGAAAGUGGAUGUCUCCAGCUCUGUAUCUGAAAUAUCAGAAGAAAUUAAUAAGGAGGUCAUAGAAGAUGCCGACACUUGCUCUAACAGUAUUGAUACUGCAUCUGAAAAAGUGGAAACAGAACAGACAAGCUUGCAGGAAGCUCAGCUGGAUGACAAGCAUAUAAAGAUCAUUGAGACUAGUUCAGAAGAUAAGACAUUGCAAACAAACACCGCAACUGAAACUAGUCCACAGGGUGUAGAAGUUGACAGAGUUAAGCUUGAAGAAACCUCUGAAGGGGUGUCUCAACUUCCAGCUAUUGCAUGUGAGAACAGAAACAAGGAGAGUGAAAUUGUGGAAAAGCCACAUGUAGAUGAAGUUGAAGAAAUUGAAGGAGCUUCUGAAACAGUAUCUGAGUCCAGAGAACAAUGUGUUGAAGAAAAUGAUGGAACACAGAAAAGCCUAACUGUGGAAGAAUCAGAAGAACGUAUAAUUAAACAAGAGAUCAAAGGACCAUCUGAAACAGUGUCUGGAUGCAACUAUGAAGGUGUUGAAGCAGUUAUUGAAGAUGAAAUCGAUGUUGUUCAGACUGCCACAGAAGGAAAAUCAGAAGAGCAAAAUCAGGAAACAUCCAAAGCAUUGCUUUCUGAAGAACGGGACCAUGGAAUUAUAGCCACAAUUGGGUACUCAGAAGAUGGAAAGACAAAGGAAGAAGAAACCCCACAAAAUGAGAACCUAGAAGAUUCUUUCGCCACAAAGACAGCAGAUUACAUGCACUUGCAAAAGGAAGAGCCCAGGGAGCUCGAACUUUCUGGAUUGGGGCUGGAACUCAAUGAGAACAUACAGAAGAAUAACCCAAAUGAACCACCAAAGGAAGAAUGCAGCACUAUAGAUGAAGUGUCACCAUUAGAGCCUCAAGAAAAUGUCUCUGUGAUAAAAUGCACAGAUUCUCCUGUGGAAAGUGACAAAGUCAUGGAACUAACAGAAGAGGUCAGACCACCAUAACUACUCUCUCAUUACUCAUUACUGAAUUAAGUAAUUAACUUGUAUGCUUUUCCCUGUUUGCAAUUCCAUAUGGCUUGAGUGGUGGGUUUUAUUCAAUAUAUUGAAGUUAUGUCUACUGAAUAGGUGCCUGAGGGAGCUGAGAAAGCUGCAGAAAGGGAAAACAUCAAAGAACUGAUCAUAGAGAAAGAGAGAGAUAUCAAGGAACUUCCUGCAGUUUCCACUGAUGAAUUGGUUAUCGAGGUCAGCUUAAUAUUAAUGUGGAAUAUUAUUUCACCCUUUUCUCAAUGCCAAUGCUUUUUCUUCUUCCUGUGGUCUCUCAUGUCAACAUUAUCUGUUAAUCAGGUGCAAGUUCUGGAGCCAGUUUCCAGUGAAAAUCUUGGAGUGACAGACCCCAAUAUGCCUGCAGAGAACUUGAACUUAGAGGUGGAAGAUUCAAGUAAGGAACCAAUAGGAUCUCCCAUUACAGAAGCAUUGGAAGAAGAAAUGUCAGAGAAACAAGAUGGUGAGAAGGCAAUGGAUGUCCUUAGCUCUGUAUCUGAAAUGCAAGAAGAAAAUAUUAAAGAGGAGAUCAUGGAGAAAGCAGACAUUUCCUAUAGCAAGCUUGAUGCUGCAUCUGAAAAGGGGGAAACAGAAGAGUCAAGCUCGCAGGAAGCUCAGCUGGAUGACGAGCCUGUGAAGAUCAUUGAGACUAGUUCAGAAGAUAAGACACUACAAACAAACACCAUAACUGAAACUAGUCCACAGGCUGAAGAGGUUGACAGAAUGAAGCUUGAAGAAACCUUGGAAUUGGUGUCUCAACUUCCAGCUAAGGCAUGUGAGAACACAAACAAGGAGAGUGAAACAGUGGAAAGGCCAAUUGCAGAUGAAAUUGAAGAAACCACAGGAGCUUCUGAUACAGUAUCAGAGUCCAAAGAACAAUGUGCUGAAGAAAUUGAUGAAACCCAGAAAAGCCUAAGCCAGGAAAAAUCAGAGGAAGAUAUAAUUAAAGAACAAAUCAAAGGAGCAUCUGAAAUGGAUUCUGAAUCAAAAUAUCAAGGUGUUGAAGCAGUAAUUGAAGAAGAGAUCACUGCAGGUCAAGCUAUCCAAGCAGAAAAACCAGAAGAACAACUCGAGGAAGUGUCUACUGCAAUACUUUCUGAGAAGUUAGAAGAUGAGAACAUAAAGGAAGGUGAGAUCCCACAAUACAAGAAUCCACAAGAUUCUUUUGGCACAAAGACGUCAGAAAAUACAUGCUUGCAAAAAGAAGAGCCCAGGGAGCUCGAUGUUUCUGGAUUGGGGCUGGAUAUCAAUAAGGAUGUAUCAAAGGAAGAUGGCAAUGGUGUAGAUGGAGUAUCACAGUAUGAGCUGCAAGAAAAUGCAUCUGAGUUAAAAUACACAGAUUCUCUAUUGGAAAGUGAGAAGGUGAUGGAACAAACAAGAUCCAUCAACAGCGCUCAACAGGAGGCUACAAAAGAUGACGAGAAUUUGGAUUCAGGGAUUUUCAACAAUAACCCUGAUGUCCUCACUCAUUCACCAGGUGAAGAAAUUUUACAGGAAGUGGAUGAAAACUGUGAGGAGGCUUCCAACCUUGAGUGUGAAAAUUUUGAAAAGGCUUCUGAACCUGUAUUGGACCUUCAGAGUACUGAAAUUGAUGAAGCAGUGGUUGGAUUGGAAGUAGGAGCUCACAUUCAGGGAAGUGAUGCUCCUAACACCAAAAACAGUGACAAUCUUAUAGAAGAGGUUAGGCCACCGUAACAACUUCAUUCUCUCUCACAACUAAUCAUUAAAUGAAGAAAUUAAUUAUAAUAAGAAUCUCUUUUUGCAAUUCCACAUGGUUCAAGUAGGUUUUGAAUUGAUAUAUUUAAGUUAUCUGUUGAAUAGGUACCUCAGGGAGCUGAGAAAGCUGUAGAAAGUGAAAACAUCAAAGAACCGAUCAUAGAGAAAGAGAGAGAUAUAAAGGAACUUCCUGCAGUAUACAUCGAAGAUGAAACAGUUAAUAAGGUCAGCUUAACAGUAAUAUUAUUUAUGAUCACCUCAAGUGCUUUUUCAACCAUUUCUUAUAUUCUGCUGCUUUUUCUUUUUUGUAUGAUCACCAAUGUGGAAUUAUCCAUUAAGCAGGUGCAACAUGCUGAGGCAGUAUCCAAUGAGAAUCUUAGAGCAAUAGAUUCCAAUAUGCAGACAGAAAGACUGAACUCAGAGGUUGCAGAAUAUUUGAGUAAGGAUCCAGAAGGAUCUCCCAUUUCACAAGCAUUGCAAGAAGAGAUGUCACAGAAACAAGCUAGUGAGAAGACAGUAGAAAUCACUAUCUCUGUAUCUGAAAUGUCAGAAGAAAGUUUUAAAGAUGAGAUCAUAAAGGAAGCAGACACUUGUAGCAAGAUUGAUACUGCACCUGAAAAAGUGGUAACAGAAGAGACAAGCUUGCAGGAAGUUCAGCUGGAUGACAAGCCUCUAAAGGGCAUUGAGACUAGUACAGCAGAGAAGAUCCUUCCAACAAACACCACAACUGAAAGUAGUCUACAGGGUGAAGAAGUUGACAGCCUGAAAGUUGAAACCUCUGAGUUGAAGUCUCGACUUCCAACUAUAGCAUGCGAGAGUGCAGACAAGGAGAGUAAAACAGUGGAAAAGCCACAUGCAGAUGAAGUUGAAGAACCCAAAGGACCUACUGAUACAGUAUCCGAAUCCAGGGAACAAUGUGUUGAAAACAUUGUUGAAACCCGGGAAAGCCUGACCCUCCAAAAGUCAGAGGAAAAUAUAAUCAAAGAAGAAAUCAAAGGACCAUCUGAUACAGUAUCUGAAUGCACAUAUCAAAGUUUUGAAGCAGUUAUUGAAGAUGAGAUCACUGCUGAUCAAACUAUAGAAGCAGAAAAUCCAGAAGAGCAACUUCAGGAAAUGUCUACUGCAUUAGUUUCUGAGGAACAGGAGCAUGGAAUCAGCACCAUAACUACAAAGUUGGACUAUGAGAACACAGUGGAAGAUGAAACCCCACAAUAUGAGAAUCAAGAGGAUUCUCUUGGCACAAAGAUGACAGAAGAGAGAUGCUUGGACAAGGAGGAAUCCAGGGAGCUUGAAGUCUCCGAAUUGGAACUCAAUGAUGAUGUACAGAAAAAGCCUUCAAACGAAGAGCCAAAGGAAGGGGGCAACUUUCUACAUGGAAUAACACCAUCAGAGCCUCAAGAAGAAGCUUUUGAGAUAAAAUGCAGAGACUCUCUAGCAGAAAGUGACAUGGAACUAACAAGAUCCAUGGACAGUACUUCGCAGGAGGCUUCAAAGGAUGAUGAAGAUUUGGAUUCAGGGAUCUCUAUCAAGAAUGUUGAUGAUGUCCUUCCCCCUCAUUCAUCUGGUGAAGAAAUUUUACAGAAAGUGGAUGAAAACUGUGAAGAAGCCUCCAACUUAGUUCACAGUGCUGAAGUUGACAAAGCAGAAAUCGAAUUGGAAGCAGGAUCUCACAGCCAUGGAAGUGAAGCUUCUAGCACUGAAAACAACAAUAAUCUUACAGAAAAGGUCAGACCACGUUAACUUUCUUUCAUAACCAAUCAUUCAAUCAAGUAAUUAACUUGAACGGAUUCCCUUUGCACAACUCUGCAUGGUUUGAAUUGGCACAGUGGAUUGAUUCAUUAACUGGUUGAAUGUCCUGUUAAAUUGAAUCAUUACCUUAUAUUUGCAUUAAUACUUCAAAUGAUUAUGUUCUAUAUUCAUUGCAUUUCAAAUAAAUUUCUUCAGUAUUUUCAUAGCAUUUGAAUAAGUGUACUUGUUUUUAAUUACAUUUGUUUAAGAUAGGUCAUCUUAAUGUUUUAAAAUUAGGUAAAAAUUUUAUUUAUUAUUAUUUAUCAUUUUUAAUUACAGUAAACCUAAUUUCUACGAUCAACUUGUGAAUUGAAGUUCAAUAUAAAACAAUGUAAAAAUGUAAUGAUUGGCACUUGCAUAUAAAAUUUGAACAUCAACCAAAUGUCUUUUCUAUAUCAAAUCACAUUCAUCCUUUCUCCAAUUCAUCAAUGUGGAAUAGAACAUUGAAUUAGCUGAUCUGGGUGAGAAGGUUGGAGGGGGACCUGACCUCGUAGCUGAAGAUCAAUGUAAUGAAACUCUCCCCGAAACAAACCAGACACAAGUCAAUGAAAACAGCAGCAGUGCUUGGGAGCAGAAUACCAAAUCUAUUGAAGAACAAAUUAUUGGACAAGGAUUUCAAGAACGUGAAAAGGAGACAAUUGAGGAAACAGAAAGCAAGUUAGAGUCCAGAGAUCAUAUUAAUGUGAUACAAAAUGAAAAUGAGACAACAAAAGAUGUCAUUUCAGUUGAAGAGGUCAGCAAUUGACAAUCCUACACUUGUGCCUAAAAUUCAUUUUUCGUGAGUAUUUCUUUAGAUUCUAUUUGUUAAAUGGAAGUUAUAUCUGUUGAAUAGGUGCCUGGGGGAGCUGAGAAAGCUGAAGAAAAAGAAAACAUCCAAGAGCUGAUGAUAGAGGAAAAGAGAGAUAUUAAGGAACUUCCUGCGGUAUCCAUUGAAGACGAGACUGUUAGUAAGGUCAGCUUGACAUCAAUAUAAGAAAUAUUAUUUCAACUAUUUUUCAUAUGCUGCUGCCUUUUUCUUCUUCAUAUGAUGACUAAUUUCAGCAUUAUCUGUUAAACAGGUGCAACAUUCUGAGCCAGUAUCAUGUGAGAGUUUUAGAGCAAGAGAGUCCAAUCAGGAGACAAAAGAAGUAAAUUUAGAGGAUGAGGAAGACACAUGUGAAAAGACAGAGGAUGUCUCCAGCUCUGUAUUUGGACUGUCUGAACAAGGGGUUAAAGGGGAGAUCAUAGAUGAAGCAGACAAUUAUAACAAGCUUGAUACUGCAUCUGAAAAGGUGGAAGCAGAAAAGACCAUUUGGCAGGAACCUCAACUAGAUGAUGAGCCUCUAAAGGGCAUUGAGACUAUUUUGGAAGAAAAAACACCACCAAUAAUCAACACAACUGAAAGUAGUCCUGGUGAUGAAGAAGUUGAGGCUGUGAAGCUUGAAAAAACUUCUGACUUGGUGUCUCAACUUCCAACCACUGCAUAUGAGCAUGCAGACAAGGAGAGUGUAAUUGUUGAAAAGGCACAGGCAGAUGAAGUUGAAGAAACCAAAAGAGCUUCUGACCCAGUAUCUGAGUCCAAAGAUCACUGUGUUGAAGAAAUUGAUGAGACCCAAAGAAGCCUAACCAUGGAAAAAUUGGAAGAAGACAUAAUUGAAGAAGAAAUCACAGGAAGAUCUAGCACAGUAUCUGCAUGCAAUCAAGGUGUUGAAGCAAUUAUUCAAGAUGAGAUCAGCAGAGAGUCUCUCAAAACAGGAAACUCAGAAGAGCAACUUCAGGAAAUGUCUACUGCACGGCUUUCUGAAGAGAAGGAGCAUGAUAUUACAACCACAAUUGGAAAGUCGGAAGCUGAGAACAAGAGUGAGAAUGAAACCCCACAAAAAGAAUGUCUGGAAGACUCCAUUGGCACAAAGUCUGUGGAGGAAAUAUGUUUGCAGAUGGAAGGACUCAGGGAACUCGAAGUUUCUGCAUUGGCACCAAAACUCAGUAAUGUCAUACAAAAGGAGAGUCCAAAUGAAGUGCUAAAGGAAGAAGGCGAGCCUCAAGAAAAUGUUUCUGAGAUAAAAUACAUGGAUUCUAUAACAGCAAGUGAAGAAGUUAUGAAACUAACACGAUCCAUUGACAGUUCUUCACAGGAAGCUUCAAAGGAAGAGGAAAUUUUGGAUUCAGGGAACUCCAACAAUAAAGCUGAUGAUUUCUCGAUUACUCAUUCAUCAGUAGAAAUUUUACAACAACUGCAAGAACAAUGUGAGAAAACCCCCAACCUUGAGUCUGAAAAGAUUGAAAAGGCUUCUGAAUCUGUAUCUGAAGUUCACUAUCCAGAGGUAUUUAUCAAAUUAGAAGAGCCAGAAGUCAAGGAAGAGCAUCUCAAGACAUCAGUAACUGAGACGAGAGCAGAAGAAAUUCCACAUGAGAAAACAGUUGAGGCAAAUGAAAUCAUAAAGAAUGAGAUUUCAAAUGAAGAGGUCAGCUAGAAAAUAAGGCCGAAAAUUUAUCAUUUCACACAUUACCUUAUUUGUUUUCUUCUCCUCUGUUUAUCAUAUAAUGAUGAUUUAUAUAUAUAUUUGAAAACUGUUAACUGAUGGGAAUAAAAACACAGAUUGCAGACGAAAAGCAAGUUGCUGAGGACUAUCAACCAUGGUCUCUCGACGAAGAAACAAUCAGAAAGAGCCAACAAGAAGAUGAACUAAAGAAUGAAGUUGAACACGAAGAGGUCAGGAAAUAAAAACUGGACUUCUUUUACACUCUUCUCUCUCUCUUUUAUAAAAUUGAAAAUUUAUCUGUUAUACAGCUGUAUGGGGAAUCGCAAGAGGGUGAAACGAAUGAGGACAUUGAGAAACAGAUCAUAGAUGAAGCUAGAACCGUUGAGCACCCUCACUUAGUCUCUUUCGGGGAUGAAAGUCUCAAAGACAAUCUUCCAGAAGAAGCAAAGGGGGAAAGGAAUGACGAGGUGACAGAUAUUAAAUUGGACCUUGCAAAUCAGAGUGAUGAAACAGCUCUAAGUGAACAGGUCAGAUUGCAUUAUAUCCUCCUUUCACUAUUACAAAAUAAAUUAUCAAGAAAAUUUCAAAAUUUUAAACAUAUAAAAAAUAAAUUAAGUUCCUUUCCAAGGUCCACUAGUUUUUUGCAACAAUCAUUGCUCUAAUAAAAAUGGAAAAAAAAAAUGAAAAAUAAAAACAAAAAGGAAACCAAACAUGAUAGUAGCUAUGAACUGCAAAAUCUACUCAAUGCUGAUACAUUUGUUCAUGGUGGAUAGAAUGGUGAGAACUUAUGUCAAUUAUUUAAAAAAGAAUUAAAAAAUUGCUCAUCUUGAGUUGAGGAAACUCCUAUAUUGAAUAGAGGGAAAAGUUCAUUCUUCUCUAUCGUAUUUUCUUCAGUUUCAUCCAUGUCAGGAGCUGUUUGUCAAUCAUAGCCAUUACAUAUGAUAGAACUGAAUACUUCAAUUCUCCUUCAAUUUAUUUUUAUCAUAAGUUCAAGUUUCUAUUAUACAGGUUGAUUGCUCUGAUAUUCAGUUGGUGAGGAAAGACCUGGACAUAGCGGAUACUAAUGAAGACAAAGAAAUUGUAAUCACAAAGGAUGAGGACUUAAAACCAAACCUUGAUGUUCUACCAGCAACAAGUGCAGCAGCAGAAGAAGCAUCACUUCAGAAAGAAGGUGACAGAAUUGGGGAAGUCUCUGAAUCAGUUCCUCAGGAGCCAGUCCAUGAAACCACCACAAGAAAUGAAGAAAUUGCAACUGCAAUUACUGAUAAUUCAGAGAACGUCAUGGAAGAUAAGAUGCAUACACACACACCUCUUCAAUUGGCAUGUAACAAACAUGAUGUUUCAGAAGGCUUGAACCUGAAAGAUCCAGAGGUUGACACCAAUGAAAAUGGCACUUCACCUCUAUCUGAAAUGUCAUGGGAAGAAAUACCAGAUAAAGAGGGUGUGAUCAGUGAUGAAGAGAGACAACAUGAUCUGACAUCUGGCAAGCAAACAAUAGCUGAAUCAAUGCCAACAGAAGAAAAGGGUGCUAAGGAUGAAGAAAAGCACGCUAAGGAUGAGGAAGAGCACACAAAGGAUGAGGUAAGCAUCAUUACUAUUAUACUUGGAAACUCAACAAACAUGGAAUCCCCACGGAUAAAACUUGACACUUCAUCUGGUGCACAGGAACCAAGACAGUUUUCAGCUAGGGGCAGUGAGGGAAAGCUUGAAGAAGCUGAGAUGCACAGCACAAAAUGUAAUAAAGAUGGGGAAAUACAAGAUCAAAUUGAAAAGCUUAAUGCUUCAUCUCAAGUACAGUAUUCAUGCAUGGAGAUAUCAGAAAAAGAAGUCAGCAUGGAUCUUGCAGAAGCCAAUGAAUCCACUCAAGACAUUAAGCAGCUAGAGAAAGGCUCUGAUGAAACAUCUGAAAAGCAUAUUCCAAGAGAAGCAGAACCAAAUGAGAGCACAGAAGUAAUGAUUUCAAGUAGCAAAGAGGAUGUUCAGCUAGUGCCACAGGACCUACUUAGAAAAACCUUCCAGCAACCUGAGGUAGAAUCACUGGAAGCUGUAAAUGUUUCUGGGAUUGAAUCAGGAUUGAGAGAAAAAGACUCUAGAGGAGAGAAAACAAUGGGUGAUAUAAGCAAAGAACCAGCUGCUGACUCCACACCAAUGGGUCCUGCUGUGUCAUUAUCCGACCUCCUCCAGAGAUCUGUAAAAGAAACCUUGCAAGCACCUGGAUGCUUGACUGAAGAAAAAGAACCAAUGGCCAACCAAGAAGACGUGCUAGCUAAAGAAGAACAAGCCAUUAAGGUUCAAGAAGCAGGAACACAUGAAGAUAGAGAUGAGGAAGAGGAGGGAGAUGAACAUAAAAAAGACGAUUCAGGCUCUGAUGCUCCCAUCAUUGUAGAAGCCUCCAGAGAUAUGAAUGUUAAGGAUGGGCAUAAGAAAUCUCAUAAUAUUCUGUCAGGAGUUGGGUCAAAGGUUAAGCAUUCAAUUGCCAAGGUGAAGAAAGCCAUCACUGGCAAGUCUUCUCACCAAAAGCAUUCAUCACCAAAAGGAACAGCCACCAAAGUAAAGGAACAAAAAUAGGUUAUUUUCAGCAGUUAAAACCAGUUGGAAGUUUGUUUAAUCUGAAACAUUUAUGCAGAAGGGCUUGUGUGUAGUUUAUUUUUCUUUGUAGAUUAUCAGGUUGUGAGUGUGGUGUGCAUUUCUGUAGUGAAAGUUCAGAAUCACUAUUUGUGUAAAGUCAGUUAAAAAAUUAAGUUGUUGUAACAUAUUACAAUCUCCACAUUGCAGACUAUAUCCUCGCCUGUACAUUUAUGAGAUGGAUGGAGAGCCCCGAGGCCAUACUUGUUGAUUUGAUUAUCAAAGGUUCUACGGAAUUUAAAACCUAAAACUUAAUGCAAUCAGAAUAUUAGAAACCAUCAACAGGUGAUAUAACCAAAUAAAGGUAAACUAGAAAGCAACAUACUUAAUUCAUAACCAGAGAAUUAUCAGUGAAGUUAAACAAGUUCAAUGAGCUUAAUCAAGAUAACUACACCAACCCAAAUAUCCCCAAUCGAAAAUUCACAAUAAAAUCUCAUUGACACUCCCUAAAAAUAUAUCAUGUGUUCUAAAUUUUUCACAAUCAUUUCAACUAUUCUUAAAUUUAAAUUAGUCCAGUCUUGUAAACUAUUAAGAAAGAAAAACAGAUGCAUACAAACCCAGAAAAGAUUGAAUGAAAAGAAGAAAGAAAUUCAUGAAUGUAAACACAGCAAGUAAACCAGACCCAGUUCUUGAUGAAUGGAAACAAGCAUACAUUUACACUCAUUGUACAAAGUAUGGGCGGUAAACAAACCAAUUAGAAGACCAAAACUUAUCACAAUACGAGAAAUCCUCAGAAUGGACCCAUUCAGGGCUGUGACUGGUAAACUUCAAAUUUGAGGAAAAUUUCAUAUUCCUUCAACGAAAUUUCAGUUUUAAUGCAAACCCAAUUCGAGAUAUCAACGAUAAGAUAAAUAAACAACAUCUGAACAACAAACGGAAGCGUACAUAUGAAGAAACUUCAUGAGUAAGAAAUAGCAUUGGGAAAAGAGGAACCUGUAUUCAUUUAGACGAAGAUUUUGAAGUGGGUGGGAGGUGGGAAAAUCUCCAGUUCAAGUGUUGGUUGUGUGGCUGUUUAUUCAGCCACCAACGAUGUUUCUUUGUGUGACAACGGUCGGUUACUCUAGGCCAUAUGAUGGAGGAAUCGAAGUCGCAGACCAUUAUGGUUACGGGUUAGGCGAUAGGCGAUUUCAUAUCUAAAACCGCUCAAAUGACUCACUGUCACUGCUUUGUUGACUCGUAACUCGUAAGUCAUAAAUUCGUAAUUAGAACAGAAAAACAAUUAGAAGAGUAGUUCUAUAACAAAUAUCAUUGUCAUCAUGGGAUUAGAAGCACCUUCUAAAAUUAUCUUGAUAAAAAAAAAAUCAAAUAAUUUGACUCACUUUGAAAACAAUUUGGUAAAAUAUCAAGUGAGUAUUUUUAGAAAACAUUUUUAACAUAAAAAAACGUUUUUUCAAAAAAAUUAAGUUAGUAACUAUUUUUUAAAAUAAUUGUAAAAAAUAGUUUUAAGAACAAUUUUUAAAAACCAUUAUUUAAUAUUUUAUAAAACAAGAUUUCUUUGGAAACCUAAAAUGUUUUUAACCUACUUUUAAUGUUUUAAAAAUAUUUUUUACAUCUAUUGUUUUAUUUUUUUAAUCAUUCUCCAUGUUUAUAUGAUGAUUUUUUAAAACAAUUUUAAGAAAAUGCGUAAAAACAAUUGAAAACAGUUAAAAUGUGUUGUUCAAAAGUAAUUUGUUCUUUGCUUUUAAGAAUAGAAAAUAAAAAAUAAAAAACAAUUUUUUUUAUUGUCAAAUAUGUUUUCAUAUUUUUUUGUUUUAGAAAACAAAAAGUUAUUCUCGAAAACAGUUACCAAACAAAAUCAAAUGUUUGAUAAAUUUAUAAAGUAAAAAAAAAAAAAUCACUUUUUAGAUAACCAUUCGGGAAGUGAUUCUCCAAAUAAUAUUUUUAAAGAAAACAUUUUAAGUCAAAGACAUUUUGGAAACACUUUCGAUACUUAGAAAGUAGUUACCUAAAAAUGAAUCUUUAAUAAUUAAAUUUUCAAUGACCUACUAUGUUUUUAAAUAGUUUUCCUUUAAGAUAUAUUUCUCAUCUACUUGAACUCCUAAACCUUUUUUUCUCUUUGAUUUAUAUUUGAUUCUCCCUUAAACCUUUUUAUUUCUUCAUUUUGUAGUUUGUACUCAAUUGUAUGUGAAUAUCCCACCCCGUUUCUUCAUUCUGUCCUCUUCAAAGCAAAUGCCUUGCAUAGUUCUUGUUUGACUUUCUGCAUUGGUUUGAUCAUCUAAAUGUAUCCUACCAUCUAUAUGACUCCAAACUCACUAAAGAAAAAUUUCAUAUAAAGUUGGUCUCAGCCUAGGAAGUGGCAGCCAAUUUAAUAGUCAGUCCGUUGUUGUAAUCUGAAGCAAAACAACCCCCCAAAAUGAUCACAAACAUACUCCCAUUCUUCUUAAUUCUUGCCAUGAUCUCCGGUCGAUCAUAUUCCGGCAGCAUCUCCAUUUACUGGGGCCAAAACUCCAAGGAGGGAACAUUGGCUGAUACCUGUGGUACUGGAAGAUUUGCCUUUGUUAACAUAGCUUUCCUUCCUGUAUUUGGCAACAAUCAAACACCUGCACUGGACCUUGAUGACCACUGUGACCCCUCCACAAAGAAUGGCUGCACUGGUUUAGCCACUGAUAUUCGGUCGUGCCAAAGCAGGGGUGUCAAGGUCAUGUUGUCGAUUGGGGGCGGGGAUGGCAGCUACUUCCUUGCAUCAUCUGAAGAUGCAAAGCAGGUAGCUGCGUACCUGUGGGACAACUACUUGGGUGGAACAUCCCCUUCUAGGCCUUUUGGUGAUGCAGUGCUGGAUGGUAUUGAUUUUGACAUUGAAGGUGGAACCACACAGCACUGGGAUGAGCUAGCUAGGUAAAUGAAAAUCUGCUUAUUUGAAUUCAUUUUAUAAUCACAGAUGGCAUCAUCACUUCAUCGUUUGAUCGUUACAGCUACUUGAGAAGCUACAGCUUUGCAAAGAAGUUGUGUCUGACUGCAGCACCCCAGUGUCCCUUUCCUGAUGUAUACAUGGGGCAGGCCUUGUCCAGUGGCCUCUUUGAUUAUGUUUGGAUGCAAUUCUAUAACAAUUACUGUGAAUACAAAGGAAAUGCUGCUGAACUGAAAGCAACAUGGGAUACAUGGACUAGCAAUGUGACUGCAACAGGGUUCUUCCUGGGUCUCCCUGCUGCACCUAGUGCUGCAAGCAGUGGAUAUAUUCCUGCAGAUGUGUUGAUAUCUCAAGUUCUUCCAUUGGUGAAGAAUACCAGCAAGUAUGGAGGUGUGAUGCUGUGGUCUAAGUAUUAUGAUGAUCUGACUGGGUAUAGUUCUUCCAUAAAGAGUCAUGUUUGACGCUUUCUUUUGGGAGUAUCCAAAUGUUGUGAUAUUGGUGUGUUUAUUUAUGUAUUAAAAAACAUAAACGUUGGCCUCUUGUGAUUAAGUUGAGAUCAAGAUGCUUUGAAAAAUGAGAAAACAUCAUUGCAAGUUCUUUUCCUUUUUUGUCUUUUUAAGCAUUGAAUACAUUCUCCAUGGAGACCCCACAAAUGUACCCAAGAACAGAGCAACUUAAAGAAGAAACUUAAAAAGAGCAAAAAGCACAUACUGAAACAGAGCUCUUACAUUUCACUACUAAGAAAGGAUAAUUCCACCAGCAAGUUGCAGCAGUCAUGUCAGACCCUCCUCCCUCACAAGAUGGCAGUAGGGAAAUUAUUAAAGAGAAAAUGGAUUGAUUGAUGGAGAAGAAGACGAUUAUUAUCAUAAUGGAAGAUACAGCAACAUACAUUUAACUUAGAAUAUCGGGUGGAGAUGGAGGAUAGGGCCUGUAGGAACUGGCAGUAGGAGGCCGAGGCGCCACUCCCUUGCCAUUGCGCAGCAUCUCCUUUCCUUUAUGGAUAUCGCCGCCAAUUCCACCUCUCCUUCCCAUGAUAUUCACAGUAUACACAGCAUGUUUCAGUUUUUCAUGUGGGCUGCCGUAGCCAUCUGAUCUCAUGUCAAUACCAAGUGGGUCAGCUCCCAUGGCUGAAAUACUGAGGAACAUCAGCAGGAAAGCUAAAAAGACCAACUUCAUUGUUAGAUUGAGCAAUGAAGCAUUACUUGAUUCUCUGAAUAUAUAGAAGCAAUGACGCAUUACUUGCUGAAUAUGUAGGACUUGUGUACGCCGAUGAAGCAUUACUUGCUGAAUAUAUAUAAGAAAAAGGGUUACUAUUAAUCAUCUUUAUCCUUUUUUUUUUCUUUUUUAUUGGUCUCAUUUUGAUAAAAAUGUUCUCACUUUUUUCUUGUAAAAAUAUAUAUAUAUAUUUUUAAAAAACCUAUAUGUAAAUACUUGAAAUUACAAAUGACAAAGGGUAUUUAUGUCCAAAAUGAGUUACUUUAAAAAAAAAAAAAACAUAAAGAUGAUUAAAUUCACAAAUUUAGGGAUUAUUUAAUCCAUUUUAAGCAAUUAUUUAUUAGAAAAAUGGGGCAGAGGAUGUCAUUCUUUACUAGGCAUUCCUGUUCAGAUCAAACUAUUGGGGAGGAUAGAGGCAUCCAUUGGUUACAAACUGUGAGUAAUAAAAUAAAUAAAUUCUAUAAUUUUCAAUUUUAAAACUAACACAUUAACCAAAGUGGUAUUGGCUAAUUAACUCCAAACCCAAAUAAUUUAAAUGAGAACUAAAUAAAGUUUGAAUUAAAAUCUUAAUAAAGAAAAAUUUCUAAUCUAAUCAUCAUUCUUCGCCCAAACUAAUCGUACCUGAAAAUUUGUUAACAAAUGAAAAUGAACUCAAAACCUAAUAAAGAGUAUUAAUACAGUUUCAUAGAUAAAACAUUUUCGAUUAUAAUUAUAAACAAGAGAUAUAAUGUAUAAGGGCAAAAAAUGUCAAUAAUUUUAAUGUCUUGACUAAGGUUAUAUAAACUAGAAUCAAACAUUUUAUUUCAUUAAUUCAAACUUACAAAAUAGAACAUUAUAUCUUUAUAAUUUUCAUUUUUUAUAAAGAAAGAAAAUAUUCAAACAUAUUUUGAAUACAAAACAGAUAUUUGAUCCAUGCAUAGAAAUAAAAAUAAUUUUUUUAAUUAAAAAUAAUAUGCAAAAAGAAAUGCAUUUUUUUUAUAAAAUCUGUAUUAAUUUCUCUUACCUUAACAAAACACUCAAAAUCUUAAACAAUUUUCUCCUCACCUAACAUAAUAUCAUAACCAUAUUUUUUUAUAUACUUAAAUUAUAUUAAAACUUUUACUAAUGAUAAUAAUUAUUAUUAUUAUAAUUAAUCCCCCGUAUCCCAACCAUACACCAAUCCUAGAAAAUUUAAGUUUUUGAAACUUUGUUUUUAAUUUUUUAAUUCAAGUGCAGAAUGAAAAAAAAUUAUCAUUUCAUACACUCAAACGGCAAUUCUAAAUUUUUUUCUAAAAUUACCCUCCCGCUUCUCCCUCCCCUCCAAAAUCUACCGUCACCUUGCGGGCGUCAUCGUCUCUCUAAUCGGCAACCUCUCUUCUCCCCUCACUCUUCUCUUUCUCUAUUUCUCCCUUUAUCUCUUUUUUCCUUCCCUUUCUCGACAUCACCACUAUCACUACUGUCGGCGCCAUCACCAUGGCCGGCUGUCACUCAUAGUCCCCUCCGGCUGGCAACCUCCCUCUCUCUCUCUCUCUCCCUUUUCCCUCCCUAUUUGUCUCUCCUUCCUUCCCUUUCCACAUCACCACCGCCACCACUCGCAACAACCCAUUGCUCCUGCCAACUCUGAUCGGCGACACCAAUCGCCACCAGUGAAAGGCGACAGUAGCAGUGGGUUGCUGGCAGUGGUGGACAACUCCACCUAUUCCCGUCAUUAUUAUUAUUAUUAUUAUUAUUAUAUAAUAGUGCAUUUGAAUUUUUUGUUUUUUUUUUCUCCACCACUUCUCGCUAGCCAUCAGGUCCACCACUGACGGCUACCAAACAAGCCCCAUAAGUCACAUGUAGCACGACACACACUCCACAAAACCUUUCUGUUUAUUUAUUUAUUUUCUCGUUCCAAAUUAUUACCACACGACAAAACUAUAAUUUUUUUUCCCCAUUUCUUUUCGAAUCUCAAGCCUGCAUAAUUGAACUAUUUUAUUUGUUUAUUUAUUUCAUUUAAACCUUUUUUUUUAAUCUACUCAAUUCAAUAUUUAUAUUCUAAAUCUCCAAAUCUUCAAUCCUAUAUUACUCCAUUACUCUAUGUUUUUUUUAUUUCUCUGUUCUCCAUAUUAAAAAAGUUUUCUUUUUAUCCUUAUUAAAUUAAAUUAAUUCAUUUUUAUAUUUUAAAUUACAGUUUCACGGCCUAAAUUGGGUUUGGGGCGCGGCGUCAGAAAACUACUGGGCAGAAUAGGGGCAUAUUGUUAGUGGAAAUUAAGUUAAUUAAACGUGGAAGGACAGCACGAAAAGUUGGAUCACGGGUCCCAAAACAUUGUGCCACUGGACCUUACUUUUGGCUGAUUCCAAUAUUCCCACCUUCAGUCUAUUAUAUUGUGAACACUUCUACCUAGACGCAGAGCCCAUCUAUUUAUUAAGACCGUGCAGACGUUUCUACGACAUGUGAAGGAUAUGGAGCAUGUGAAUUUUGAUUCCAUCCAUUCACGUUCCUAUAAUAUUCUUGUGUAUUAUAAACCCUCGCAAUUCAGUAAAAUAUUUAGGUAGCAUUUCAGUGGAUCUUUCAGAGGAAUAUUUAACUUAAGCGUCAGGAGUCCAUUAAUGGCCAGGUUACCUCACCAAUGCCUCCAGCAGGAAACAAGGAGAGGCUGGAAUGUAAGCAAUGUUCCAGAGUCCAGACUCAAGUUUACAUGCAUUUAUGCUCUCCUUUUGGUCUUAGAUCUGCUGAAAACCCAAAAAAUAGUUGUUCAACAAGGGAGGCUUUUACUAUUUGAAAUCAAAAUAACUACUUUUACCAUAGAAAAAUUUUAGCCAAUCACACUCCUAAUUGGCAGUGUUCCAAGGUAAUGUAUAUGUCACAAGAAAACCUAAUGGACCAUGAGCAAAAUUGACUUGGCUUCCAAAACCAGGACUAACAUGAAUCAGUAAGUUACCGAUAACACAAAGGUACCGGGAUUUCAGAGGGGCUUCAGCUUUUCUCUGAUCCCUGUGCUGCUUCAAUUUUUUGCUUCCUUUCCUUGAGAAGAUUGACAUGAGCCCGCUUCCGUUCCUUGCCAAUCUGGAUUUGAGACAAUAGAUUCACAAAUCAAACCCCAGAUAAAGUUCAUCUCAAUUUUGCAGGAUAAUUCAUCCCAUAACAAAUUUAAAUUCAAAUAGUCAUGAACUAGAAAAUUCAAUUGAAUUAGAACUUUUAUCUCAUUGUACCAAACUAUGGGCCAAAAUAGAAAUGAAGACAAAAACACCAAGUAUGUUUAUAUGACACAGCUAACACUAGGAUGAACAUUUUUAAGGAUAUUUCAAACCAAUGAAACCUUUGGACUAUUGGCAUGCCAACCCAAACGAACUCAAUUCCCACUUGUCUAUUUGAAUGGAAAAACUCACUCCAAUCAUGCCAUUAGAUACAUGCUAAAGCAUGCAUAUGGCCAAAACAAAUAAACAAGGCAGCAAAACUAAAAAACAGUUCAGAGUAAGAAGCAUGCCAAGAAGCAUCCAGUUUGUCUUAAAACGCAAUUUUUGCUAUGGUUCCACCACUAAGUACCACUAACCAGUGAAGUUUUGUAGGGAACUCACAUCAUAAUGCUUUCUAACUUUUCACAGAAACUAAGAUUGUAGCUUUUAAUUUUAAUGGAUGUAAAAGAAAUCUGAAAUUUGUAAAUACUGCUCUUAGCUUGUGUACAAAUCAUGCAAAUCACUGUGUAUACCAACUAAGAUAAAGCCUACUUUCAAGUCUCAGAAACAGAACAACAUGCGGAAACCUGUUUAUUAUGAACAAAAGAAGGUAAUAUUUUAUACUUAAUUGCAAGAAAAAAAUUUUACAUGCUGCAUCAUGCAUGUCAAAAAGGAAUAAUAGCAGCAUAAUAGGAGUUAACAAAGUUACCUGCAUCGCUUCAUAAAGCCUUCUCUUCUUACGUGACAUGACAACCUUGGACAUGGUGGUAGUAUCCUCAGCAAUUUGUUGCAUAUCGGGGAGAGAUUCUUCCCAAGCCUCAGUGUCCUCGACAGAGCUUUGCUUAUUCAUAUUCGAGACAGAUGAAGAAUACUGGACACCCUGGAGUUCCAGUUGCAAUUCAUUGUGAUACUGAUUCUCAAGAGCUAACAUCUGCAUCCAACACAAAUUUGUGAGCUUAAAAUUAAUAGAAGUUAAAAGAAAAUGCUGCAGACGAAUGACAAGGACAAAGAAUGGAUACCUAAAAGAAAAUAAUGAGUCAGGUUGUGAUUGAAAAUGAUAAAAAUGAGGCACAUAGAAUAUAUUUUUGAAAGAAGUUACAAUGGAGAAGAAGAAAAGAAGAGGUAAGGGCACUUUCAUCGAUGCUCAAUUUUUAACAGAAAUUAACUUAUAAAUGGAUUGUUAAAACAUGUGAAUUUAAAAGCGGGGAAAAAAAGAUUGAAAAAAUUUCAGUGUUGAUUCAAUUUUUCCCCCUCCAGACAAGCACGUUUCAGGUGUUAAUAAAAGUCGAUUUCUUGAAAAGAAAAAAUAGAACAAAUAGACUCCUAUAUGGCACUUGUAAUUUUAUACAAUUGGUCAUUAACGCAUGGUUCUAAUACUUUCAAUAGCACAUAAGAGGAUCUUCAUGCAUGUGGCAGCAGUAACACAUGUAUACACAGGCACGUACAAUCGAACCACUAGUCACAGGCUAAUCCUAAUAGCUAAGCCUACUGUUUAACACUUCAUUUUAUUUUUUUAUUUUACUCAAAGAGGUUAUAGGUGGUCUGCAAAUCCAACUAGUUUCCAGUUUGAUGAACAGUCUGACAUCUAUAGAAUUCCACCAACCAAUCCCAUGCAUGAACCAGCAGGUUUCUGAUUCCAUGAGUGGCUGACUUUCAGAAACCGUACUGUCUUUGGCUGGUAUACCAUAAUCAAUUUUAUCUGAUUGCUGAAAGAGUUUGUACCUUCUGUUUUCUCUCUGCAACUUCAUUGGCUUCAGUUCGGCUGAUAAUACCUUCUACCAGUAAAUUCUGAGGAUCAUCCAAAUCUUCUUUUCCGGCACCUGGAAUUGGAAGGACUUCUUUUCUUGCAGCAGCUUGCAGUCUUUUGAUCAUCUCUGCAUACUCAGGAACAUAACCUUCGGCCUCAUUGUCAAUGAACGGUGAUAGAUGUGGAGGAGGAACCCUGUUGAGACAAAAAUAUGUUGAAUACCUGACAUGUUAUCAUUUGAUAAUGCAAUUUGUGUACUGGAAUUUUCAUUACAGAUAUCAAAAGAAAUAAGGUUUCUUUUCAGUCCCUUACAAAACAAUCCAUGUUGAUUUAACCAUUGGACUUGGAGAGGAAUAAACUAAAAUUUUCCAAUAAUUAUAUGCUAGGCAAGCAUAAAUUUUAUUAACAGCACCAAGGAAAGAGGCACAUCAAAGUAUAUCGGGCAUACACAGAGGGCGCCAAAGACAAAGACAAAAAAGGAAAAAGGGGAGCAACAAAAACAAAAGACACCCCUUAGCUAGUGCCUAACCCACAUCAAAAGAAUUCAAACAACAAGGAUUUUAGUGCUUGAUCCAUCUGCCCCUCACUUUAAAAUGAUCUCCAAUUUCUCUCGAUUCAUAUCAUUUAAAACAUGCACAAAGGAAACCCUAAAUCUUUUUUACAUUCUUUCCACAUGAAGGGACCCAUAACAACCUAAGAAAAGACACCAUCCAUGUAUGCUAAACAAGGAGAACACCAACUUCCAUAAAACCAUUGACUUUUGCGUAAUGUUGGAGAAUGUUAUCAAUUGAAUCUUUCUCCUUGGCAAAGAAAGCAUCUAUGACCAAUAACCAUUUUCAUCAAUGACCAUCUAUUUAUUGAGAUAAUUAAUAUUAAGUAAGAAUCUAUAUGACCAGGACUAUAACUUGUCAUUCUAUCAUGAUGAAAGUGAGAGGUUAACUUAGUUCAAGCAAGUGCACGCACACUUAUAAAAGUGAGAAAGAUAAUAGAAGAAUAUGUUCCCCAAAAAUUACCUUCCCACCAUAUAAGCAUCAGUUGGUAAUAUGAUCCGUGCAUUUACACAAUCAAAAACCCACUGUGGCUGUACAUAUUCUCUUGAAAGGAAUAUAUGCCCCUGUGUUGGCCUGUCAACAAUCUGCAGAAAUUAAUGUGAUCAAUAAAAAUGUCUAAUAUACAUUUUAAACAAUACAUUGCCAGGCUAAGGAAAGAUAUAGAUUUGUCUACUUGUAUUAAAAAUAGGAGAUUGUCAUUGCAAUGGAUAGAAAUACAAAAAUCUGGGGCAUUAAAAAUAGGAAUGUAUGCUCCUAAUGGCAAACCUUCCCACCUGAAAAGUACUAAAGAAAUUUGUCAGGGGCCCAGGGCAAGGCACUGCCACCUUGCAGUAUAACAGAAGACACUAACAGGAAGCUGUUUUCAUAAUAAAGGCUACUAUCCUGUUAUUUCUAACUCACUUUUAUUUUAGACAUAUGAAGUAUGAGAAUUCAGUUAAAAUAUAUUUAAAUAUUCAUCCAAUCAUGUCAAUUUUUUUGAUAGGUCAAAUAAGCAGAUUUAUUAAAAGUGCUAGGAUGAGAUUUCCUUUUUAUCAGAAGCGCUUGGAUGACAUGAUCAUCCAAUCAUAUCAAUAUAUCAUGAAUUAUGAUUCUUAUAAAAUACAGAGAAGUAAACAAGUCUGCCAGUAUGUCUAGACCUUAUCUUAAACCUUGUCACAUGAAUUCAAAAGCCAACUGAAAAAACUUGAUGACAAUACAAUUUCCUGUUCACCAAAAGUUAUCCUGAGGCUCCUGAGCAAAGAGAUAACAUACUAGCAAACUCAACUCAAUGAAGCCUUGAGCAAACUACUUGAAUCGGUACACUUUCAACAAUCAGCUUUAUCUAAAGACCAUAUCUGAAGUUAAACGAUAGGCUCCACAUCUUGAUUCAUGCCCUUAACACAAUCCUUACAGCCUCCUCAAAUUUAAUCAAACCACUCCAUAAUGGUAAUCAUUAGUCUGGAACUAACCAAAUUAUCUUGAUAAACCCCCACAUCUAAUUGUCAAAUGGUGCCACCAAAAGGCUUUUCAUGAAAGCAUGAUGUAUAUGGCAGAAUUAGGCAUCCACAACUACUACAGGGCAUCAUAUCAACUAGUAACCAAAAGCAGCAUAAUUGAACAAUCAUAACAGCAUGACAUUCAGUUUUAAAGACAAUUAGAUGAGGAAUUUUUGUUUUCUAAUGUCCAUAUGCAUCCUCAUAGAAUAGCAGACCUGAUAAGUGAUGCUCUGAUCAGCUUCCUUAAAUGGAGCUCCUUCUCCCUCCCAAGAAACCACACCACCAAAAGCAGGAAUGACAAAAAGCAAUGACUCUCUGGGAACCUGAACAUGGAAAAGAUAUCUUAUAAAAUGAUAUAUACAUAUAUAUGUGUGUGUGUGUGUGUGUGGAGAGAGAGAGAGAGAGAUGUAUUCCAAUACAACUCAACUGACUAACAGAAUUAAGAAUCCACCAAUAUAGGAGAAUUUGAUAAAUAUGCUUUAAACAUAUACACAUUAUUCAAAUGUUAAUUUUUAAAUUUGCUUUAGGCAAAGAUCAAGAAUAUUAAUAGAGCCUCACAAAAGGGUGCACAAAAACAUACAUGGGGUAUACAAAGGUGCCAAAAGGCUAACCAAAGUGAAGAGACACAUAUCCUUGCCAACUUAGAGCUCAACCAAUCAAUAAAAUCCAUCAUGAACAUUUUUGCCUUGUGUUAAUAUAUUCCGUGUUUACUUAUCAAAAAAAAAAAAAAAUCCAUCAUGAGCAAUGAAUAAUCUUCUAAAUACACUUCAACGCACUCAAAAAGAUUUAUUCAUAAAGGAUUUCUUCUGCCUUAGAUGGCAUCUGUUCAACAUCUUCCAUCCCAUCCUUUUGAGCUGAUCAAAUGUCAAUUAUCCUUCUCCACAUUGCUUACCAAGCAAAAAGGUCAACUUUGGACAAAACCAAAGGAUUCCAAAUAAUACUAGAAGGAAAAGCAAGCCUCCAUUUUUCCAUUACAUAAAGAGGAAUCAAGUGAUUUAAGUGAAAAUUGUUACACUUUGAGUUCAACCAAACCAUUUUAUCCCAUAUGUCUUUACAAAUUGUUUGUGCUUGUCUACUAAAAAUAGUCUUCACCCUGCCUAGUUCCUAGUCAUGAAUUUGUCUUGUGAAAUGGAGGUUACAAUAGCCCCCCUUACCUAUUUGCUCCCACACCUCAGCUACCCAUGCAUCUUUAGCAAGAGCUAUUGAAAACAACUGCAAGAAAAUCCUAUCCAAGGGGUAAGUCACCACACCAUCAAUCCUUCCAAAAUUUCACCCUCUGCUUGUUCCCAUUUUAAAACCAGUUUUACUAUUAAAGCACCCUACCUGCCCUACCUGCUUUUGAUUGCCUUUCACACACCCAUCCCAUAUCCUUCCCUCACUCCUCUAGAGCACCAUUCACCCUCCUCAUACUUCAUUGAAAACACCCACUUCUAUAGGGAUUCCCUUUCAAUAGUGAAUUUCCAACACCAUUUGAUGAGAAAAGCCUCGUCAACAAUGGACAGACUUCUAAUACCCAAGCUCCUAUUCCUCUCGUCCAUGCAAACUAUCUAACAAUUUACCAAAUGCAGCUUUCUUAGCAAGUUAAUGUCAUGAAUGACAGUUCGCAGUCCAAGGUGUAAUAAAAAUAGUGAUGCAUGAGAAUGUAUAUUAAGAUUAGGAAAAAUCAACCCCAUACAGUAUGAUUGAAUUUUAUGUUUAUAAACAUAUAAAUGCCUCUUUAUCGGUUGUGAACAGAAUAUCUCAACUAGUCAAAUAAGAUGGAAAGAAGAAAAAAACAAAAAAAGUUCUAGAGAGUAGGAACAAUGCCAGUAUUCAUCUGGGACCUCUAACAUGAUGGAAUGGGUUAGCAAAAAGACUAGUGACACAUAAAGUGCUAUAAUCUUUUAGAAAGGUUCCAAUAUCCCUCACAAAGGUUUCCAGCCUGGCUAAUUCAAGACACUUUCAUUGUCAGAUGUUCCAAGUGAAAUCAUUUUCUAGACUAUUAAUGUCACAUUUAUUAGAAGCAAAACAAGGAACAAUGCUACUAUUCACUUGGGAUCCAUAACAUGAUUAGGUGGGUUAGCAAAAAGACUAGUAACAGAGUUUUUUUUUUUUAAUAGGCCAAAAGGAGUAGUAACAUAUGAUGUACUAUAAUCUUUUAGAAAGGUGCCAAUAUCUAUUGCAAAGGCUUCAAGAGUGGCUAACUCAAGAUUCUUUCAUUGUCAUAGUGUCGUGAGCUCAUAGGCAAGAUUUAUCUACAACCUAGAAGGGGAGAAGCUCUAGAGCACUAUAUCAUUUCUCUGGUUAGUCUACAUAAUAAGCCACUAAGGUUUUCCACAGAAUGAAAGCCUUACCUAAAACUUAGCCCAUGAUUAUUGGUUUUGGAGAAAUUGCUACAUGCGGAACCCACUUGAACCCACAUGAGUGACUAUUCUCCCACACCAAAAAAGAAAGAAGAAGAAGGAAUACAAUCCUAUAUUUUGGUCCAAGCAACAUCAUAAAAUACCACUAUGUCCAAUAAUGACCACCUUAUCCCACCUCACAACUCCAUUUUGGGAAGAAGGCGUGGAGAACCGCUUCAUUAUGUAUUUUUUGGACUAUUUGGAAAGAAAUCAAAGAGUGUUUGAAGAUGAGGAGACAUCAAAUCAAAGUCCUAAAAAUUAUUUCCUUAACAAUCUUGCUAUGUGGAAUUGGAUGUACAUAAAUGGGAGUACUUUGUACUUAAUUGAUUGUGUAGAUCGGAUGAGUUCUUGUUGAGGAAGGAAGUAGUUUUUUGUUUUCCCUAUUUUUUGUUUGGCCCUUUUCGUUUAUUGUAUGCGUCUUCUGUACUUGUGUGCAUUUUUAUACGCUUUUAAUAUAUUCUCUUACUUAUCUCACCUCACGACUCAAGAAGAAUUUCUUAUUCUUGAAGAGUGUUUUACACUCCCUUGUUUCUUCAUCAUCCUCAUCUUCACAAGAGGCAUCUUCAACAAGGUGCAUUAAUGUGCCAGGUUCAUUGGAAGGAAGCUGAUGCUGAAGUUGGGCAAGCCUGAGUUCGGACUCAUCAGGUUGAGUUCCAUCUUUUGUGAUGUCAAUUUGCUCAGCUCCAGAAGAACUGACAGCUUGAGAUCCCAACACCGUGGCACUAGAGUUGGCAGCAAAGUAUCUUGACAAUCCAUAAAGAUCUGCACAACUCAAACAAUACCAAAUAAAAAUACUAUAGCAUCAAUCACAUACUAGUUCUCAAGGCGAGAACCAAGAAAUUUCUCUCCAAAUGUAUAUAAUAAAAUAUACCUGCUGCCAAAGCUUCCAAUCGAGAAUCAAGAAUGGGUGGAUAUUUCACGUUAAUUGAAUGAUAAAGUCUAAAAUUGACAAAAGCAAGAAGAGUCUGCACCAAAAAAUGAAAACGAAAACGAAAUACAUAAGAAAAAUGAAUUAGAUGGCAAACAUGUGCCAUGUUUAUUUAUUCAGAAACAACAUUUCACUAAAUGGAUUAAAAGUACGAGGAUGAGUAAUCCUUCAACUGGACAUAUGAUCUAUUACAAGAAGGAAGUAAAGUGGUGGAAGGAGCCAUGCCCUCCCUCAAAAAAAUGAGCAAACUAGUGGUAAAAAAGAUAGAACCCCAAACCUACCAAGAAAAAAAAAUAAAAGAAAGAGCCCCCUAGGGCUGCCCAACAAAGACCUUCAAAUUAUACUUUAACAACCUAAUGGUUGUAGACUCAGCAUUAGUGAUAGAAUGGGUAUCCCAAGGGAAGCCUUUUCUAGAGCUUUCAGUUGUUCCUUCCUUCAGAUCCCUAGGUCAGCAAAUCAAAUUGUAGAUCCUUUUGCUAAGUGAGGAGCUUCUCAGUUUAGAACCUUUUGGCCAUGUGAAGGUUGUAGCUUUUGUUUUGAUGUGCCUACCACUUCUUAACAUUGUCUCUGUUCAUUUUUGUAUUUUCACAUUCAUUUUCUAUGAAAUGAAUUGGUUUGUUGUAGAUUUAGAAUAAAAUAAAAUAACAACUACUAGGUUUUUUGUAUUUAGAAAAAAAAAAUAGAAAGAGCAAAAAUGUGCUGUGAGACAGUUAACUGUUUCAUUUAACUCCUGUUUUAGGACAUGUCCUCAUGCCUCACUUUUCAUUCUAUUUAACAAAAUUGCAAUUUUUGGAGUCUCACCUUUUUGUUUUAAUUCAUGUUCAGUUUUAAUACCCUCAAGGUCUCAACAAUUUGUUGAGUAAUUUAAGAUGGAAAAGACCUAGUUUAGUUUCAACCGCAACCCUAUGGCCUCUCCCCAACUCCCAAAGAAAAACACCAGUGAACAAAAUUGAAAUCCGAAAAUUAUCAAAUCUGACCUCAUAGAACUCCAAGAAAGUUAACAUGACAUUGAAAUCAACAUCAUCAGUCAAGACUUGCUGCAGUGUAUGAGGGGUUAACCAUGUUAUCUUUUGCCCCUCCACCUCAGCCUGUAUAAAUGAACAGCACAAUAUGGUAACCUAAAUAAAACGCCAUGUUCCUGAACAAAUGAUACCUAUAAAAACACAGUGAUCUCAUGAUACCUGGUAAUAUAUGCCUUUCACUGAUAUGAAGGUUUUUCGCAAUUUAUGAGUACGACAAAUGUAUGCCUGCCACUCAUGGCUCAACCUAACCAACCAAAAAAAAGCACAAUCAAUUUGCAAUAACAUCAACACAUGCAAUGAAUUCAAUAGACAAAUGAUAAUACUGUAAAACCAUAAUAAGUUAUCAACAUUUAAAUAACCAUUAGCACUCUCUUAGCAAAUAAACUGUACCAACCUUCGACAAUUAUGGAUUCGCUUAACUUGAAUUUUUUCACUCUCUAAUGCAGGUAAUGAUGCAAAAAGGUGCACCAUGGUGAGACAGUCAUCCAAAUCCCUGAGAGCAUCAGUGAAUUUUGGAUACCUAAAAGCAAAGCACAACAAAACAAGCAAGUCAACGAUACUUGAUUAGGGCAAUAAAGUGGCUAAAUCCAUGGGGAAUACAAUGAACAAACCUCUCACGAAUAAGCCUAUCUAGUGUGUAAUUUGGCCGGCGAGUCAAGAGACGCUCAGCAAGGUCUCGGUUCUUCUUAGCUUUAGCUUUAUUUACCUUCUUGUCGUAUGCCCUUAUAUUUCUGAACUUCUCAAGCAAUGGUUCGUGUUGAAGGAAUGCAAUAUCCUUUGUGUGAUAGUAAGUGUGGUGAUUUCCCUUGACCUUCUUCUUUGGCUCCCGAGGAAAUACACCCUUGAGUAUGCAUAAUCUCCUAAAAAAAUUUAUACCAAUAACAAAAUGAGUCCAUAGUUUCCAUAACUGUUUGGGCAUGACCCUUGCUAAUACUGGAUUCAAAUCCUAAAAGCCUAAUUGUAAAAACAAAAUUCAUAUCUCCUCUAACAUAAAUAAAACCAAGGUUCUGUUUGGUUGCCAAGAAAAUUGUGGAAUCUAAGACUCGACGAAGGUUUCCAUGGUUUUUCAGCAGCCAAUUCGUGUCAUUUUCAGUAGAAAGCACACCAAAUGAAAUCAAUAAACAAAAAAGAAAAAAAAAUCCACACACAUCAAUCGACUUCUGUAAUUUCCAAAAAAACUCGAACUUGAAUGAUAGAUAAAUCCUAAAUCAAAGGGUACCAAAGAGAGAUACCUGAAAAGGGGAAGGCUGACUUGAAGAUGUUUAACAGCUUGUGACCUGGUGAUGUAUUUGGCGGCAUUACCUUCCUUUUUCUUCCCCUGUAUUAAUACAAAAGAAAAAUUAACGAAAAAAAAUACAAAUUUCCAAGGAACGAUGAGGACAAGGUCGUGGAAUGGAGCUUACGGGAGGCCUGUAAUGCUUCGGCAUGGCUAGAAAGAAAAAGGUAGGCUGGUCAGUAAAGAAAGAGAAUGUGCGCGAGGAUGGAGGCGUUUCGAAGAUUUAGGGUUUUAGUUUCGGUGGUAGAAGACGCAUGCCGGUGGAAACGGGCCAAAAAGGGGUAAUAUAAUGGGCUGAGGCCCAAAGGAGAAACAAGAAUUAAAUGGGCUAAAGCCCAUUUAAACUUGAGCCGACACCUAUAUCACACAAAUGGCACGUGACGUGGAGGUUGGAGUUUACCGCGGCCACAUGGACACCGUGAAAAUCAAAUUUUAAGUUAGCCGCCACUUAAAACCGAGCAGCUUCCCGCCAAUUCAAAUAUUAUAAUGCUCAACUCCAAAUAUUCACAACGCCUCUCUUUCUUCCCCAAUCUCACUCCCUCUCUAUCUGGUUUCGAUUUAUGCAAAUGGAGAGCUGUAAACCCCAAUCCUUCUUUCAGGACAUCAGAUCUAGAGAGCUCAAUGGGUUCAGAGGUGCCUCUUUAUCUCUAUUUCUCUCUCUGUACAUAAUGUAGUCUCUGUGAUUUCUCUCUGAAAUUUGAUUUCUAUGUUUUCAGUUCGAAAACGGCCUUACUCCGGCGUUGACUCAUCGGGGUUUAGUGAAGUUGGGGCUGUGGCUGUUGAGCAUAAUGGCUUUGAUACACCUCCAUUGGCCGUUUCUUUCUGCAAGGUUGGAUUUUUAUCCAUGUCCACCUGGUCACCUACUGCGAUUUUUAUUUUCCAUUUUUUUUUCCUUAUAUCGGGUUCUGUUUAGUUUUUAGGUUCAUCUCACAUUUUUUUAAAUACUGGGUUCUCUUUCUUUGGUGAGAAAUGAAAGAAAAGAAUGAAAAAGCGAUUUUUUUGUCAAUCUUAUGUGUGAGUUUUCUUGGGGUUCAAAUGAUUAAAAGCUAUGAGUAUGGAAUUUUGGACUUUUUUUCGUACGUUUUUUUCCAACAUCCAAAUGGGCGUUACGUAUUUUGAACAAUCAUGGGCAAGUUAAAUGUUCUGUUAAUUUGUAAAAUUCUGAUUCUGCAGACAAGUAAAAAUUUCCAUAUCCUUGCUGUGUCUGACGAGGAUGGAUAUGUGAGCUUGUUUGAUAGUCGGCGGAGGCAUCCGUAUUUUGCAUCAUACCAGGAAAACGCAGGUUUGUUCAGUUUAUCAAAUUACAUUUUAGGGUUUUGAUUACUCUUGGUUCACUUUUACCAGUCUUCACUUAGUUUCUGAUGAAAAUUAAUCAUCUUAUGUGCAGAGAAAGCAAGACUUUACGAAUGGGUUGCCCAUGAUAAUGCAGUGUUUGAUGUAUGCUGGAUCAAGGUAUGCACUUGUCAUAAGGAUUUGUUGAAGAUUUGUGAUGUAUUUUGAUUUGCACACACAAUUAAGUCAGAAUUAUUAAAUUUUCCCAAUAUUAAAUUUUCCCAAUUUCGCAUCAAUUUUUUGGCAGAGGAUAAUUUCACUCAACAUCUUACAACAAAAAGAGUUGCAAUUGAAGCUUUCUUAGGUGUUCUUGUGUGCAGUAAUUCAGUUUAAUCCUUAUUAGUUGUUUCUAAUCCAACAUUUCUAAAAUUUGGGAGUUUAGAGAUUUGAGCAAUAUCCUUCAUUCCACAUUAAAAAUCGUAUGGUGAUCAGUCAUGCAGUGCCAUCAGAUUUGAAAUUAUUGUUUUAUUAAUUUAAAUUAUAACAAUAUCAUUGAUUUUUAUUAUGGGCAAUAUAGCCACAAAACUUAUAGUUUGGGUUUAUGGGAAAACUGUAUGGUGAAGGCCAUGGCUUUGCAUUCAAAUUAAGACAAAUAACCAACAUUAAUUAUGAAUUUGGUAAUUUCUAGUGUUGGAUUUGGUCAUGGCUUGAUAUAUUUUUUUAUAAUUGCAGGAUGACACAUGUAUUCUGACAGCUUCAGGUGAUCAAUCGGUAAGUAACUACACAUUGAAUUAGAUUGUUUACUUGGAUAGCAUUUUCCAUCUACGGAAAAACAAUGGUAUUUGUUAAACAAAAGCUCAUUUGCAUAAUGCAUGCUGCAAGUUUGGUAUCACAUUUCUUUUGAAUAUGCAUGCAAUAUUUAGCUCUUGAAGUGUUUACAAAUGCCCACCUUUGGAUGAUAAAAGUCAUUUAUUUUUUUAAAGUUUUGAUUGAGGAUGUUCUUUUAAUCAAUUUUCAACCUAAAUGCCCUACUGUGUAGUGUUGGGGACCUAAUUUGGUGAUUAACUAUGGUUCUGUGAUGUGGAUUCAGUGCACUGUGGAAUUUUGAAACUUCGACAAGUAUCAUCAGUAAGGAUUUGGAACAAUAUUUGAUCCUGUGAAGUGUAAAACAUACAUAACAUGAAUUUUUCUGGUUUAGUUCUGUGCUUCUGACCUUCUUAGCUUGUUACAUCCCAAUAGCAUACUUCCAUGACCAAGUCAGUUGCUUCAUGAAUUCAUUAAUGGCAUUGCUUUAUUGGUUGAUAAAAAUUUAAAGCAACCCACAAAAAAUUCUCAGUGGAUAAUAAGAAAAGAGUUCAGUAGGGAUUCAACGCCAUAAGAAAAGUAAAGUCACUUCAGGAAAAAAAAAGAAAAAGGAUUCAUUUUAAAACAAGUUAUGAUUCUGGUUAUAUUCAAUGCUAAAUCUGAGUCGACAGAAUUUUCAUCUAUUGUUUAAAUUUUACAGAUAAAGGUUUGGGAUGCACAGGAAAAGAAAUGUACUGGAAUGUUGAUGGGGCACACAGGAAGUGUGAAAUCUCUGUGCCCUCAUCCAAGUAAUCCUGGUAUAUUUAUGUUUUCACCUACAUCUCCUUUUUUUCUAUUUAUACUUGAAAGAUGCUUAUAAUUUCACUUUUCAUUUUUCAAUAGAUCUUGUUGUCUCUGGUUCAAGAGAUGGGUCCUUUGCUAUUUGGGACCUGAGAGGCGGUUCCAGAACUAGACGUGGGGAUAUCUGGAUACCGUAAGUUACAAUUACUUGCUUAUUGGAUGUGAUUGGGUUGAUUAGUUUGUUUUGACAAAAGGGAAAAUUGUUUGUUUACUUCCUUUGAGUUAAAUUCCAUUUUCUCAUCGAUUCAUCCAGGUCAACUGCUGUGGUUAAAGGAGCUCAUCUAUCACCUCGAAUGAAGCGGGUUAAGCGUGCUAAGGUUUGUUGACAAAUGAUAUUUCUCUUAAUCCAUUCUGUUGUCCCCUUAACCAAAUUUUUGUUCUUGCAGGCUGCUUCCAUGAGCAUUACAUCAGUUCUCUAUCUCAAAGAUGAGGUUUCCAUUGCUACUGCUGGAGCAGUGGACAGGUAUGUUAGAAGCCUUUGCAAUGUUACAAGAAAAAAAAUUAAAUCUUGAAUUCCUUAGCUACACAUAUCUCAAUGAUGCUUUGAAGGAAUUGUUUAUUUUACCUCUCUUCAUUGGUUCAUUUCAGUGUCAUUAAGUUCUGGGAUACACGAAAUCUAAAAGCUCUGGUUACUCAGGCAAGCCCUCAUUCAACUUCAGUUGCAAAGGUAAGUUUGAACUUGCAGUGUACAUCUUUUUCCUUGGGAUAAAUAGGGAAUACUUAGUUCCAUUGGAUGAAUAGACCUUUGCCAUCCAGCUUAGUGCUGUCAAAAAUUAAUGCCCAGGGAGAAUGGCAGACUGUCCUUUCCCAGAAAAUAUCAAUAUAGUAAGAAAUCUAAAAUGGGUGGAAGUUCUACGGUGAAUGGGCCUAAUCCACCAUCCAUUGAUUCUAAAGUACUUUUUUUUUAACUAUUAAUUUACAAUUUGAAUGUCUAGUAUAUUUCUUGAAAUUCUUGACAUAUUAACAGUUAUGGGUUUUUCUCCUUGUCUCAGGAAAGAAGAUUACAUGGUAUAUCUAGCUUGUCACAAGAUUCAAAUGGUGUGUUUAUUUCAGCAUCCUGCAUGGAUAAUAGGUACCUCCUGAUUCUGUUUAGCAUCUUUUCUCAGUAACUGCAUUAGCUUCAAUUCAGAGGACAGUCACAUGCGCUUAAAAUGACUAGUACCAGGGGUUCAUGCUUUCAUGUCACCACCCCAAGUAUUUUAUUCUGUCAUGGAAACCUUGAGAUCAAGAUAUAUUCCCAACUUAUCACCAUAAAAAAGCUUCUAGAUGUCUAAUUCAGAUUUUUGUUAUUGGUUUGUCAGGAUUUACUUGUACAAUGUACUGAAUCUUGAAAAGGGUCCAAUAAAUUCUUUCUCUGGAUGUCGAAUAGAAUCCUUCUAUGUAAAGGUAAACAUUUUUUUCAUUGACGAUAGUGUCACACUCUAUUGUAAAACUGAUGACCUACCUUUGAUUUUGAUUUGCAGUCAACAAUUAGCCCUGAUGCAGCUCACAUACUUAGUGGUUCCAGUGAUGGAAGCGCCUACAUAUGGCAGGUACGGUUUCUUUUCAUAAGCACAGGCUUUUGGAGUCCGACCUUGUUCAAGAUGUAACAUCAUUAUUUGUGUUAAACCAGGUGAACAAGCCGCUAGCAGAUCCCAUAUUAUUGAAAAGUCAUGAAGGAGAAGUCACAGCAGUAGAUUGGUACAUGAUCUUGACACCAAAUGGUUCUGGUCCCUUGUUUUCCUUUACAAACAAGUAAACCAUUUUUGCGAAAUUCCUUUGCAGGUGUUCAUCUGAGCUUGGAAAAAUAGCAACUUCCUCAGAUGAUUACUCGGUAAGCAAGACAAGUAUAUGAAUCAUCUAAAAUUAGUAUAUUUGGCAAUGUUUCUUCUGGUGCUCAACUAAAUGUAUGUUUAACAUAUGUAAUGAUGUCCAAUGAUUAGUUUCUAUAAACCUUUAUUUGUCAGGUUCGCGUUUGGGACAUGCAGAGCAGUUGUUCCUCAAGCUCAAGAUCUCCAUCUUCCAUUAGAAGGAGAGGAAUGGCAAUCCCAAACAUGGAACCUAGAAAUAUUUUCAUGCAUGAAGAACCAUCGAGUUCCACAAAGGAUUCUAGGAGUUUGUGUCCACCAGAUGAAGUAGCAGACCAACUCAACUCACAUAAUCCAAUUACAAUGCCCAAAAUCAGUACUCCUGAAUCCCAAAAGCAACAGUUUUCAUUGGAACUGGAUUUGCAAGAAACUUUUGAGAAAACCCCAGAUGCUGCAUUGAAGAGCCCAGCUUCUGUUUUGAACCCUCCUCCCUCCUUGAAAAGGAAAACAAUCAGAGAUUACUUUCUAGCGUCUUCAUGAAACUUACUAGUUCAUUCCUCAAGACUAUUUUUGUCAUACAGCACUGCCAUGAUUCUUUUUGGUCAAGAAAAAGGUGGAGCAGCAGCUUUUCGGAUAAUUGAGAGAGUAAGUUCUUUCUGCUUUUCUGUUGCUUUCUAUCCUUUAUUUUAUUUCAUUUUCAAAAUUGGAGUAUUGUUUCCUAAGAAAUUUGAAAAGCUUGAUAGAUGGUGAAGACAAUGCAGUGACUAAUUUUGGCUUUCCUUUAAUUAAGAACCCCAUUUACGAAAUAUGAUCAAAGGAAACUUCACAUUUAUUCAAUGCGAUCUAGUUUUAAAACCUUCAAAAAUUUUCUGAAGCAGCAUUGGAAGAGUGCACUUUUUCAAAGGAAGUCUUGACAUUUUGAAAAUUUUGGAAUUUACUCUAGUAUUGUUGGCUUGUGAAUUUGCAGGGUGGUAUAUGAAAUGUAAAGCGGGAUUUCAUCAUCAGCAUGGCAAGAAUAAAACAAAAGUAUACAGAUACAUGUAAUGAAGUUGGAAGGAUUUUGAUGUAGAUUUUUUAUUCAUUACAAGGGAUUUCAUUCAUUUGUACCGCAAUAGGAAAAGGCAAAGUGGAAGUACAGUAAAAGACAAAAUUAGGAUCUCACCAUUGUACUUGAAUCUUAAGAUCUAUUUUCUUAUCCCCUGAUUUAUAUACUUGAUCUACACUUUCUAUGGUGGACAUUGGGAGUUUGAUAGAUAUCAUUGUUUUUUCCUACCAAAUCAUUCAGAACUUAUAUAAAGACAGAAAACUGCUAGCCCAUACGAUUAUUGUAACAAUGCUAUGAGUGAUACAGUGAGCCGUGAGGAUGAGAAUGAUCUCACCAUGAUUAAAUUCAAGUGUGAUAUUGUGCCAUCCAUUUCAUAAGUAAACAUAGAUAAUAUAAUGACAAUAAUCAUCUAAGAUUAGAGUAUAGAAUUACAUUUAGCUGCAUGAAAUUCAAAACUGAUACACAGAUUUGCGUUUGGAGUGGAACUGUACAGUCUGGGGCAACGGAGUGUCAGCUUAGAGGUCUGGGAGGUGGAACGGUUGAGGAUCUGCCAACAGAAAGGUGCAGGUAAUUUUGAAGGAGGGAGAGUAAUGAAAAUUCUUGGCAGAAGCAGGCAACAUAAAAUGCAACAUUAAUCUUCCACACCUAAAUUGAGGUCCAUGCCCAUUCCACCUGAAGUUCUUCUACCUAAAUUUAACAUGCUUGUCGAGUUCGAAAAGUCCAUUUCAGAGAGUUCUACAUGUUUUUGUUUUCCUGUAGUCCAAUGUUAUCCUCAAUUGUUUCCUGUUAUAAGAUGAUCUACAAUCAAAUCCUGCCAGUCCCUUUCAACCAGCUGAAUCAUUCUGUGGAAUGGGUGAUGAGUUCAUAUCCAAGGCAGACUAAAGCAUGAGACACUAAGAACCAACUAACAUCCAAUAAACAAUAAACUUGUGAACAAGUGCCCAAUCUACUGACCUUGUAGGGCAUAAUCUUAUUUGUUAGUUUUUCUAUUGGAUGAUGUAGAGAUCUUGUUUGGUUAUGAAGUAGCGGCCAAUGGCAUCUCCCGGUUCCAUGAUAAACUGCUCCUGAAAUGUUCCCAUCCGAUUGCUAGAAAUUUCGAUUGAAAGAUCUUUAAAACUAGGCAAACCUUCUACUUGUACACCAUCUCCACAUAUGAGGAACUGAUUCCCAACAAUAAAGGAUCCUGAUACACGAAUGGCAACUCCAUCUUGUCCAUGACCACGGCACUGAAGUUUUUCCACAACAUGCACAAGUCGUUCAGGAGGCCAGUCACCCACUAAUGUACUUCGAAUGCCCGACAAAGUAGCAAAAAUAUCAUCUGAACCAACAGAUUGUUUACCCGAGAAACUACAAAGGAUAGAGGUUUCUGUUAGUAGAGGAGAGAAGCCAAAGAUUGAACCACUACCAAAGUGGAUAAUUAUAACCACUAAGCAUAGAACAACAUGCCACCGCACGCAGAGUCAAAAACAAACAAAUGAAGCCAUUAUUUAUUUUGAUUGAAAAUUAUCGGUAAAAAAUUUUCCAUGGAAAAACCAUUUCAUAGGCCUAAUAGAUAUUGGAUAUAUCAACAUGAAGCUUGGGGAAAUUUAUCCCGUUUCUUCAGUAAGCUUCCUGUAAAAAAAAAAAAAAAAAAAGCCUUUAGAUUUAAAAUCUAUUUUUCUUUCCUGGUGUCUGUUGAAGCAAAUAGGGCAUAAGUUAUUUUCAAGAUCAUGAAUUUACCUAAUUUUGUUCCAAACACACAUGAAGCUUUCAAUUAAAUCUCAUAUGGUCGAACAUCAGUAGCUAAUAUAUUUGAAUCUCUCUUUGUAAAGCUGCCAAAUCUAACUUUCACUUUAUGAAAAUCAUAGGAAAAAAUGGGACAGUGAGAGUACCUGAAAGUUGAAUCUUUCUUAUAUAAGGUCUUUGUAUGUUGCCAAAGGUCAUCAGGCCCAUCAAAAAGUAAGUAAUAGUGUAUCAUCAGCAUCUGGUCAGCAAAUGUAAGUGAAAUUAGUAUUUGUUGAAUUGGAAGCAAAAGUGCCCAGCUUUUAUUCUGAAUAUCGGUUUAAGCUUCAACUGUAUGAAUGUCCAGGUCUAAAUCACUGGGUAAAGCUAGUGUAAUAGUGGCUUAAAUCUAAGUAAUUUUUUUUAAACUUAAAGCCAAAUAAUUUGAAUGGAUUGAAGCCAUAUGAAACUAAACUGUUCCUCUCUUAUCUCUUAAAUGUUUUAUAGAAAUAAAACAUAUAAAUUCCUCGCUAACAUUAGAAAAGACUGAGAAGCCAAUGGAAAAAUUACUUUAAGACACCGAGGUCCUCCAUUCCAGUUAAAGGGCACUUUUUGUGUGAUGAAAUUUUUUUUAAUAUAAACACAAAUCCAAAAACGAAGUAUUCAUAAGUCCAAAAACUGCUGGAAGAAUGACAAGCAGAUGUGAUUGAUCAUCCACAAAAAAGGGACACCAAGAUGCUGCCCCUCUGUCCAUUAAUAGAAUUAAAGUGGAUGGAUGAGAAGAAGUUCCCCAGGGAAACCCACAACAGAAACAGAGGGUGAAAAAAAUAAGGUUGCUCCAAGGAGGCUGUCAGAUCAACGCAUAUAACCCUAUACCAGAGGGAAUUAUUAUAGAACAGUAAGAACAUAGGGAAGAAAGAUUAUAUUCACAAAAUGACCAUUAAAAAAAUAACCAGAUCAACAUUCAGGAAUAGAAAACAAGAAAAAUAGAACCAGACAUGUUUGCAUUAGAGAUUAGUUAAAGCUAGGCCCAAAGAAAGACAAGACAAGGGGAUGAUUGUAGAGAUGGCUCGAGCCACUGCAAUGAUUGCUAGUGAAUACAUUAGAAAGUUGUGACAUGGGUCCUGAUUGAAAGUGCUACAAGUAGAAGGGGAACCAAAAAGAACAUUGCUUGAGAUAGUGAGAAAACAGGCAAUGCCCUGUGGACUUGAAAGUAGAUAUGAUUCUAAGAAGACAAAAAAUGCAAAAAAUAUUUGCAUUUACAACCCCAAAUAGUCAGAAUGACAAAAGUUAGGUUGAUUGAAGCACAAGUUAAUCAAUGCCAAAUAUUGAUCACUUUCUGGAAAUCUUCAAAAAAGCAAAGUUGGGCUAUAUCCACAUGGAUAACUUACCAUUUUGCCUGCUCUUUCAUAUAGUUCUAAUAAUUUCCCUUUUAGAUUUCAACUGUCUUUAUUUUGUAACCUAAAACUACUGCUACAAAUAAUUCCUUUUAAUGGAGAAAUAUUGACCACAAGUUAUUGGAUCUUUCUAAGCACCAUAUAUCUUCUAGUCAUGGUUUAGAAAUAGGAGAUCAGGAACAAAAACGUUCAAUUUUAGGCAUCAGUAUGAUAUGAAUCUAGAGCACCUGCUUUUAUUGCAUUACACAAAGCUUUCAAUUCAAAUGAUUUGUGAUUGGGAUGAUUUUAACGUAGAUAACCACCCUAAAUGGAUCACCAAGUGGGAGUUAUUAUAUCACCAAAAAAAUAACGUCUCAGUCAUAGUGGUCAUAUGGCCAUGUUUUGUCUGUAAGACUAGAAGCAAAAUACGGUGCCCCCUUUCUAAUUUUUCCCAUAGGUCAUCUGGGCAUCUUGAACUUUGGUGAUCUAAACAUUCAUAUCUAUAUUCAUAUGAAAAGAAAUCCAUUCAGAUCCACAUCCAACAAAAAUGUCCCCAGGUAAUUUAAAUAGCAUAGAUGUUUGCCCCUUCCAUCUAUUGUAGAGCUGCCAAAUUCGUACAGUUGUUAGCACAUUCUAACAGGUUAAUAAUUGGAAAGUGCAAGGUACUUACAUCUGCCAGAUCCUUCAUCUUUUGUGUUGGGUCAAAAAUGCUUCGGACAAAUGCCGUUAAAUCUACUCUGGCAUGCUCAUACUUUGUAAUAAAUGGGUGGGAAAGAAGCUGCAGCCAAGGAUACAAAUUAUACAAUGUUGAGUUUGAAUUAUCCUCUUUUGAUUUAGUUCACAAUCUCUAUAGAAAUACUAUAGUUUGAAAGCUUUGUAAAAUACCAUGUAAGUUACAUGCCAAAAUCACAGUACUAAACAACUAAGCCAUGAAUCAAUAAAUACACUGAGAGGGUAUUUGGACUGCCUAUCGAAAUUGAUUUGCUUAUUGUACUUUACAUGGCAUCUGAACAUACAAUGAUACAAAUAGGUUGCACAAUAUUGAAACAUCAGGGUUAUUACCAGAACAAGGAUAUAAGAUCAUGUAUUCAAAUCCUAACAAAAAAGCUCAAAGGACUGAUUCAAAUUCCAUGGAAAAUUCAAAUACCCAUAAAGUUUCUCUAUCUAUAAAUACUGCAUCAGGUAUCUGCCUUUUGCUCACCUGCUCUGCUGUCGGCCUUGCAUCUGCAUCCUUCUGAAGGCAAGCAUCAAUAAAUGAGCAGAACUCAGCUGAAAAUAUGUGUUUUGGUGGAGAUGGUGAUGGAUCAUCCAGUAUCUGCCAUGAAGAAACAGGAAUUGUUAGUUGCAAUGCGAAACACAAGAAUGCCAUGCAGAUAGAAGUAACUAAUUAAAUUAAACUGACAGUGUUUAAAUAUUUUAGCAUCAACCAUGAAUCUACAAACUUUUCAAGGUUUUGAUUACUAAGAAUGUCAUGAUUGCUAGGGUACUAAAUUUUACAUACAGGUUAAAGCAACCAUUAAAAUUUACAUGCCCAUCUCCUUUUCUUCCUGUGCAGAAGAAGUCCAAACUUCAGAGAUUCUUAAUAUGACCAACACUUCUAUACAACCAAAUACUAAUGCAGAUAAUAUGUACAAAAUUUGUUUGGUUUACACCAGAUAAAUACUCUAAUAAUGUAAGUUUAUAGAAUGUUUGUAAAAGUUUGAAAGCUCCAACUUCUAAUUACUUGAGAAAGAUAGCACAGAGAAACCUUAAUCAAAUAGAGAGAGAGAGUAUGUUACCUGCAACAUAAGAUUAACAGGUCCUUCAUUAGCUGUAUAUGGGAAUUCCCCUGUACCACAUUCAAAGAGUGCAAGACCAAGGCUCCAAAUAUCAGCUGGAUAAGAAUAGUUCUCAUUCCGAAUUCGCUCAGGUGACAUAUAUGUAACAGUUCCAACAAAAGUAGCACACUGAUAAACCACAUUUAGAGCAACAAACGAGAUAUAGUCAUAACCAAUAUCUGUGCCCAUGUAAAACAGGAAAGUAAGAACCAUCAAUUCAAAUAAAUACACACUAAGAAAAGCAUCAGCAAAGUAACUACAACAGAUUGAUAUAGUACUAGACUUACCAUUGCCACAGAAUUCUCUAAGCCAGCACUUAUACCAAAAUCUGUUAUCUUUGGCUCCCCCUUAAGAUUUACUAGCAAAUUUGCUGGCUUUAUGUCUCUAUGAACUAAAUGUCGAACUCCAUGCAAGUAGCAUAGUCCCUUGAAGACAAAUGCAAAAUAUUUAAACUUACAUGAGAAAGAACAUAUCUUCAUAUAUCAAACUUCUGUAAAGCAGAAAACCUAGCUGAACCAAAGAAUUUAUAUUUACAUGUAGUAGCUUUCGAACCAUAGAUGAAAGAACUGGUUCUGGUAUACAUUUCUGCACCCGUAUGACAUCUGCCAAGGACCCUCCAUCCAUGUACUCUAAAGCUAUACUUAUCUGUCCAGAGUCUGGAGUAUAAAAUGCCCCAUGAAACUCCACAAGGCCCUCAUAACAAGGUGCCUCACACAGCAUCCUUAUCUCAGUGAGAAGCUGUUGCCUUUUCUCCUGGUAUGCAAAAUAGGAAUGUUUAUGUAAGACAAUAUGAUAAGUGCAUAAUAUCGCACAGCAUCCACAUCUCAGUAAGAAGCUUCUGCCUUUUCUCCUAAUUUGUGAAAUGAGAAUAUCUGUGUAAGAAAAGACAGCAUGUGACUGGUAUCCCUUUGCAAUCUAAUCUACUAAUUAUAUUGUCAAUAAGCAGAAUUCUGUUAGCAUUGCUGACUCUUUAGAUAUUUUUCAUGGAUCACAGGGAUUGAUAUUGUUCUAGGUCAGGAAUCCAAACAUUGCCAUCCUUCAAGACAGAUAUUAAUGAUAUUGUUCAUGUGGUGGUGUAAUAAUCAAAACUAGUGGGAUGUAAAACAGUAGCCAAAAUGCUGUCAAUCAUAUUGAGUUUUAUGUUACCACUUAUAGAUGCAGGUAGCACUUAAGAACUCUGACAAAUUCAUUGAACAGAAGAAGUACUUCUCAAAUUGUACCGAAACAAAAAAAAAUCCUUUCCCUUCACAGCAUGGCAAAACACCAGGACCAAGAACCUAAGUGUGUUUUUUUUUUUUUCCUUUUUUGGUUAACUGUAUGUUAAACAAAACCAAACAAAUCCUGAAACUGGCAAUAUGGAAGUUGAAUAUUUUUUUAGUGCCUUAAAGAGUAGUGAUACAGUAUCUCAACCAAUUGAGCUAACACUACUAAAAGUAGUAUGUAAAAACCAUGCUGCCCAUAUAAUUCUGUCCAGUAACUAUGGGAGCCAGAAGUAAUAAAAUGCACAUUCAAAAAACAAGUGAGAUACACAAACCUUUUCAAAAAUAUUAAUCUUCUUCAACGCAAUAAUUCUAUGAGUGGGUAUAUGGAUAGCUCUCUGCACAACACUGCUUGCACCACUACCUAUGGCUCCAAAAAUCCUCAUCUCAUGGGAAGCACACCGAUAAGUCCUUUCUUUAUAAUCUGCUUCAUCUACUGGAGAAGAUGAGCACUUUAGCAACCCGAGCUCAUUUAUAUUGUAUACUCCACAUGAUUUGCUCAAUAAGUUAACUGUUCCACCAUCCGACAGCUUCACAAAACCAAUAAUUUAUUAGUAAAAAAUCUUCAUGUCGCAUUGCCAAAUUGCCAAUUUCUCCGACAAAGAGAAUCUCACCAUAUAAGAAUCACAAGGGUCCAAAGUUGAUCCAGCUGAUAAGCCUUUAUCGGGAUCAAACAAUGGUGAAAGUUUCUUUUUCAAUUCCUCUAAUCCAGCCAUGAUUAAUUACUAUACUGGUCCUUUUUUCCCUUAAGAAAAGCAAAAGAAAACCAUCAAUGCCCCUUGAUAGCUAUACUGUGCAUGGUGAAGCCAAUCUAUGAAACAAAAAUGAAUGAGCCAUCUCAACCAGACAAGCUUCAACAUUAUCUUAUAUUCAAUCAUGCUCCAUUUGGUUGCUAAGAAAUCAAAAAGAGAAAAGAGUAAGUAACACUUGAAAACAUACAGUUUCUGAUGCUUUCAUUCCCAAAAAGCGCGCCACUUUUUGACUCAACUAGGCCUUUAUUUUCCUUAAGUUUCUUCACAACCAAACAGAGCAUCAAAUCCAUUUCCUUGCGACUGAUUCCAUGCUCCAUGCUUGUGACAUUGUGAAGUCACAAUAAUUCCAUCAAUUCUAUUGUGAUUUACAAAAACUAUUGUGAUUGGAACUUCGAAUUCGUUAUAGCAGUAAAAUUAUCAGAAAUUAUAAUUCUUUAAAUAAGGCCAAUUUUCGCUUUCCAAGAGCAACCCCAUUUAGCUCGAUCACAUUGGCUGUAUACCCAAAUAACGUUAUCAAUUGAUUCCAUUGCUUAUCAACACACAAUUAAAAUGAUUCAACAUCUAUGAAUAUCCCAAAACCCCCAAUACAAUUCUUGUAGAACUAAACAUCUAAUCAUGACCUGCGCACACACAAUUAAAAACCCUAAACCCUAACUUCAAUCAAAUCAGGCAAUGUUUUCCAUUCAAAAAUUACAUCAAACAAUUCAUUAUCAAUAAAACCCUAAAAAUUCAAAAAAUAAAAUUAUUGAAAAUUUUAUUUGCAUAAAAAAAUAAAAAUAGAAUUGACAAUCAAAGUUUCAAAAUUUUACUUACAGUAACAGUUAGGUUUCCAUAAUUGGGAUUUUUGGUGUGUCAAGGAUCACUGCUUCUGCGAUCUUGGCAUUCAAGGGAAGAGAAUGGAUUCCGUGCAGUGGAGUGCUAUGCAGUUUUGGUAGGUUCAAUACGAUUACGUGGCGUCUUGUGAUUCGUUGAGAAAAGUUCAGGUGCUGUAGGUUGGAUGUAGAUCUAGUAUACGGACCAUCAGAUACGAGCGAAUCAAGCCAUUGUGGUGCGUCCUUCACAGGAGGCCCGAAAUUUAAUGGGCUUGUCAAGAUCUGGUUGGAUUCGGUUGGGCUUAUUAUCUAUUUGAGAUUUCAAAAUUUCAACGUUUCUAAAAUUAGAGACGUGUCUAUACUCAUUAUUGGAUUCAUUCUUAUUUUGCUACAUCCGGAUAAAUAAAUAAAAAAUAAAAAUAAAAACCCGGAGAGUGAGUUUGACGGUAUUUUUAAUCAAAGUGUUUUCUCCAAUAGUAUUUUUUAGAGAAUCGCUUGUCAAGUAUUUUUUUUUAAAAAAAAAAACACUACAAGUGAUUUUUUAAUAUUAUAGAUGAUUUUUCAUAUUUUUAAAAAUAUUUUUAAAAAUUCUUCAGGUUAAAAAUACUUUUUAAGAAAUCACUGUUAAACAGACUUUAAAUACAAUUGAUAACAACCUAAUUAUGAAAUUUUUUAUUUUAGUUUUAGUUGUGGGUAAAGCUGCUAAAAUGCUUUAAAUAAAAUAAGUGGAGUUAUUUUUGAGUUCUCUAAGUUUUAACUAAACUAAUACAAAAUCUAGUGAGAUAAAGGGUUAAAAAAAGCCAAAAUGGUAGCCGUUUGGAUAUCCCUUUUUGGCUUACUAAUUGCAAUCAAAUGUUGCUUUUGGGGAAGUGCUUGAGUUGAAGCAUCUUUUUCAUCUACAAUACCUUAACUACUAUUUGUCUCAUUGGCAUUUGUUGGAUCAAUUGAUGUUGUCUCAAAUUUCAGUUGUUCUAAAGUAUUGAAAUCUUUUCCUCAAUCUUCUCCUUUCCAUAAUAAUUGUUCUUUACACAUUUUAGUAGAAUAAUUCCAAUAAAAAUCAAAUUUUGACUUAAAAAGUAUUUUGUUCCAAUAUGGACAUCAAAGACAAUAUUCUUUCUUACCUAUACUAAACUUCAUGAAAAAUGUUUUCGUAGCUCUUAUAUCUAAUUUAGAAUCUUUCAUGUAAAAAUAAGCAAUGACACAAAAAUAUGUCAAAAAAAUCAUAAUCAUUAGCAAUGGUUUAAACUAUACCUCAAUAAGAAUUUUGCCCACGAUUACAAGUAAUGGUACAUGACCAAUAAGUGAUAUACGUAAACAAUUGUCUCUAACGCAAAAAAAAAUUCUCAAUUCAACAUUUGACAAUGUAUAUCAAACUUUUUUCCAAAAAGUUUGAUUUAUACUGUUUGUUACUUCGCUAUAUUGUGGUAUAUUUCAAAUUGGGAAGUGUUGACCAAUGCCCUUAUUUUGACACGGAAAAAUAGAUCGCUUUUGUAUUCACCACAUUUAUUUAGUUUAAAUCGUUCAAUCUUUAUGUGAUUUUAAUAAUCUUUUUCCAUUUAAAAAUACUCUCAAAACUUCAUCGUUAGUUUUCAUGACAUACACCCAAACUCUUCUCAAGAAGUCAUCAGUGAAAUAUAUCAAUAGAAUGGAUUACAAUGCCAAAUUUCACACUAUAGUAAAAAAUUACAAUACAGAUAAAAUUUUAGUUUGUACGUUUUUGUAUCCUUCACUAACCUUUGCAUCACCAAGUUUUUUAAAGUCUUUUAACUUGUAUGUCCCAAAAGCAUAAGCCAUAGUCUUAUAAUUUCUAGUUUUUCCAUCAUCUUUAGCGAUUAUAGCUUUUGAUUUAAUAAUUGUUUUCACCUUAAAAUUGUACAAGUUAUUCUUUCUUAUUUCUUUUAUAACCAUGAGUCCAUUUAACAUGACUUUCAAAAACCCAUAUUUCAUUAUGAUGGUGAACUAUACGAACUCUAAUGCUCCUAACGAGACAAAACAUUUCUUUAAACUUGACAUAUAGCAGACAUUUGCAAAGUUUUGGUUGAUCCGUCAUGAGUCUUAAACUAAAUUGAGUAUAUUUCUAUUAUGUUACAAGUAUUACUAUUGCUAAAAAAAAACAACUCUAUUAUAUAGUGUUUUUGAAGCUAGAAAUCCACUCCUUAUAGUGACACAUGUGAUAAGUGUUACUAAACUCUAAAUUCCACUCACUUGAGUUGCAUAUCAAAGAUAAGCUAACCACAUCAAAGCUUGACUCAACAUCUCUAUACUUGGCAACACAUCGAAGAUCAUCUCACCUUAUUAUUCUUUUGGAGCUUAGGACAAUCCUUCCUCCAAUACCUCCCUUUAUGACAAAAAACAUAUUCAUCUUUUAUGGAUUUGUCUUUAGAUUAAAAGUUGUCUCUUUUAUUAUUUUAUUAAAAACAUGUAUAUGAUCAUUCAUAAACAUAUACUCAGUUGACAUUCGAAGAAAGAAAGUUUUUCCUUCAAAUAAAGUUAGUUUUCUAAAUUUCAUAUACUUACCCUCUAAUGUCUUCCAUAGAUUUUUGUAGAUAUUUCCUUCAUUACAAAGUAAUUUUUUUUUAGGUUUAAUAAGACAUAAAUGAAUAGAACUGCAUGCUUGAUGAUUGAUCUUUACCCAUUUUUUAUCAUUCACAUUUUUAGAUUUCUCUUUAAGAGCAAUAUAUAAAUUAUGCUGACACAAAUAUUCAAUACCUCACAUUGUCACAUCCCAAAGUUGUUAAUUCCAUCAAAUUUAUGUAGCUUGAAUUUCUCAUUGGUAGCCAUAGUGUUAACGAGUGAAGCCUAUUUGCCAUUUUUCUUUUAGCUAGUAAUCAAACUUGAAAACAAACAAACCUUGAUAGACUUGGUCCUUAUAACAAUUGUUAGAAUCAAAGACUUGGUCUUCUCAUAUGAAAAUCAAUUGACUAUCAAUAAGCUUAAGUUAAUUUUCUCUAUAUGAUUUAAGUCACACCAAAUCUCGAGCCAACAAUCUUUGGACAUACUUCUUGGGCCAACACUAAAUCUCAAGGCACACAAUCUCAAGCUUACAUCAUGAGUCAAUAUCAAAUCUUGAGCCAAGACAACCUUGGGCAUAUUUUGCAAACCUAAUAUUUAAUUAUAAGUACCUCACACAGUAAUUAAUCGUGUAUUAUACCUCUUAAGCCAUCAUUGUUGUUUUUUUAUUUUAUUUUUUGCCGGAGGAGUGGCAUUAUUAUCAACCUAAUAGAAAUGAACUCUAGUACUUAAAAGAAGUUUCUAAGACUCACUUAUUAAUGAAUCACUUCUUAGGAUUUUUUACUUAGAUUCUAUGUAAUCAUUUAAAGAUCAUAGAUAAUGUUAUGAUUUAUAUAUCCAAAUAUCUCAAUACAAUGAUGGUGAGACAUUUAAACUAUACCCCACCUUAUCAAUGGGGAUUUUUAUUUUUUAAAUUUAUAAAAAUUCCAUCAUAAAAACAUAAAUAAAAAGGUAUUUGGUAAAGCAAUAUAAUUACGUAAUAUAAAUUAAUGAUUCAAUUUAUGUUAUAUUAAAUAUGUUUAAUAAAUAAGUUAAUACUAUAACUUAAAAUAAAAAUAAAUUUAAUAAAUAGAUUUAAUAACUUUUAAUAAUUUAAAUACAAUUCAAUUUAAAAUUAUCCUAACUCAUCAAAUAUUAAAUUCUAUCAAAUGCAGUUUAAGUCAAAUAAGUACCUGUUUUUCUUUUAUUUCAAUUUAUUAUCAUUUCACAUCUGUUUUUCAACUUCUAUUCCACCACUCAUCAUUUUAUGCCUCAUAACUAGUGAUGCCAGUAAGUUUCUCUCCAAAUUUUCUUCUUCCUAUCCCUAGAAUCACGCACACAUGUUCCCAUCUAAUACUUAUAUUAAUCCAAUUGAUAUAUGGUAAUCUUGAAUAAAUGAUAUAUGACCCUCUUGAAUAAGUCACCUCUGAUUUCUU